rnacentral:lncRNA from 1 species
CACAAGAACACAAUGAAGAACACCAUGAUGUAGAAUUGAAUGAACCAUUGCACACUAAAAAGAUGCAACUCUCUUAAAUAGCAAAAAAAAAAAAAAAAAAAGCUCAACAUAUUACAUUCGACACCACUAAAUGGGAUUCAUAAUUUACUUUAAAUAAUCGUAUCCAUAAAAGAAAAUAACACCCAUUAGAAAGUGAUAUGUCGUUAUUCCAAAAAGGAAAAAAUAUUAGAUAAAAUAAUUUAGUCAUAACUUUUCAAAUAAAGAAAAUAAUCGAAAAAUCUUCCGAUGUUAAAAUAAGAUGUUAAGAUUUUUGAAUGGCAUGUGAACAUAAACUAUUUAAUUGUCUUUAUAGAUGAUUAUAUUAAAAGUUAGUUUUGAAAAGAAUCUAUCUUUGAUGUGAAUUAAGUGAUAUUAUCAUUAGUAAGUAAUGUUUCUUUCAUGUUAAAACACAAAUAAAAUGUGUGGUAUGAAAUUUUCUUCGACAAAAGAUCGUUGGAUGCAUUGAAAGUUUGAAAAGACUGAUUAAAGAAGAUCCAUAUAUCAUUCAAAAAGUUCUUACCUCUUCUUCCAACAUUAAUGAGACUCAUCAUCCAUUGUUGCACCUCUCUAUUUCCAAUGACUAUCUCGAAUUCGCUCGACUUCUCAUUCAUUAUGAGCCUUAACUUGCUGUUGAGGUUGACUUCUUCCAACGAACGCCUCUCUAUAUUGCUUUCAAACAUGGAGAUGUUGAGAUCGUUGAAGCUUUGUUGAAAGGAGCAUGAGUCCUGCCUUUGUUUAUGAUAAUAAUGGCUUUAUUCCUCUUCACUAUGCAACACUUUCUGGAAAAAUAGAUCAUGCAAGAGCUUAUCAAAGCAAGACCAAGAUCCCUUUGGAUGAAGCUCAACAAUGGUUAAACUGUUUUGCAUUUAUGUGUUCAAAGUAACAUUUGAAGGGGAUGAAGUUUCUAAUCGAAACAUAUAUGAAUUAUGAUGAAGACUUCUUAAACACAAUGGAUGACCAUGGGAGUACUAUUUUGGAUCUUUCAAUAAAGCUACGACAAAGCGAGCUAAGUAUAACUAGAGAAAACACACCAAAAUGGUUCGUCUGUCAAUUGAAUGAAUUACAGAUGGAUAUAUAUAAUAACAUGUAAUAAUAAACCUUUUCUAACUCUUUUUUUUUUUUUUUUUUUUUUGUGCUAUAGAUGUUGGGAUAUUUAUUCCCAGUUUUAGAAGUAAAAACUAAAAUAACAUAGCAAACAUCGAAGACUCUUCCACCACAAAAGAAAGUUUAUUAGAAUUAUUCCAAAAGAUCUCAAAGAUAAGAAACCUUAGAAGACAAGAAUCACGAAAAUAUGCAUCCAAAAGGAAGACUGGGCCACGGUGGAAUACAUGGAGAAAAAAUUUGACGUACAAAGGGGAUUGGUUUCAAGAAGUGAAAACCACAAUGAUGUUAGUGGGUAUAGUCAUUGCAGCCGUCACUUUUCAAGUGUGAGUGAACCCUCUUUGGUGGCGAUUAGCAAGAAGACACUCCAUUUAAUUCUUCAAACUACUUUCGUAAUCAUUAUUAUUAUAGAGCAAAUAUCACUUAAAUAACGUCAAUUUUUGGGACAACAUGUUGUUCCCUAUCUAGCUGAAACUGCAAUAAUGAACUCGGGGCAAUCUUAUACAUAUGCAUCUUACUUGUGGUUGAACUCAAUAUCCUUCUUGACAUCCAUUAGUGUGAUUUUGUUAAUUGACACCACAAUGAUGUUAAUUAGUGUGCUAUAGAUGUUGGUUAUUUAAACGUUGAAAGAAAAUGGAUAGGCAUAUCAGAAAAUGUGCCUGGAAAUUGGAAUGUGUGUUUACCAACCAACCACUACUCUUAGAAAUGUUCGCACGUCUUCAAUUAUGAAGCUUGAAGUCAACUUACAUUAACCAGCGGCCAAAAGAUUGAACUACUCUUUUGCUUUCUACCCAAUGGGAAACAAAAUAGUUGGAAGGCAAGUACCUAGCUUACAACCAAAUUUCCCGUUCAAAACAAACAAUUCUGGCUGAUUAUCAUGAAUGCUAACAUUUCACUCAUGCCAUAAUUUAUUUUCAACUCUGAUAUGGCAUCAUAGGUUGUCCAGCUUCCUUAAUGUAACUAGCUUAACUGCAUUGAUUGUUUGGAGCAAAGAAAAAAAGUUAACAGCCUACAAAAAUUAGUUUGACUGACUAGAUUAGCUUUAAAGGGGAAUGUAACAAAUCAUUACAUAAGUGCAUUCUUAACAACAAAAGAGAAAAAAAAUCAUAAUGUGCAUUAGAAAUCACUCCAUUUUUUAACAGCAAAGCAACCAAGGGAGGACGGAAAGUUAUUGCUCGAAGGAUUGCAAAGGGGCGCUCAAGAAUAACUGCAUAAUGUUCAUCUCAAAUCAGAUCCAUUUGAAUCGCUCUGCCAAUAUCUUGUUGUGUUAGUUUUUUUUUUUUUAAUUUAAAAUUAACUCAAUAGAAUGGUAUCACUGGCUGAAUAACCCCUUUUUGUCGGUUUUCUUCUUAGGCCUCGGAAUACAGUCUGUAUAAACUUCUCUAUUUUUAGAAUUACCAUGCAUUAAACCUUCCAUAUUGAAGUUUCAUUUACCCUUAAUUUUUAUUUCUUUCUUAACUUAGCUAGAGAAUAGUUUACUUUGGGUUCAUGGGGACUGUUGAUGCUGGCUCCUGAGCAAAUAAACAUAGCUCAAGUCCGAAAGUUGCAAAAAGGAAGAAUAUGUGAUUUUUCAAGUCAUUUUAGGACUUAAAUCGUUACUUAUCCGUAUUUUCUUUUGUUUUAAUAUUAUUUUCUCCCACAAAAAUAAAUUAUAAAUAGGCCAAAUUGCAAAAACCACCUUUAGUACUUGUAAAGUUGCAAUUACAUGUCAAAUUUUCAAUUGUAAAUGUUGUACCGUUGAACUUGUACAGUAGUAAAAAUGUUAACAAAUUUUCAAGUUUGAGAGUUAUUUUUCAUCAUCUCAUACUUCAAUUUUUUAAAAUCUAUGGUAAGUUUGAAAGUCCAAUCCAAUUUUACCGCUGAAAGUUCGAGUCAGAAAUUGAAAUUACCACCAUACUUUGACUUUACUUAUAUGCUAUUAGUUCCUUGUAGAUAUUAUUUUAGAGUUUGUACUUUUGGCUUUAGUUGUGGUUCUACACUUCUACACGUUCAUUCAUUUUAGUCACUAUGUUCUCGAAAUAUCUAGUUUACCUUUUUACUUUUAAAAAGUCAUUAUUUCAUCCUUCAAAACAAUUUUUAUCUCAUUUCUUUUGAUUGCUAUGCUAACAUUUAAGUCAUAAACUUGUAUUAAAAGAGCUUUUCUGUUGACAUCCAUUUUAAAAAUUUGCUAAUAGGGAUUAAAUAUAAAAGUAUAGUGAUCAAAUCGAAUUUAUAAAAAUCAAGACAGUAUCCUAACUUUCUUUCCCCCACUAAAUAUAGGUUACUGUGAGCUGUAGAAGCUAUAUAUGAGAUUGGAAUUAGGAUGGGAUGUUGCAUUUUGAAAAGAGUCAAGAUUUGUGUGAAGGGUAAGAGGAGUUUGACAAGGAAUUUCUACAUUCUCAAAGAUUAAGACAUUCGAAAUUGAAAUAAUUGAUAUACAAGCUAUAGCUAUGUAUAGUUCAGUGCCUAUCUUUAGGACACUGGAGUUUGCAGUUGCCAUAAAUACAUGGCACCAUAAUUAUCAACACUCUCACCCUUUUCUCAUUCUUAUUUCUCAAUUCAAUUUCUUGGGAAAUAAUAUGCACCUAACCAAUUUGGACAGAACUGUGGGUUAAUAUUCUCCAAAUUGUUUAACACUUGUAAAUAAAUAAGGUGGUGAUUAUCACACUUGUAGUUUAACUUAGUUCAAUACUUAGAGGUUGAUGGUUCUUGGUUCUAACAUAUAAGAAUUUUUUCCUUUACUUAAUAUAUUUUUAGAAGUCAUUUAAAAUAUAUAUUAUUCUUACUUCAAAGACCUAAUUAAUUUAAUACUAAAUAAUCAAUAAUUUCUAAGCUUUUAACUUCAUUUUCAAUCUUUACGCAGCACUUUCUUCAAGAAUGCAUUUUUAUCAAUUUUGUGGGUUGACAACGAUGACGCAUUAUUCUUUUGAAAAGGUUUAAAUUGUAGUCUUUUUUUUUUUUUUUCUUAUAGAGAUAAAAUAACAACAAUAAUAAUAAAGAAAGAAAGAAAGAGACCAUUUUGACUUAGUAGUAUGCUUGAGAAAAUGUCAAUUUAAACCGCACAAAAUUCUAUCUUUUCCAUAUUUGUUCGUCUUCAAUACAUUUCUGAGGCCAACCCUCUUCAUUUUGUAUUAUUCUAUUCUGCUUUUUCUUUUUUACUAUUAUUUAUUAUUAUUAUUGUUUUAUUUUUACGUUAAAUUAUAAAUCCAUUCUUUAGUUCUAAACUUUUAAAUUAAGCAUUUUUAGUUAUUCCUUAAUCUUGUGUUCUAAUUUAACAUGAUAUCCUAAUUAAAAACAUGUUGGGUUGAUUUUAGUACUCAUGACAAUUUAAGAUUAAAACGAAAUGAUUGUGGAAAUAAAAUAGUGAAAACGGACAAGAAGACAAGAUACCUUAUGAAACAAAUGUUUUCUUCUUUUAUUAUUAUUAUUUUUUCAUCUAAGAAAGAGAUUAUUUGUCAUUUUUAAUUAAUAUAAUCAAUCUUUACUUUUGUACUCUACAAAAAUUACAUACUUAUUGCUUUUGAGUUAGGCUUACUUUGACUGCCAAUCAAAUUUUAGUGGAGAAUUUUUAUAAUCAAUAUAAUUUUCUCAUUUUGUCUUUUGUUAAUUUUUUAGGCAAUUGUUUCUUAUUAUAUAUACUUUAAUUUAGAGAGAGAGAAAAGAGUAGACUACAAAUAUAAAGAUACGUGCUUAAGUACGUAGAAAGAAUAAUAACAUAACAUACCAAACAUAUAUUUGAGAAAUUUGGAAUGAAGCAUGUGAAACAAGGCUAUGUAUUAAUUGUAAUUGACUAAGCAUUACUUAGUAAAGAACCUGAACUAGCAACUUCUAGGUUUUUCCAUCCUAGCUCUUACCUUCUCAAACAUACAUAUGUAUAUAUAAGCAUCCACAACAACAAAAAAACCAAUUUCAUUUUUUUUUCAAUUAUUACUUAGCUAGCUAGACACACACAUACUGUGACCUACUACGUACCUAUGUAUCCUAUGCAUCCCAGCUUGAUGAAACAAGGUCGUUGGAUAAUCCCGUUAAUCCCAACGAUGACGAAGAUGAUGACAAUGAUGAACACGGCGGGUUUUGUAAGAUCGAUGACAUGAUCAUAUCAAUUUGCUCCAUAGCCAUUUGAUUAGUUACCAUGCAUUGAUCUUGUGGAUAGUAACCAUUUGAAAAGCUUGAUAAUUUGAUAAUUGGAUCAAGAUCUUGCAAAGGAGCUGGAAUUUGUGGAAUUGAUGAGCAAAUAUUUUCCUCGCCAACCUCGCAUAAUUUUGGCAUCGUUGUCGUGGGAUGCAAAAAUGAAAUGUCAACGUAUUGUGGUAGUGUAGCUGCUGGAGUGACGAACUCUCCACUUGCCACCACCGGUUGAUCAGAGUCGAGCGGUUGGAGACGAUAGCCUCCUGAUGAUGGCCACAUUGGACGAGGGUCAUGAGGGGAAAAGUUUGUUGAGGAGGAAAUGGAAGGAAGUAAAUGAACCAAAUUAGCAUUUGGAUUGAGAUUGGUAAAUUGGUCAAGCUUGUAAUCAAUGAGAUGAUCAAAACUAGUUUGUAGAGUUGAAGUUGGAAGACAUGGUUGGUCUUGAUGGGCAGAGGUGGUUAAAAUCAAAUUAGGGUUUGCAUUGAGAAUAAUAAAUCCCUCGUUAUUAAUAGAAGCAUUAGGGUUUUGGAGAUGGCCAGAAAAGGUGGCCAAAGCAGAAACCUCAUGAGAAAUCAACUUCUUUUUUAUGUUUGAAUUCCAAAAAUUCUUCACUUCAUUGUCGGUUCUUCCAGGUAAUUGCUUCGCUAUUUGAGCCCAUCUAAAAGCAAACCAAAUCCAACAAAAUAUUUUGAGAGUCCUCGACGAGUAAAAUAGAAGAAAAAAGGAUGGAGAGAAAUUAAAGAGUGAAGAGAGAACAAUUAUUACCUAUUACCAAGAAUGCUAUGGAGUUGAACAAUGAGGGAAGCUUCUUGGGGAGAGAAACUCCCACGUUUAAGGUCAGGUCUCAGAUAAUUUAUCCAUCUUAGUCUACAACUUUUCCCACAUCUCUGCAAGCCUGAAAAAUACACCAUCAAAAUAAAUAAUUAUUAGAAGAUGGGAAACAAUGUGACUAAUGAUUCUAUAUUGCUAAACAAAUGAGUUAGAAUUAGAAUUUAGAACUUCUCUUUCCAUUUAUAAAAAAAAAAAACAAACCACAAAAUAAUUACAUCAGAGAAUUACGAGAAGAAAAAAGGAAUCUUAAAACGAAGAUUUAUUCUUUAGCUAAUUAUUAGUCUCAUCACAUUUUUUUUUAAAUAAAAAAAUAAAGAAAACUUUUUAUAAGGCUUUGCUUAAGCUUACGAGUUUAAUAGUAACUAUGACGGUCAUGGGAAAAAAGAGAAAGUGAUUCACCAGCAAGCUUGGGGACAGAGCUCCAACAGCCAUGGCCAUAAGUAGAAAUGUAAUUAACAAGCUUCUCAUCUUCCUCAGGUGACCAUAGCCCUCUCUUCACUUUCUGUUUGUUACAGCAAGAAUGGUGUCCCAUUUCCUUAACUUCUCUCUCUUUCUCCCGCUCUAAAAAUUAAAAGAAAAAUGGAAAGAAAAGACAAAACAGAAACUUUUUACAGAAGAAGAAGCUUAAAGGUUUGUGAUUUUAGAGAGAGAAAAAGUUGAAGAAAGAGAGAGUGAUUCAGAUUUUGGAAUGAGAAGGGAAGGAGGUUAUGAAUUUAAUGUGGGGGAAUUGUACGGUUGUGGGCCGCUCGGGGCUUAUUGGAAAGAAAAAAAACUUGGAUGCAUCUAUAUGUUAUAUGUUAUAAGUUAUAUGCUCUUCCUCUCCAUCUCUGCACUAUAUAAAAACCAAAUUAUCCAAAUAUCUUUUAAACUUUUUUAUUUUUAUGCUUGGCAACAUGUAUGGAUGCACCUAACCAUUGUCUUAUGCACAAUGCCUAUAAGUUGUGUUUUUUCGUGCUUGUAACAAUUUCUAGUGUUACAAUAGUAUAAAACAACAGUUAAAACAAGUAUUUUUCAUCUUUAGGCUUUAAAAUGUUACCCUUAUGGGUCAUUUUGGUUUGAGGAUACCUUUCUACUUAGAAUUGACAUAUGCAUGCAUAUAAUCAUCUUACUCAUGGUUUCAACUAUUUGCGACUUAAUAAGCAAUUCUCAUGCAUCCUCAUUUUCAAUAGAUAAAGUUUGAGGGUAUUUGCAAAAAUGACAAAACAGGUUAUAAUAAUUAAGUCUAUAGCACACAUACUUUAUUAAACUUGUUACACUUGAUUCAUCUUUGAUACACUUGGUACCCUUUAUGCUUUGAUACACUUAAAGGCUUCAAUUAUAAGUUUGAUACACCGCUAAUAAACUUGUUAUGCUUCAUUUGUACACUCAACAAAAAAUUUAUACGUUUGAUGUACAUGAUGUAUUUGAUACACCCGAUGCACUGCAGAUACACUUGGUAUUUUUCACUUAUACAUUUGAUUGAAUAAAUACACUUGAUAUGCUUGAAGUCCUACUUAUACACUUGUAAACUUGAUUCAUAUACUUGAUAAUGAUUCACUUUACUGAUAUACUUCAACAAUAUAUUGUUGAUAUAUUUUAUAAUCAUACACUGAGUUAUAUCAUUCAUAUACUUAAUAAUAUUAUAAUGAACUGCAUAAAAUUUGAAAAAAUAAAAAAUCACGUAGUAAGUAUAUCAACCAACAAAUACAUAUAAUAUAAGUAUAUCACAACAUUGAUAUACAAAAUUGAGACAAGUCAAACCAAAACAAAAUCAAUGUAAAAAUAGAUAAAACAAAAUCAUUUGAAAUCAUAUCCAACUUAAAAUAUACAUCGAAGAAAGUAAAAUAAAAUCACAAAAGAAGUUAAAUUACUCUAAUUAACAACCAUUAUAUUUCAUAUUGCAAUUAUUGUAAUAUUGAUAUUCUGAAAUCAAAAUUAAGACGGAAAGAACAAAUAAUUUUUUUCGUAUAAAUUUUUCUCAUAUAAGAAUAAAUAAAUAAUUAGGACCUUAACAAGAGAGAAUAAAUAAAUAAUGAGUAGGACAUUAAAAAAAGAAGAUAAAUAAGUUAUGAAGAAUAUUUUAGGAAUAAUAACAAAUUUAAAAAACAGAGAAUUUUUACUAGUAAAAAUUUUACAAAAUUUCAAAACAAUGUGCUAUAUUUGUCAUAUUAUAUUAUCUUACGUUUGCAAUUUCCCUAAGGUUUUCUAUUCUCUUCUAAACUAGGAGUUUUUUAAUAUAUAAUUUCAUUUAAAAUAUAGUUAAUUAAUUAAUAAUAAUUUAACCAAAUUAAUAUAAAUAUUCAUUUUAAUAAAUCAAUAAAAUUAUUUACUUAACUUUACUUUUACAACAAAAGUUAAUUAAAUGAAUGCAAUUAUUUUUUCCUAAACUAUUAAUUAAUUAGCUAUCAAUAUCUUAAAUAUAUUCGGUUGGUAGAUUAAGAUGAGCUCAAUUUUGGUUAAUACACAAAUCCAUUUUUCAAUAAUAAUAAAAACAUAUAAUUACUUAUUGCUUUUUUUACUUAAUCAAUAAAUUAUUUAUCAAGAUUAAUUUUAAUUUGAUUCAUGAGCAUUCCAUUGAGUGAUACAUUUUUAAAUAUAACAAAAAAUUAAUUAAUUAAAAUAUAAUAAAAAAAUUUAUUUUUGAUUGACGCUGAUAAAAAACUAUCAUAAUUGAUAGAAUAUAAAGUUUUACUAUAUAUUACUUUAGAUUGUUGGACACUUGACAAGAGUCAACCUGUCCUUUCUCAAAGGUCCUUUAAGUUUUUAGUUGUCGACUGGUAUCACACUUCUUGAUUCUGUUGUCUUUAGAUAUCAAUUAUACCAUUUGGUCUAAACUCAUCUCUGAUAAUUAUAAAUUAGAUUUUAUUUUUUUUUGGUGGAGAAUGCUUAUCUUUUAGUCUUUCAUAGAUUUACAUUUUUCUUUAAUCUCACUUGGUCUAUAAGGAUGGUUGAGCUUGCUAAGGUUGUCAACUUAGUUGAAAUCUAUUUCCACACCAUAUACGAAAAAACAUCUAACAAGAUGCUCAAAUUUUGCAUUUAAUCAAAUUAGCCGAUCAAAGCAGCAACAAGAUACAUAAUUAACAAGUGAUAACUAAAUUUUCAAAUUUUGGAUGAGUAUAAGAAAAUAAUAGUUAUAAUAUUUUUAUUAGAAUAUGGAAUAUAUUAUUCAUUUUAGAGGAGAGAAUAACCGAGACCUAUCUUUAAAUAAUAAUAAUAAUAAUAAUAAUAAAUAACUUAACAUAUACGAAAAACUAUUAUUAAUUAUAAAUAAUAGUAUGAUAAUAUGUGUUAAAUAGACGUUCAUUCUUAGUGUCUAUUGCCAUGUGGUAAUUUAUAACUAUCCUAUUUGUUGUCCAUGUUCCUAAUCUUGGAGAUACAAUUAAAGAAGGAAAUGCAAUCAAGAAAAAGCAAAAGCUAUAUUUUUCCUUCGUCAUCAUAUUCACGAGGAUUUGAAAUCAAAAUAUUUUAAUUACAAUAAAGGAUCGUCAUAAGUUGUGGAGUAAAUUGGAAGAAAGGUCUGAUAAUUUAAAAUUAAAUUAAUUCAUCUUCUACAAGCUCGUUAGAAUUGGAUACAUUUGAGGCUACAAAAUUUUAAAUCAAUAAGUGAUUACAAUUCUAAAUCAGUAAGUGAUUACAAUUCUAGAUUAUUUAGAAUUAGUUCAAAAUUGUUGUUAUAUGCGGAGAAAAAAAAUUACUGAUAUGAACAUGUUGGAAAAGACAUUUUUUAUUUUUCACAUCUUGAAUAUGUUCCUACAACAAUGAGAUAUCGAAAGAAAUGUUUUACAAAAUAUUCUGGACUAAUCUCAUAUCUUUUUGUUGUCAAACAAAAUAAUUAGUUGUUGAUGAAAAAUCACAAAUCCCAACCAACUUAAACAAAACCAUUCCGCAGAGAAAAUGUUGUGAAUUUAAAUCGUGGACAAGGUUGUGGUUGAAGUAGUGAUCGUGGUAGAGGAAGAAAAAAUUAUUAUUUUUGUGGUGGCGGUUCUAAUAAUUCAAAUUUCAAAAGUACUACACGAAAUGAUAAUCAUAAAGCGAAAGUUUCACAAAAUAAGAAUUCAAAAAAUGAUGAGAAAAAUGAUAGACCAAUGUGGAAUAACUGGACAUUGGUCAUGUGUUUACCAUACAUUGAAACACUUAGUUGAUCUAUAUCAAGCCUUCCUAAAGAAGAAAAAAGGAAAAAUGUAGAACCUAAUUGGACCAAUCAAUAUAAUGAUAUAGAUGAUCCAUCCAACCUAACUAAUUUGGAUGUGACAGAUUUCUUUGAAACUUUUGAAGAGACUAUAAUGAUGAGAAAAAUUAUUGAAAAUUCUCAUGGACAUCCAUUGAAGAACUAGAAGAUUAUUCUUCUAUCUAAUGAAUUAAUAUGAGAUGUUUGUUGUCAAAGCAAAUUAAUAAUUAGACUAUCACCAGCUAAAGUGAAAAUUGAAUCACCUAUAUUUUUAGAAUGAAUUCGUUGUGAUAUAUUUAGACCUAUUAGCCCACCAAAUGGACCAUUUAAAUAUUUCAUGAUAUUAAUAAUAGACGCAUUCAAUAGAUAGUCGCAUGUGUGCUUAUUAUCAAGUCAAAAUCUUGCAUUUGCAAAGUUGUUUGCUCAAAUAAUUAAGUUAAGAGCACAAUUUCCUAAUUAUACAAUUAAGAACAUUCAACUUGAUAAUGCUGGAGAAUUUAUAUCACAAGUUUUUUACAAUUAUUGUAUGUUUAUUAGAAUAAGUAAUGAACAUUAUGUAGCUCAUGUUAUACACAAAAUGGUUUAGUAUAAUCAUUUAUAAAACAUUUGCAAAUCUGAGAGCUAGCUAAGCUUCCUAUCUGCUAAAACAUUUGUUAUUUUGCAUACUGUGUCACUCGUGCGUAUUAGACCAGUAACUUAUCACAAGUACUUGCCAUUAUAAUUAACAUAUGACCAUGAAGUAAAUAUUUCUCAUUUGAUAAUUUUUUAACGUGUUAUACAUAUUCCAAUUGCUCCACCACAACGUGCUGAGAUGAGUUCUUAAAGGAGACUAGAAAAAUGUGUUGGAUUUAAUUACCCAUCAAUUAUUCAAUACCUUAAACCCCUGACGGGUGACGUAUUUAUUGCACGAUUUUUUUAUUGUCAUUUUAAUGAGACAAAAUUUCCAACAUUAGGGUAAGGAAUAAAGAAGUUGAACAAAAAUUACAUGGAAUGUAUCAUUUUAUUGUCUCGUAGAUUCUCAUACAGAUCAAUUUGAACUUAAAGUUCAAAAAAUAGUUCAUUUGUAAAAUAUAAAAAAUUAGUUACCAUAUGCAUUUGUAGAUGUAAAGAGGGUAACUAAGUCACAUAUAAAAGCUACAAAUAUCCCAUCAAAAGUUGAUAUCUCAACACAACAAGUUGUCAUUAAUGAAUAUGAAACACGCCAGAAGUGUGGUAGACUAGUGAGUUCCAAAUUAGAUAAAAAUCUUCGAAAAAGAAAAGCAAGUCAAUAACUCGAUUAAAAAUAUGGAUGUUUUAGAAGAAAUCCAAAAUUUGACUCCUAACAAAAAUAUUGAAAAAGAUAAAACAACUAAGGAUAUUAAUGAGAUUUCGAUCAACUAUGCCAUGACAGGAAAAAGAUGGAAUCAGUUUAAUGUAGUUGUUGACAACAUUUUUUCAUAUAAUGUUUCUCUUAAAUCCGAAAUUGAGGAUUUUAAACCAAAUCUGUUAAAGAAUAUCAACAAAGAAAAUAUUAGUCUUUGUGGAAAGAAGCAAUUUAGACAAAAUUAAAUUCACUUUCAAAACGUCAAGUUUUUAGACCAAUAGUUAAAACACUAGAAGGUACGAUGUCAAACUUGUUGGAUAUAAAUGGGUAUUUGUGAAAAGAAAAAAUGAAGAUAAUGAGAUCACAAGAUAUAAAGCAAAAUUAACUGCACAAGGUUUUUCACAAAGACCUGAUAUUGAUUAUGAGAAAGACAUAUUCUCUAGUGGUGGAUGCAAUCACAUUAAGACUUUUAAUUAGCCUGACUGUGUAUGAAAAUCUGGACAUAUCUUCUGGAUGUGUCACAACAUAUUUAUAUGGAUAUAUUAAUAAUGAUAUUUAUAUGAAAGUCCUAGAAAACUUUAAGAUACAUAAAACAUAUAAAUCAAGUUCUCGAAAACUAUAUUCAAUAAAGUUAUGGAUAUCAUUUAUAUAAGAUGAAUGUAAUAUAAUCACUUGAAUAGAUAUUUGUGGAAAGAAUGGUAUUAAAAUAAUUCAAUACAUUCAUGCAUUUUUAUAAAGAAAUUAAAAUCAGGAUUUACUAUUAUAAUUAUAUAUGUUGAUAAUUUAAAUAUAAUUGGAAAUCCUGGGUAGCUUCCAAUGGCAAUAAAGUAUCUUAAAAAAGAAUUUGAGAUGAAAGAUCUCAUAAAAAUAAAAUUUUGCCUUGAUUUGCAAAUUAAGCAUUUAUAGCAAAUGAGAUAUUUGUUCAUCAAUCAACUUAUAUAGGAAAAUUUAGGGAUAGUUGAAUAUUUAACAAUUAGAUUAAAAAAUAAUUAAGUAUAUAGCAACAUUUUAAAAAUUUUGCAAAUAUAACAACAUUUGUCAAAUUCUAUCAAUGAUAGAAGUCUAUCACCGAUAGAACGUAUUGUAAAUAUUGGUCUAUCACUGAUAGACCAUAUGAGUCUAUCAAGAUACAAAUCUAUCAACGAUAAAUUUUGCUAUAUUUACAAUUUCUUUUAAAUGUUGUUAUAUCCUUAAUUAUUAUUCCUAAAAUGGCUAUCGUCACUUACAAUUACCCAAAAAAUUAUAUGGAUGAAGCACAUCGAUUGAACAUUCCAAUGCAAGUUCGUUCGUUAGAUGUGAAGAAAGAUGUAUUUUGACCUCGAGAUGAUAAUGAAGAUCUCCUUGGCCUAGAAGUACCAUAUAUUAGUGCAAUUUGUGUUCUUAUGUAUCUUGCUAAUUAUACAAUACUAUAUAUUUGCAUUUUUUCUGUAAAUUUAUUAGCUAAAUACAGUUCAUCUUCAAAAAAAAAAAUACAUUGGAAUUAAAUUAAGCAUUGUUAUCUUCGAGGAACAAUUGAUAUGAGAUUAUUUUAUUCAAAAUAAAUCAAAUUUUGACUUAGUUAGUUUUGUAGAUUCUGGGUUUAUCUUAUCCACACAAAGCUAGGUCUCAAAUAGGUUAUCUAUUCACAUAUGGAGAAACUAUUAUAUCAUGACGAUCGAUGAAAUAGACAAUAACAACCACUUCUUCAAAUCAUGUUGAAAUUCUUGCAAUGCAGAAGACAAGUUGAGAAUGUGUGUAUGGCUAAGAUCAAAGACUCAACACAUUCAUGGAACAUGUAACUUGUCUUCUAGUAAAAAUCUUCCAAAGAUACUAUAUCUUCUCAAAACAUGUAUAGUUCAAAUCAAAAAAUGUUAUAUUAAAUGGGAUAGAACAAAGCACAUUUCACCAAACUUUUUGUACACUCAUGAUCUUACAGAAAAUGACGACAUUAUAGUACAACAAAUUUGUUCAAAAUAUAACCCGAUGGACUUAUUUACAAAAUCAUUAUUUAUUGCAACUUUUGAAAAAUUUACACACAACAUUGGAAUGCGGUGACUCAAAAAUCUCAAGUGAUGUUUUCAUCAGGGCAAGUAAUUGUACUUUUGUAAGGGUAUAAAUAAUACGAAAUAUGUGCUCUUUUUCUUUCACAAGGUUUUUUUUUUUCUCCAUUGGGUAUUUUUGUAGUAAAAUUUUAACGAGACAUACAAUUUAUACAAGUAAUGAGUAGUAAGAAAGAGAGUAUUAUAAACAUUACAGUAAUAUAUGUUAAAUAGAUGCUCAUCUGUAUAGUCUAUUGCUAAGUAACAAUUUAUAACUACCUCAUUUGUUGUCCAUGCGUCUCAAUACGACAUAUCGUUAUAUUUCCUCCAUAGGUGUGUUUUGCCUCGACCACAAUUUGAACUAUUUUGUUUUUUUUUUUUUGUUUUUUUUUUGUUUUUUUUUGUCUUACUGUCAAUAAAAGUUAAAUCUCUUUUUCCUAAUAUGUGUUGCUAUAUAAAAAUAAGAAAUCUACUCACACACCAACAAAUCAAACAAAAUAAUAUCAAUUAUAAAAAAAGUAAAAGUAAAAAAUUGAACAGUAAUAACGUACACUUGAUAUAACUUUUGCCUCUUUAAACGUCGUGAGGGUUUAUUUAACCUUUCAUCUUCAUAGUUUUACAAAAUAUUAUAUAUGUAAUCAUUAAAAAACCCACAAGUCUAAAUUCCUAAAAGAGUAACACAUGCACUUUGAGCAUUGUUUUUAAAUAAAAGAAAAAAAAAAUUCACAUAACAAUUUAUACUAAUUGAACACUUUGUAAUAUGUUGCACAAAAGUGGACAUAGUCUAGAUCCACUCUAACUAUUCUUCCUACAUAAACUAUGAGUCUAAUAGUUAUACUUUUGGGAGAUAAAGCCAUAGAGGAAAAUAGAAACAUAUAGGUCAAAUUUGGUUGCAUGCAUAGUAAAAGAAAAGGAAAAGAAAACAUGUAUAGUUAUAAAAUAAAUAAAUAACUAAAGAUUAAAUAGUUAUCGAGGUAUUUAUAUUUUAAUGGACAAAUACUUUUAUUUAAAUAUCAAUUCAAAUUUUAGUUCAAUGAAGAAAGAACACUUGACUAAGAAAAGCAAACACAAGAUGAAUUUGAGGAUUAUAGUGUAACCCAAAUAUAAUUUUACCACAAUCAAUUUACAAAUCAACUUUGUUUUAAAUUGAUGGCCAACCGAUGUAAUUAUUGCUAAAGUUUCCAAUUCUAUAGUUAAUAAUUAACCUUUUCUCUUAUUAAUUUGGUAUAAUCACUUUUUAAUUAAUUAAUUAUGGAUUUUUUUCAUUUUACGUAUUUUUGUGAUAUUUGUCAAGUUUUUAGGUACAAAUUUAGUGAGAUUUGCAUCCCGAAAUUCAAAUACAAAUAUAAAAAAAAAGGGGAUAAAUGAUAUAUAUAUAUAUAUAUAUAUAUAUAUAUAUAUAUAUAUAUAUGAGCAAAUUGACAAAAUGGGUUAUUUUAUUUUGAAGAAAAGUGUAGUUCUAGGCAGCCAAAAAAAGAAAAAAAAUAGCCUAAAUUAUAGUGUAAAAUAUAGCUAAAUAACAAAUAUGUAUAAUCAAGUAAAAAUUAUCAUAAAAAUGAUCCAACCUACAAUUUUGCUUAUAGCAACUAAUUGACAUGACCAGGAAUAUAUAAUGACACCAACAACCAUUAAUAUACCUUAUAUGUCACUUUCUCUUUCUCAUUAUUCUUUUUCUAAUGUGAUAUUUCUUUUAAAGUUCAUUGAAACAACAAUCAUACAUUUCUUCUCACUUUAAUUUGAUAGAUGAAUAGAAAUUUAAUAUAAUGCUUUAUUACCUGUUAGACUUUUAUCAAACACAUGUCUUUUAUUUAUCAUUAGAUCAACCCAUGAUUAAAUUUAAAUGGCAUGAUCUUUACUAAAAUUCCCGUUUAAAAUUCUUGCAUGUGUCUCUUCAAAUUAUGCAAUUGAAUUGACAAUGUUGUUUAACCAUGUUAGUCAAUAGCAAUUGAUUAAAUGGCAAGUUUAUUACAUCAACUUUUAAGCAUACGUAUAUUUAAUCUUUUAAAAAAAAUUUAAACGUGUGAAAUUAGUAUGUAAUAAUCUUCUUAUAUUUGUAACAAUAAAACUUAAAUUCUUAAACAUGUGUCUAAAAGAUCUUUAAUGUUGUCCACAUCUUUUAGAAUUUGGAUUUACUGAAAAUACAUGAUUGAGGAUAUCUAGUUCGCUUCAAAGUUCAAUAUGAUCCUAUUGAAUAUGUUAUUGUCUUAUUGAACACUUUUUAAAAUUUAUCGACAAAAUAGAUUCACAAAUCCCAAACGGAUAAGGUAGUCUUUUCAAGCCACACCGAUUUUGAAACUUCAUAGGUAGAAAUAAGAAAUAAGAGAGACCCAUUUUUCACUUUUUUCUAACUUUUCUUUUUUCAAAAUGAGAGAAAUUUAGAGAGAGAAAAAAAGGUAAGAAAAAAGGUUAAUAGGACCAAUUAUGAAAUUAUCAAUUAUUGUCCUCUUAUUUUUUCUAUUAAUAUGAAAAUUUUUGCAUGGUUUUUUCUACAAGAAGAGUCAAUAUCAAUGUCCUUAUGUACAUUUUUUAUAUGAUCAAUGAUAUAAAAAUCCUCAACAUAUAUCUUUACAGAAAAUAAAAAUGAAGAAACCCAAUAAUUUCCUUUUCAAAUCAUAUCGGAAAUGAAAACAUUUUUUUUGUUUUUAUACCAUAUGUUUUAUUUUGAAAAUAUAAACUGUAAUUUAGAGGGAAUCGUCACAACCAAAAUUUCAAUUUGUUUAAUUUUUCUCUAAUUUUGUCAAAAUGCAACUAAUCUGUUUUAUAAUUUUUUGGUUUUUAUUAUUUAUAUUUUCAUAAUAUUUUAUAUAUUUAGAAGUUAAUUUUUUUUGGACAAAAAUCACUUUGUUAAUAUCAAGAUUAUUUUUCUUUUUUAUAUCAAUUUAUCCAAGUUUAAUUUUUUAAAUCACCAAACUAUUACUCUGAAAUAACACUAAUCAAAUUGAAUUUAUAUGUUGAAAGAAGAAAAAAGGUUCUUUAAAAACAUGGUAAGAACAUAAAACUAAAGAAAAGUUGAAGUAUUUUGAAGUUAGAUUCCCCAAAAUAAAGAAUUGAUUAUUUAGUGGAAAAUUAAUUUUUCUUCAAAUCACCGCCAUUUACCAAAAUUAGAAGGAAUCUUAAUAUUUUCUUUGAUUGGAAAUGUUGAAACACUUGCUAAAAAAAUAAAUUAACGAAUCUACACCUAACUUAAUUAAAUAAUUAAUUUUGUAUAUCUUUUUAAAUAAAAGGUUAUAAUAAUUGAAAUUUGUAUGGAAAAAAUUGAAAAUAUUAUUUAAAAAUUUUCAAUUAGUUAAAAGUAAACAUUAUUCCAAAAUUCCAAUAUGAUUAUUUCACAUUUAUCAUUUUGUAUAGUUUGUCAAAACUAAAAUAAUCUACACCCAAACACACACUAUUCUAAUCAAAAUAUAAUAACCUAAGACUAUAAUAACUCACUUCUUAUCUUAAACACUUCUCCUUAAAACGUAAGAUUACAAUAAUUGAAAUUCAAAUUUUCUAUCGUACGUGUCGUUGUAAAAGUAAAAUAAAAUAACAUUUUGUCAGCAAGUGACAAGUACAAGACAGAAAAAGCAAAGUCUUUUUUGUGAAGCUAUGUGUAGUGUCAUCUCACAGUCAACUCAUCAAAUGAGGAACAUCAUUUCAUCAUCUUCACCAAGUCUAUGCUUCAAUGUUUGGUGAAAAUUUGAAAGUUACAUUUCUUAUGCCUUCAUAACAUUUUCUCUUUACUUUUUCAUAUUCUCUUCCUUUAUGAUUCGACAGCCAUUUUAUUUGUCGAACAGACUUUGUUGAAUAAUAAUGCUAAUAUGUUUUAAGUAAAUUAGAUUGAAUCUCAAUUUGAGUUUAACUCAACUAUUUAGAUUGCAUAAGAUAUAUAUUUUUAACCACUUCACAAAUUAGUUAAUGGUCAACAAUUUUGUGUAUGUACGCAUUCAAAUUCUAGUAUCUCAAAUUUAGUUAAGGUGAACGACCAUUUUUUUCUCUUUUUUUUCUUUUAAGUUGUGUUCAAUAUAUAGUGAGAUUUUCGAAUCUUAGACCUUUUUGCUAGAGUACAAUAACAUUUUAUAUCAAUUAAAUAUGCUCACUUUGAUAUUACCACACAUUUGGAUUAAUGAUAUGGUUUAUAUAUAACUUAUUAUAAUAUUCUACAUUUUUUAAUACUCUUAAAAUAAAUUGUUGUUUUAAAAAGAAACAAAAUGAACUAAAAUAUUGUUGAAAUUUAUGUUUUAAAACUCAUACUUUGUUGUUUAAAAUCAUAUUCUAUUCAAUAAAGUUGUUGUUGAGAAAUUAUUAGUGAAUUUCAAUACUAAAAUAUUGAAUCCAAUAAACUAAGAUCUUGAGGCUAUCUUGAGUAAACUUGAACUUUAUGUAGAGACAUAAACAUGGAUCAAGUUCAAGUAUAUAGCCUUAAACGGUCUAUAGUACAUGAAUAAGGUCGGGUGCCUUAUUUUGUGGGACAUUAUAAAUCAUGUUCGCUUUGUAGUCAGUACAAACGAUGUGAUCCUGAAUCAUUCAUGUAGAGACAUGAAAGUGGGGGCAUUUAAUGUAAAGAAGUUUACAUAAGACUGGAACCACGAAAUAAUCAUUUUUACGUUAUAACAUCGUUGAUUGUAUAAAAGUGACUAUUUCGAUUCUUGAAGACCUAUGUAACUUAAUCCUAAUCUUGAGCUAACUAUGAACUUUUGUUCACAUGGAAUUAUUCGUAGACUUGCAUAGGUGAGGGUAGCUCAACAUCGCUGACUCAAUAAGUCUCCCAUUUCAAGGGUAAGACCAAAUGGAUAGCUAGAGAUAUUAGGGUGCAAGUCGAAAUUCACUUCUACCUAUAAUAUGGUUAGCAGAUAGGUUGUUCUCUUAAUGACUGAAUCUAGGUCUUGAAUAAUGGGCCCUACCCUAUCAUUCACUCAAGAGGAAUUCAGUUUAUAGGUUAGACCUUAAACCAAUUGUUUAAUAGUGGAUCAGUUGGACUUAAGAAGCAAUAUGUAAUCUUGAUGAUAGAAUGGUAUUUUGAUCCAAUCAAGGUUACGAACAACCUAUGAAGAAUUAACUUACUAAUCAUGGUUAUAUCAAAUGGACACCAGUCAAAUUGAGUAAAUAAGAUGGUCAUCCUUAAGCCUUCUUUCUAUUAACUUUCAAACUUGAAAGUGAACUCUUCUGUGACGUUCAACAUACUAACUAAUAUUAAGCUACUCCAUCGUUAGGGUAGAGUCAGUCGGUCCAAAGAACUGACAGUAGAGGUUAGGUCCUCCAGACUAUUCAUGUUAACCCAAAUUUCACUCUCUCUACAAUAUUCUUUGUGUCUCUCCUUUUCAUGCGCUUUGCUUCACCCUAAUAUCAAUAGUGAAGGGAGUGCAACUAUGAGAUUUAGUGAAAUAACCCUUUAGUUAACGAAUGUUAACUAGCUCGAUCUAAAAGGAUUUAGCCAGUAAAUCUUUGAUCAUUAGAUUUCAUAAUCUGUAGAUCUAUUAGGUUCCUCAAUUAGCUCAUAUGGAAUAAUUAAUUUAGAAUAGUAUGUUUGAUUAAUUUGAAUUAAUCGAAUUAGGUUAGGAGAGAGAAAUCAACAAGUAUAUAUAAUAUAGUGAUCAAUUUUUAUGUUAAUAUGAUUUAAAUAUCAAGAAUAUAAAUGCACAUUCAUAUUCAGAAGCUUGAAAAAUAAUGGAAAUGGUCAAAGUUGAGAAAAGUCAAAUUGUUGACUUUUUACUUUGAAAAGUCAAACUUUGACCAAUUUUAUAUUCAAAUCUGAUUUGUAUUUUGCGAAAAUAAAAUGUGAAUUCAUGCUCAUGAGGUUGAAAUUAGUCAAGAAGGAAAAAAGUGAUCAAAAGUAAAAAUAUUGACUUUUUGCCAAAGUUUGACUUUGAAUUGAAUGAUGAAAUCACAAUUUUACCCUUUAACUAAAGUUGGUGAAAAAAUACAACAUUUUGUUGGAUAAUUUCAAUUACUUUUAGUGGCUAUGUGGAGGCUCACGAUGAUAACACCAAGCCUGCUAAGAGAUAGUGCAUCGAUGCAUAAUUCCACUAACUCAUUAGUAGGCUAAAUGGAAGCUUGUGAACCAAGCAUACUAAAAGUUAAUGGGAUGUGAGGUGUGUUGAACUUUGGUGAGUUUACAUGUGCAAUUGUUGCACGUAAUUUGUCUAUUUAAAGGGUGAAUUUUCAAUCGUAGGUAACUUCUUUACUCAUUAUUUAUGAUUUUUCCUUAAAAUUAUUAAUCACCAAAUAAUUUUCCAAACCUUUGACAUUCCUCCAAUUCCUAUAUCUCUCAAAUUCUUCACUCAUUGACCCUCACAAUCAAAUUCUAGUUCGAAGAAUAGUAGAUCAACUUAUUGGUGGUUCGGUUCAUGCUAGGGUGGAGGUUUGAGUGAUUAUAGUCCUACGAAUGUGAGUUAUCCCUAACUCUAAUUGUAAUCUAAUUAAGUACUUAUAUGUUAAUUUUUAGUGUAACUAUAGUAAAAUUGAUCCGAUUUCUACUAUGCAUAUCUAUUAUUUCCAUAAAAUAUUAACAAAUAUAACAAAAUAUCGACAUUAAUAUAUGUUGUUUAUCAUUAAUUAAAAAUGAUAUAUUUUGUUAUAUUUGUAAAUAUGUGAUAAGAGUGAGAUUACAUGGAACCAAAUUUGGAGGAUUGGACAUAAUGAAAGGUAUGUAUCAAAUUAUUAGUAUAUAUUAUGUAUGUGACAAAAUAAUGAGAAUAAUAUUUAAUAAUAGGAUAAACAAAAUGAUCUCAACGACAACAAACAAAAUUAAUUUUAUACUUUUUGACUUUCCUUCAAAUAUAAUAUUUGUUGCCAAUAAUUACAUUCUUCUUCUAUUCCAUGUUUUUCAUAAUCAAAUUACUUUUCAAAAUACAAAUCACUUUCACUACAUGAAUAAGACACUGUUAAUUUCCAAAAAUUAGGUGCAGCAGAGAGAGAGAGAUUCGGUCCUCAUUUAACUCGUUAAGCAAUUUUUAAAAAUUAAAUAUAGAAAAUACGUUAAUUACGUACUUUUUUUAUUAUUAUUUUCCUUUGACUCUUUGUUCUAUUUUCUUCAAAAAAUAAUAAUAAUAAUGAAUGAAUGAAAAAUAUAGUAAAUAAUCUAUAUGCAUAGAUUAUUCUAUAACACAGCAGAAACAUAUUUAACAAUUGUUAGGAUUCUUUCAUUGUACAAAUUCGAGCUAUGUUUAGAUUAUUGGUUAUUCUAUGCCAAUAUUGCAAAUAUUGUAAAAAUAUCAAUUAAUAUUAAUUUAUAAUCUCGAGACUUUUAACACUAAUAAUUUUGAUAAUUUUUAGAUGUCUUCUUGUAUCAAUUUAAAUUAUGUUUGAGACACUUAAUUAGAAUGGUUUGAAAAUUCCCUAAUUCAAUUAUUUAAAUAAGAAGAAAUAUGAAUGUUGUCACAUUUUUCUUAUAAUAAAUUUAAACAGUGAUUAUGAAAGCGAGAGAUUCCACAUAAUAUUGGACAAAUUGGUAUGACGCAAGAGAUUGUACCAAUUUCAUCACCUUCAAUGUAACUUUUUUGAUAAUGUAUAGUGAAAUCCAAAGAAUGACAUAUCAAUUCAUAAUUCAAAUUAUAUAUAUAUAUAUAUUUAUACUAGUAGAUAAUCAAAAAGAAUAUUGCGUAGGACCCAAAAUUUGGAAAAAUUGUUUCCCUUUUUCUUGUAAAUGAAGUGAGUAAAAAAGGGCAGUUGACCAAAGUGUUGAUGGAAAAGCCUUGAUUUUGUAUCUUCUCCUAGACGAUUCUCAUCUGUUUUUUUUUACUUUUUUUUCUUUAACUUUUUCUUAACAGAUGCUCUUAAUGGAUAUAUAUUUUGUACUCCAAAAUCAAAUCAUUAUCAACUUAGCAUCAAUUUAUUAUGUUCACUUAAUGUUUUGGUUAAAUCAAAAUUUGUAAAAAUGCCUACCAAAUAUAGUUUUAUAAAUCCUUGUGGAAAUCCAUAUAUCAAAUAUUAGAAUAAUUUACCUUUUCUUCAAUUUAUAUAGAUUGCCAUAAGUCCAACUCUAGGGUCUAAUAAUAUAUUGAAAUAUGAAUUUUGUAAAAUGUACUUUUAGAUGAUUCUAUAUAUAUGUAUAUAUGGAGAAUUAGAUAAAAUGUUACAAGUCUUUUUAAAAAGUAUAUUGGACAAACACAAGAAUUUUUUUUCUUUUAAAAUAAAAAUAAAAAAAGUGAAAUCCAUUUCUUUUAAAGAUAAAAUUUUGAGAAGACUUUGAUAUAGAAAUUAGUAAAUAAAUGACGAUUAAACUAAAUGCGUUUUCUAAGAAAUAAAUUCCUUACACAAAAAUAAACUAACAUCGUUUCCUUUUAACAAUUUUACUAAUUUAAUAUAGGUUUUUUUAUUAAAAAAAAUAAAAAUUAUAAACUAUUUACCCAUGAUAAAAAAAACACACAAAUGACACUUUAUUUUGGAAGUGUAAAUAAUUUGUCAAUUUUUUAAUUUUUUAAUAUUCCUCGUUAAUAUAUGUAUAUAUAUUUGUUCAAAUAAAGAAGACGUUGAAUAAGAAAUAUUGGACCCUACAUUGUCACGACAUUUACCAAAUUAAUGAUAAAAAAAUACAAAUAUUUGAAUUCGAGACUAAUUAAAAGUUGACAUGUGUACCAAAUUAAAAAUAGAAAACACAAAUUAUUCAAUUCUAAUGAAGUCACAUGUUUUCAUUAUGACCGUUGGAUCAAAUUAAAUAUUAUUUACUUUGACUAAAGUUCAAUUGAGUCAAAAAAUAAGUUUAAUUUAAUUCAAAUGCUAAAUAUGACUCAAAUCCAUGUGAGUGAGUCUAGUUGACCAAAAACUCAUAUAGAGAAGUUCUCUUCAUUUGUGGAGGUCGAUGAAAAUUUUUUACACUACAAAAUCUAGAGAGAACUCUUCCAAGAAUUAGUAGAUUUUCCAAAUCCUGAAGUCAACCACUAUCAAAGAUUGAAGUUUCUUUGGAGAUAUAUACUUUCUUCCAAGAUUUUAAUUUCAUCUUUGGAGAUAUAUACUUUCUUCCAAGAUUUUAAUUUCAAGAACAUCACGUGCUCCACUUCCUUAAAUUAAGCGUAGACAUUUAAUCGAGAGAUAAUCAAAAUAUCAAAUACUAGAAAUUGGACCACUUAACAUCAAAUCAACACAAUUACAACUCCGUGAAUUAAAUUUUUUCGAAAAUCUCGUGUGAACAUAUGUCACUUUUUUUCAAGGUGUUCUACUUAUAUUUUUUCUUAUAUUUUCUUUAUUUUUAAAUAUAGUAAAAUGAACGAAAAUAUCAUUAUAGACAUUGAUCGAACAGAUUUCAUAGCCAAAAUUCGAAUCAAAUAAAUUAUCGAAAUACACACUAAGAAUUAGUAUCUUAGUGGCAAGUUGAGUCGAACUUAGGGAGCACAUGAAUUUCUCAAGCAAAAUUGUUUCCAACUAGUGAUGACGGAGAGUGGGUUUUAAUUAUUUCCAUCACUAAAGAAAAGAAAAUAGAAAGAGAAGGUAAAUUUAAUUGAAUUCAAUAUUAAAAGAAUGUAGCUUGGCUUAAAUGGAAUUCUCUAUUCAAUGUAUUUAAUCAUGCGUUCGUUACGUUACUCUUUUUCUAGGUUACUCUUACUUAACCAAAUAAAUUAAAAAAUCUAAUAAAUUUAUCCGAGGUAACUAAUUGAUAUCAAUCGAGCCAAUGAGAAGAAGCAUAUACUAAAUUCAAAUUAAUAUCAAUUGCAUUAAAGUUUAGGGUUCUUUAUGUAGAAUAAUUAGUAUUCAAGCACCUAACUAAUUAUUCAUGCAAAUUUAAUUAUAGGUUAAGAUUGAUUGUUGUCUAUUCAAUUAAAUACUUUAACCUAUUGCUUCAACAAAACAGUGAUCAAGCAAUCCUCAAGGGUCUGAAAACAAGAUAUAGAUCCACUUGAAACAAAAUUGAAUUAAUACAACCAAGAAAAUCUAAUUAAAAAAUCACAAUUACAUUGAAAUAUGAUAAAUCUUAGUCCAUUAUCGACCUGUCGAGCAAUGGGGAGAUGUUGAUCAAGUUCAUGCAUAAACAAAACUAAAAAAGAGGAGAGAAUUAGAGAGAAAUCGUGCAAAGGACAGUUGGAAUCGGUGUGGGCUUAACCUAGCGAUAGAAACAAGUUUAUAAAAUACGAUGUGGCACUGCAACGUUGAACGUUGAAAGACUUCAGAGCGCCACAAUUAACGAUGUACGAUUUUAGGGAAUAAGAGGUAGCUACUGUCUUACAAUGACAUAGAACGUUGCACUGCUGCAAGGUAUGUAGGAGCCAAAUUGGCUUCUUUUCUUCAUGCUUUGCCUCGGUUAAUGCCUAUUUAUUUCACUUCCACUCAUUUUAGUUUUAAAUCAACAUCAACACCAAAUUUUAAUCUCGAAUUUCACAAAAUCUAUAAAAUAGCAUAAUUGAAAUGUAAAAUCAUGCAACAAUUAGAAAUUAAGAAAUAUUAGAUGGUACAUUCUUGGCUCUAUCACUUAUAUCUUGGUCUAUUUUGGCCUAUUAUCAUCGAUAUAUUGUAAUGUUUUGUUAUAGUAUUAAAAUAAUUUUGUUUUUUUAACUUGGAAGAUGUUUUAUUGUUAAUAGUUUAUUAUUUUCUUUAUUAUUGAAAAGCAGGUUCCCCAUAAGAGACGAUAAAGCUUUAAUUAAAUAACACAUCAAAGCUUAAGCCUCCUAAGCUCAAUCUAACGAGGAAGCUAACCCUAAAAUUAAACAACACACCCAUAUAUGUAUUUGGUUGGCUCUACAAUGAUAUUUAAGUAAAGGAAAAUAAAUCAUCUCUAUAAGAAAAAAAAAAACAGCAAAAGCCAUAAAAUCUGACUAAUAAAGACAAAAAAUGUUAUGCAAUUGUUUUUCUUCUGUCACGUACCAUCUUUUUGAACCUUUUAUAAAAUAUAUGAGAUAGAAAGCAAAUAAAAAAAUCUGCUCUCUAACAUAUAAGAAAACCAUCUUUUAAAUAAAAUGUUCACUACACAAAACAUUGUUGCAGGAAAACUUGCUGUGACAGUAAAAAAUAUGUUGUGAAUUAUGUUGAUAGAGAAGUUCUGAAUGUAAUAAAAUCCACCUAUCAUACUGUUUUGUAACACUUGAAAACUUUUCAAAUGAGAUAUUUAGAGUAAUAAGCCAGUAUUAAAUGAACCUUUUUGUCAAUUCUUUCACAGGAAAGUGAAACAGUGAAGACAUAAGUUUUAUCAACUUGGACAUGAUUAAUUAUCAAAACCUUUUGUUGCUAUGAUAUUUUUAAAUUUAAUGGUGUUGAUUUCCAAAAUUAUAUAUUUUGUUGAAGGCUACUAUUAAGAGAAUUUUUGUUUGACUUUAAAGGAAAAAUUAUCAUGUCUCAAAGUAAUAUAGGGUGCUAUAUAUAUUCUCUUCCUCUCUAGCCUACCACCUCUAUAUUUGAAAUUCCCAUUAUUAUUAAUUUCUUAAAUUAAUUCAAGAAUCUUCUCUAUUUAAUUAUUGAAAACUUCUCUUCUACUUCUUUUAUUAUUAUUGUUCUUUUCUUUCCACAGACCCCUGAUUAAUCAAUAUUUCACUUUGGCUCAAAUUCAAUUGAUAAUAAUGGCAAUGUAAAUUGUUUGCUGAGAGAAUAAAACGUUUCUAUCAUUUAUCGAGGAAACAAAAGAAAAGGAAAGGGAAAAACUCCAAUUAUUGUCAUUUUUCAUAUGAAAUUGUGUGAAACAUCAUAAUUUUAAAUUUCACUCAACAACUUUAAAAGUCUUCAUCAAUCUGCUUCAAUUCAUUGGUUUGGGGAGGUCUUUUAUUAAUGAAUUUUAUUCAAUGUAUUAAAAAAAUGGUUGAUGUCAAAAUUCAAAAGAAAAAAAUAAAACGCACCUAUUUUUACAUGUCAAAAUAAUAAUAUAGUUUGUAGAAGAGAAAUUUUGAACCUUAAUGUCAUGAUGUUAAAGUGAUUGCUAGAUUGAAGACAUUAAAACUAUGGAUUUAAUGUUCAAUUGCUUAUAACAUAUGGUAUAUAUGUUAUAUUAUUUACAUUCUUUUAUGAAACUAGAUUAAUUAGAUCACAUAAUCAAAUAUUUUGUGGACUAAUUGGACUAGGAGCAUGUUGAACACAUGCCUUGUAUGUUGAUCUAAAGGUUAACUUUUUCUAUUCUCUUGGUUUAAUUAGUUUCAUCUCAAUCACAAUUUAGUUUACUUUUUUUCUCUCUGAAUUUUUACUUUGUAAUUCUCUCCUCAAAAUAAUUCCUAAAAUGAAUAAUGAAACUAAUUCAGCUUAUUGGUAUGAAGCCAUUAUCGUUUGUUGGCGUUUUAUUAAAACUUCAAAAUAAAUUAAAAUAUCUUUAAACUUAGAGAAAUAAAAUCAACUUUUGAAUGAUAUAAUCAUCUUUACUUCCUCCAAACGAGUAACAUGUUCCAAUCUCUAUAUCUUGCAUUUGUGAUGUGAUAAUUUUUUUAGAAAACUUAAAUAUAUAUAUAUAUAUAUAUAUAUAUAUAUAUAUAUAUAUAUAUAUAUAUAUAUAUAUAUAUAUAUAUAUAUGGACCAAAAUCCUCUAAUAAAAAAUCAUUUGUUGUUUUAUUUUAUUUUUUUAUUUAGAAAAAACUUUCAUUUGGUAUAAAUUUAUGUUGCAUGACAUUAAUAUUUUUGUUGAUAUUUCUCCGUCCUCAUGUGCUUGAUAUUACAUGAGAGAGAGUAAAUCAACAUUUACAUUACGUCGAAAAAAAAUCAUGAAACAUUAAAAAAACCUCAUAUAAAUAUAUUUAAUAUAUAUAACAAAAAUAUUAACUAAUUGAAAUUUGUCUAUAACAAAAGCAUAAAUUUUUUAUUCAUUAAUUUAAAUACAUGUUCAAAAAUUAUUUUAAAAAAUUGAUGACAUUCUUGCAAAAUUGAAAAAUUGACAUUUUUGUUGUAAUCAUAUCUUAAAUGAAGGGUUUGUUUUAGGCGUGUUAGAGAUUUGAAUUUCAUAUGGAAAAGAAGAUUAUAUUAAUGAAUUGGAUAUGAAGGAAAUUAUGGAAUGAAGUUUUGCUUAUAAUUGAAGGGAAAAAGAAAAUAAUAAUAAUAAUAGCAAAAUUAGAAAGUAGUGUAAAGGGAAGAAAUGUGAAAUGAAAAAAAAAAGAAAAUGUAAAAUUUAUUAAGUGGCACAUGGCUGCAUUUAAUUCAAAACAGACUCUUUUGCUUUAUUUGCUAUGCAAUCAAAGGACAAUUGGUGAAGGAGUUUUUUGUUCCUUUAUCCUUUUUUAUUUACAACAAACAAUCAUAAUAUAAACUAUAUCUUUAUAUCUCAUCUCUUCUAUUUUUCUUUUCAACUAAUUUAAUAGGUUUUUUCAGAAUAAUCGUAAUUGAUGGUCUUUUCGAAAUAAUAACAAAAUUAUCGAUGAUGGACUCGUAUAGUCUAUUAGUGAUAGACCAAUAUUUACAACGUGGUCUAUAGAUUUAUUAAGAAUUUUUAAUCUUCUAAUAAUCAUUUAGCUUUCUUUUGUUAAUUUGAUUUUUGAAUGAGUAGAUCAUAUGCAUUUUAUUAUUUUGUUCGUUUUCAUCAUGACAAUCAGUGAUAGACCAUUAGUUAAACACAUUGUUGCUCCAAAGGUACUCAUAAUCUAUCGUGAAUAUGUCAUCCAUUUCUUAAUAUUGCAUAUGCAAAAUAAGAGAUAGAGAUAUUAAUACUUCAAGUCUCUUCAGGAGUAAGGGUUAAAAAUAAUUGCUCAUUGUCACAAAUUAUAUAGAUAAACUAUUUUUAAAAAAAUUACAAAUAUAGCAAAGUCUGACGUCAUUAUGAAUCAUCCAUUCUCUCAAAAGCUUAAGCUUAUAUGUUGGAUUAAAUUUAAUAUAAUAUCCAACCAUAAUAAAUAGUGAAUUAUCAACCUCUAACAAGAAUAUUUUAGUGUAUUUGUAAAUAUUUUGGUAUAUUUAUUAAUUAUCUAAAAUAUUUCUCAAUUUAUGAACUAAAUAUUCAUUUUUCUUUUAUGUAAAAGCUUAUGAAAGAUUAACUAAAUUUUGACCUUUUUUUUUAAUGUAAAAGCUUAUCAAAUAAUUUAUUCCAAAAACAAAUUAUAUAAAAUUUUAAAAGAACUGCUCUUAUAAUAAAUUAGAAGUUAGACAUGUCUAUAGAACUUACAUAAUUAAAUCACAACAAUUUGAUAUUAAUUUACCAAGCAUGGCUUAGAAUUGAGAGUUAUCAAACACUCUUUAUUAAUUAGUUUCAUAGUAAUAAAGAUGAUAGAGGAGAGUGUUAAGAAUGUGUCAACCUAACUAGUUGAAAUGUUCACGUUUACCAUUCUAUCUAUCUUUUGUAAUUAUUUUUUUUAAAAAAAUAUAUCUAUUAAAAUACAACACUCUUAAAUUAAACGUAAGUUACAAUUUAUAAUUGAGUAGAUAUUUAUGCUUCUAAAGAAAAUACAUCUGUUUUAUUAUUGUUUCUUCGAAGUUCAACAAUUGGGUGGAGAGUGGAGAGAAUCAAAUCAACUUUAUUCCAAAAUAAUAAAAGAGUCAAUGAAGUUCUUUUUUUUUUUUGUAGGAUUUGAAUUUCUAACCUUAUAUUGUUUAAUCACUUGUCUAUUCUAAUCAAAUGAAAAAGUCCUAAAUUGACAAGAGAAACAUCCACGUUAAUCUUAUAUUUAAAAUUCAAAUUUCAUUCAUUGAACUUAUUAUAUACAUCGUCUCGAACAAGUUUCAUCAACUGCACUACCUUUCGAGUCUAAGAAAGAAAAAACAAAAUAAAACCCUACUGCCCCAACGAAUUGUGUUCUUCCUUGGUUUCAUGGCAACAACCUAAUGAAGCAAGCCUUGUAGUGUUUACUAAAAAAUGAAGAAAAGGGAAAAUUAUUCUCUCUCUCAAAAUAAUGAAUUUAAUUUAUUUAUUUUAUUUAUUUUCCGUUAAGAAUCUCAAUCAAAUCAUUUAAUUCAAAAAAUUUCACAACUUUAUGUGGCAUCUUGAUUUAUUGCCUUUGUUGGGGUUGUCUCUCCCACGUGCCAUCUCUUAAAUUUUCCUUUUAUGCAUUCCCCAUGCACUCCAUAUUCCCUACGUAUUCCAUAACAAAACUUCCAUUCUUUGAACACAAUUCCUCUAUAUAAAGUGAUAUGGUGAAUCAAUUUGACAAAGCCAUCGUAUCAAGUUCUAAGUAAUAUCUUCCCUAGCCUUCACGAUAAUCAAUAUAAAAAACACGUAUACGACCAUGUUAGAAAAGUAAUUGUUCUACAUCAAAUAAGUGCAAGAAAGUGAUACACUCCAAGUAUUAUGGUUUUAUGGUUCAAAUUUAGUAAGAAAUACCUUAUGUUUUGAUGUACUAACUUAGUUUGAGCAUGUGAAAAAAAUUAGAUUUAAAGUAUUCAUAUACAGCAACAUAUUUUAAAAAAAUGCAAAUGUAGCGAAAUUUAUUAACGUAAAUAAUAGAAGUCUAUCACUAACAGAUCAUAUUACAAAUAUUGGUCUAUCACUAAUACACCAUAUAUUUUACUAUAUUUGUAAUUUUUCAAAAUAUUUCUAUUUACUUGAUUAUUAUUACUAAAAUUGCUACCAAUUAUAAUUACCUUUUGUCUGUUUAGUGGAAGAGUUUUUCCAUUAGUUUAAACUUUAAUUUGGUAUUUGUGAUAGAAAAUUGUUCUUAAAAGUGUCUAAUAAGGUCUCUGAACUUAUAAAUUAUUUUCUAAUAGGUUCCUUGACUUCAAAUUAUGCAUCUAGUAAGUAGUGGCGGAUCUAAAAAAAUUUAAAUAGAGAACACUAUAUAAUAAAACACACUAAAAAAAUAUAUUAAUAGUUUCAAAGAUUAAUUAAUUUAAUACGUAUUACAGUUGUCCACUGCGAGUUUUUCAUGUUUUAAAAUCGAUCUAUGAUAAGUUUAUUAUCUAACUUAUCUAAUAAAUCUUUCUCAAUAGAAGCUAUAAAACAAUUUGAUAGAUUGAAAAGUAUUAAAACUAAAAAGAUAGAGAAGAAUUUGAAUUUACCGGUGAAUUGAUACAAUACGUAUAUUCUAAUGAUGAAUGAAAAAAAAUUAUCUUGUAGCCGUUAAUUACGAAAUUAAAUAAAAUAAAUAUAUACAUAAAUAAUGUAAAUGUCAAUUUAAAAAAUUAAAUCAAAAAAGAAAAAACAGAAAAUAGAAAGAAAAAUAUCUCAUGAAAUAUUGUUGAGAGCCUAUAAAUUUAAAUCAUUAUGUUGCAAUUUUUAAAAAUAUUUGUUAGAUAUGAUGAAAAAUAAGUUAGGAGUCAUUUAGGGUAAUGGUUGAGUUAUGAAAGAGUUAGAGUUAUGUAAGUAGUGUUAUGACAGUUUUAUGAUAAUAUAUGUUUGGAGAAAGAUUUAUGUAAUCAGUAGUGUUAUGAUAUAUAUAUAUAUAAUUAAUAUUCUAAAUCUAAUAUUUUAUUUUAUUUUCAAAGUUUAGCUUAUAAGUUCAACUAACAUCAAAUUAAAAAAAAAAAAUCUAUUAAUUAAGAAUUGAUUUUAAUAAAUACAUUCACGAUUAAUCUUAUUAAACCAUCAAACUCACAACUUUAAUUUCAAAUUCUCAACUUUAAUUUCAAAUUCUCAAAACUUAUUUAUGUAUUUAACUUUGUAGGCAGUGUUGAUUGAGUUAGACUAAAUUGAUAAAAUAAUUUUAUUUAUUUAAUUAAUUUAACAGAUAAAUAAAAUGUGGAGUAUUCAUAGUAUGCUCAACUUCCAUUCAUUUUUUUUUUGUUUUUGGAAUUUUCUCUUCAUUCCAUCUGCUAAACUUGGAUGAAAAAGGAAUUUUUCUCACAAUGGCAAUGAACAAAGUCAAAGGAGAAGUUCAUAGGGAUCAUCUAUGCAACAAAAUCCCUUUCAAUUCUAAAGAAAAUACAUUGUUCUUCAUUAAUUAAGUCCUUUAAUUUGUUGGGUUAAACCAAUCAAUAGCUUCUGAAUUCAAUAUAAUAUAACUAAUAUAAUCUCUGAAUUUUGAUACAAGUCAUCCUAAAGCUCACCCAUUUAAUUUAAACUACAAUACCACAAACUAUCAAUAUUUCUUUAAUUUCAACUACAAUACCACAAACUAUCAAUAUUUCAGUCGGUUGGUUCAUCUUCGGAAAAAGAAGAAACCCAACAAACAAGUAAAGAAGAAGAACUAAAUUAUAUAUAAAAAAUUAAAUAUACACUAAUUUCUCCAAAAAAAAUUAAAAACAAUAAAAACACAAAUAUUGUUCAGUUGUUUGAAUAUGAACUCCAAAAACCUUCAUCCUCUACCUUCAACACCUUUGAUAUUCCACCAACUUAAUCCCACGUACUUCUCUCCCACCGCAUUUAAUCCCCAAAUCAAUUGGGCAUUCCAAUACAUGAUCAUAAGGCUUAGAUUCUCCUUAUUUACUCAACCUGAUCUCCACUAUUUUUGAAUUGUAAUCAACCCAUGAUGUAAAAUUUCACCCAUUGUUCCGCCAAAGAAUCUCCCUUAUCUAGUUUCACAUAUCCAAAAACAGUGCUCCAAACACACUAACAUCUCUCUCACUCUUUUGUUUUUUAAAAAAUGGCUUUUAAUUCACAAACAAAAUUGUCAAGAAAAUUUAGUUUAAUGUCCAAAUCUCACUUCAAAACGAAUCAUAACCGCGAUAGGAAACGGAGAGGGAAAGGGGAAAGAGGAAAGAGGAAAGAGGAAAACGGAGAGAGGAAGGGGAAAAGGAAAACGAAGAGAGGAAAGGGAAAGGAAAACGAAGAGAGGAAGAAGACAACAAAAAUUGAGGAAGGGUUAGGCAUAAAAUCAGAGUGUUACGCGAGGAUUAUGAAGAGUAAGGGAAAGUAAAAAUGAAAAUGUGAAAAGGGAUAUGGGGAUAUUAUGGAAACUCUAAACCAAGGUUUCCAUAAAUUGGAAGCCAAACAAGGGUUAGGGUUAUGGAAACCCAACCCACGAUGACAACAUGGGAUCCACACGGUCCCUUAGGGUUUUAUCAUAGUUAGGUUAUGUUUCUUUUCCUCUUUUUAGAAAAUUAUCUUCGUUUGAUGAACCUAUGAUUUAAUAGUUUUGAAAUGAGAGCAUAACUACUAUGUUACAACCAUACUUUAUUUAAAAUAAAGCAUUAAUUUAAUAUAUAUUAUAAUUUGAUACUUCAAUGUUAAUAUUAAAAUAUAAAAAUCGAUAAUGUGAGAGGGACACGUGCACCCGCUAGUUCCUUAAUAAAUCUGCCACCACAAAUAAGUUAUUGUUCUAUACUAUAUUUAAAAUUGAAUGUUAAGUGUAAUAGGACCCCAACAUUCAAUUUUAUAUGUAGAAAAUGUGUUAGUGCAUUUUGAAAGCUGAAAAACCGUCAAGGGAAGUUAAUGACAUAUAUAAAAUUAGAUCCUAAUAUGAACCAUGAUGCCUUUGUAUUGUUGGCCCCGAGACCAAUCACACUUUCCAUAGCCAAGCAACUAUAGUUAGAACAAUGUGAUUAUUGUGAGAAUUCCUUUUAGAAGGUUAGAGCAACAAUAGUUAACAAAAGUUUUAUAGUUGGAGUCAACUGAUGUUACAAGAUGAUACCAAUUGACCUUUGACAUCUGAUCAUGAUUUCAAGACUACUUUACACGACUUUUAUUUUUCCUUUUGUUUUUUUUUGUUAUUGUUCUUCUUAUUUUCAUAUUUUCCUUUCUCUUACAUUUAUUUUUUAUUAUUUCGUGAGUACAUCUUUUAUAUGUAAUUUUUAUUAUUAUUAUUAUUUCUUUCUUUGUUAACUUAUUUGUAGAUUUAUUCUUUACAUAUGUAUAUUUAAUUAGUGUAUAAGUAGCAUUUUUUUCUAUUUAGUUCUUUUUUUCUCUUCUUAGCCUUUGAUUAUUGUUUCUUUAAUAUUUUUUUCUUUUCUUUUAUUUUUUCUUCAUAUUAUUUGUCUCGUUCUUACUUUUCAAUUUUUCUCCAUAUUAUCUUAUUUCUACAUUUUUCAUUUCUCUUAUAAUAAAUUUAUUUGUUUUUUUCAUACAUUUCUCUCUAAAAAUGUUAUUGUUACAUAUAUAUAUAUAUAUAUAUAUGAUUGAUUUGUUAGGAUGUUUUUUACUCUUACUUUUAUUUCGGGGCAAUUUUUAAAAUAGUAAAAUAAAUUAAAAUAUUUACAAGCUAUAACAAAUUUUUGGAUUCUGUCACUAAUAGUUUUCUAUCACUCUAGCAUAUCAUUAACUAUGUGAUAAAAUUUGCUAUAGGUUAUAUGUAUUUUAUAAAAUUUGCUACUUUUGAAAAUUUUCCUAUUCUGAGUUCAAAAUAAUAAAUUAUUCCUUAAAGAAUAUCAAAUUAAAAUAAUAAAAUAUCAAAAAGGAAAAGAAAUAAUAUUUGUUACUUGUUAGUUUAGAAUAAAAACAAUUAAGAUUUUAAAUUUUGUGAAAUUUUUUAUAAAAAAAUAUAACAAAAUAAAUCAUGCAUAAAUAUGGUCAAAUAUCAUAUUUUAUUUGUUGUAGACCACAAUUAAUGACAAUAAUCUAUUCUCUCCCUAACAUCAUGAAACAAAUAAUAGUCUUAAACAUAGAUAAUAGUCUAUUAUGAUCUAGCAUAGUUCGGUUGUCAUGUAAUUUAAAAUAAUUUGUUUAAUUUCUUUUAGAAAAAUUUUCAAAAAUAGCAAAUUUUACAAAAUACUUACAACUUAUAACAAAUUCUAUCACUGAUAGUCAUUGAUAUGCUAUAGUGAUAGAAGAGAUAGAAUCCAAAAUUUUACUAUAACUUGUAAAUAUUUUAAUUUAUUUUGUUAUUUUAAAAAAUGUCUCUUUUCUUAUUUCCAUGAAUUUUCAUAUAAUUGAACAUAAUUUCAAAAUAAAAUAGACUAAAAUAAAAUGAUAUAAAAGUUUAGUUUUUUUUUUUUUGGAGGGAGGUUAAAAGUGUAAACUUAGAUGCUUAUGCCUUUGUGAUCUCAUGCAAACAUGUAUGAGAGAUUAAAAUAAUAUGUUUAGGUGAAUUAACUUUAUUUUCUUAAUUGCUUCUUAAUUGAUUAAUUAACAAACCACAAAAAGUAAAAAAAGAGAAAAUUGCUAAAUUGGAAUCAAAGAUUUCCAACCUAAUAAAACGCAUCACUUAUUUGUAUUUACAAUCUUUUAACUUUUUCUUAAAACUUUUAUCAAUUUAUUUAUAUUGAAAAUAAUUUUGUCUUUUUUCUACCCAUAAUAAUUUAAAAAGUAAAACAAAGAAAUUAUAAUAUUUAAACGUGAAAAUGGUUACAAUAAUAAUUAAAAAUUUAGAACCAACAAUAAUACUCCUUUGGGAUAUAUCUUUUUGGUGUCUUAAUAAAAUCAUUUUUCAUUUAUUAACUUUUAACCUUUCAAUUUGGAAUGUUGAAAUUUUCACAAGAAUAGAAUAUGACUGAUCACUUUAUUUUUCUUUCAAUUGUGAGUGAUUAUGAUAGAAUCCAUAUACAACAUUUUGACUUUAAAAAAGCCCAGAAAACAAAUGUUUUUGACAAUCAAAUUCACUUAUAUAUAAUUUUGGAUGUAAUACCAAAAAACUUCAACAAUCUCUCUCUUCACAUUACUUCACCAUAUAAAGCAAAAGAUUCCUUCCAAUCUCCAUCUUUGUUUUUGCUUUCAGAGGAGGCCACUACGUUACAAAAAUUUUAGACAUUAUUGUUGAUUCCAAUUCCACAUAUUUUCAUUGUUGAAUGUACAAAACACCCAUUGUAAAUUAAUUUUAAAUUUGUAUCUAAAAGUUAUGGUAAACAAGGUACAACUUAUGAUUCUUUUCUAGAACAAAAUUUUAAUUUUUCUUUAACUAAAAUUAUCAUUUUCACCUCAUUACACUCUCUUGAUACUUCGAGUUUGAAAAAGAGAUCAAAGAAAGAAAGAAAAAGUUAUGCAUACCAAUCUUAUGCUUUCUUUAAAGCAUUUAUAAUUUUUAGUUUGUUUUAUGUUUAGUUUUCAUUUGAGUUUUUUUUUAGAUAAUUUACCUUUCUUGCUUUUAAGCUUUUUAAGUUUUAAAAUUUUACAAUUCAACUCUAAAUAAAUGGUUUCUCUUGAAUGUAUUAAAAUAUAAUUUUGGUCAUUGUAUUUGUUCAAUACAUCUCAAUUUAAUCUCCAUUUUACUAGGUUUUGUUUUGUUUUUAAUGAUAUUCAAUUAUUAUUUAUUUACAGUUUUAUCACAUACUUUGAAAAUAUAUUCACAUGUCAGUAUGUUUUUACAUAUAAAAAAAUUGUUAUUAUUAGGGAACUACCAAGAAAAAUUAACUUGAAGAAAUUUAUUCAUGAAAUUUACAAAUAUUAAAAUUUUACAUUUAGAAAUAUACAUAGUGAUUAAAAAAUUGAACAAACUUUUUUAAAAAUGAAACUAUUUAAAAUGUAGCAAAAUAAUUUAAAUGAGUUAAAAAAAGUUCCAUUAAUUUUGUUAUAUUUUGUAAAUAUUUUCUACACUUUCAUAUUUUUUAAAAUCACAUUUUGAAAUUAAUAAAAAACAUAUAUAGAAUCUCUUGUACUAUGACUAUGAUAUGAUGUGCUUAUUAUUUUUGCAUAUUUGAUUUUUGAGUACUAUAAACUUUUUUUUACAAUUGUUGAGACGAAGAAUUGAAUAUUUGAUUUUUGAAAUCGAUGUAAUACAUGCUUUAUAUCGAUUCAGCUUUGAGUAUUAUAAUUGAGGUAAGAAACAAUAUAAUAGUUUUUAGCUACUGAUCUUAUGAAACGCUUGUGAUAUGAUGUAUUAACUAAUUGAAUUACAUUCAAAUUCUCACAUUUUGUACGAUAUUAAAUUAGGAUAGGAAAAGAACCAUGUGUUCUACAAAAUCAUGUUGUGCCAUUUAUUCUUCUCUUUUUGAGUUCACAAGUGUGAGGCUAAUGGAUACCAAUAAAAGUUAUGCUCAAAUUGACAAUUUAAUUUUGGUAUUUAGUUUCCAAUUUACAAUUAAUUUUUAAAAAAAUAUAUUGAGAGUAAUACUUAUUGUCAUUGUUAUUAUGUUAUAAGAAAUAAUAUGGUAAAGUGAAGCUAGGUUAAGAGUAAUUUAAAAGUUCUAAAAUUAGAUACAUAUCCGCAUGUUGAAUAAAGAAAGAGAGUGAGAAUUAGUGAAAAAAUUAAGUACGAACAUAGCAGUUAAACCCAAAGAUUUACAAAUACAACAUAAUGCAAACAAGUUUUGAUGUAUAACAAAAUAUAUAGUUAGCUGACACACAGUUAUAUUUUUGCGAUAUUUGAAUUUUUUUUUUAAUUAAGAAUAAUUACAAAUUUAAUAAUUACAUUCAAAAUAAUUAAGUAUAUAACAAUAUUUAAUUUUUUUACAAAUAUAAUAAAAUCUGAAAAAUUCUAACAACAGAGAAAUCUAUUACUGAUAAACUAGGUUUAGUUUAUCACUAAUAGGCCAUAAGAGUUUAUCAAGAAUAAAAGUAUUUCACAAAUAAAAUUUUAAAAUAAUUUAUAUAAUUAAUUAUUAUUCCUAAUAUUAGGAUUUUUUUAGAUUAAUUAGUCUUCACGGGCCUGAGGAUUGUCAUCAUAUACUACUCAAUGGGCCUCAGCCCAAUUACUACACUUACUUAAAUGAAUGGCCUCGGUCCAAUUAAAAUAUUGACUUGAAUGAUUAAUGGAAUGUGACUUUUAAAAGUCGAGUCACAUUAUUUUAUGUGAGAACUAUCAGAAUGCCAAAAAAAAAAAAAAAGAAUAACAAACAAAAAAAUAGCAAAUUUACAAAAUACUAAGAUUUAUAGCAAAAUUGGAGUUGUAGAUUUUUUUUUACUUUUUUUUAAUCGAUUAUAUCCCUCUGUAUACGAGAUUUUUUGUCACAUACAAUAUAUUUGUAGAGAUAAAAAAUGAUACAAGAUAUGACAGAUUCAUAGAUACAGUGUAUUUGCAAAAACAAUCAAUUUUAAAAAAUAUUAAAUAAUUUUUUAUUUUCGGACUAUAUAAGAUUACACCAACAUCCCCUAGAUUUAUGCCUGUAAUUUAUAUAAUAUUCCUAAAUUUUUAGGUUUCAAUUCAAUUAAUUAAUAAUUUAUUUCUAUAAUUCAUAAUAUAUAUAAAUUCAAGAAAAAAUUGAGUUAAUAUAAUUUCUAUCACAUUCCAUUUGAUAAAGUUCAUUUUAGUAUUUAUUAAUAUUUUAUUAAUAUUUUAUUAUAUAAUACAUAAUACAUAUUUUUCAUAUUUCUAAUAACAAUUUGAGGUUAGAUUUUAUAACCUCUAAUAAAAUCGUCAAUUUGAUUUUUUUUAAACGAUCAUAUCCCUACAAUAAUAACAAACAUAAAUUCAACGUUUUUUAAUUAUUUAUAUUUUCAAAAUAUUUAUAAUUUUUUUAAAUUUAAAUAGCUCCAAAAUACAUAUGCUUAAUAACAAUUUGAAUUUAAAAUUUUAUCAUUCCCUCAAAUCGUGCUAAUUAUGAUUAUCCACUUAUUUUAUUAAAGCAAAUUCACUCGUAAAGUCGUGCUAUUUAGUUUAGUUGAUAUCUCUAAAAUAAUGUCAAACAUAAAUUCAAUAUCUUCGGAUUAUUUAUAUUCCAAAAUAUUUAUAAAAAAUUGAAUUUAAAUAUCUCAAAAAUACAAGAAUUUCACUUUUUUAUAUUUUCAGUCGAUUUUACCUAUAAGCGAAAAAUUCUUAUCUGAUAGAUACAAUGUAUUUGUGUAGGUUAAAAUGAUGGAAUAUAACCCAGAAUCAAUACAGUGUAUUUGCAAAUAAUUCAGUUGUGUGAAAAUAUUAAAUAAAUAUUUAUUUUGACGAUGGAUCUGAUUGUAUCAAUAUCCCCUAGAUUUAUACCUACAAUUUAUACCAAAUCAAGUAACUAACAGUUUAUUUAGUUGUGGUUGUUAAGAUUAAAAUGAUAUCUUACCCCUAUAAUUAUGAUGCAUUUAAUAGGAUUAUUCUAAGAAAAUUUUGAUCUUUUCUAUAAUCGUGCUACUUGAUUGAUUUUAUGUCAAACAUAAUUUCAAAAUUUUAGGAUUAUCUUGUUAAUAUUCCUUAUCUAUUUUGCAUAAUUGUUUUUUAAAAGUAGGUUUUAAAUUUUGAUUUGAAACCAUCAAAAUAUUAAAAUUGCUUUAAAAAUUUAUAAAAAUAGGUAUAGUUAAUGAAAAUUUGAAUUUAAAUUUUUAUCAUCCCAAAAUCGUGUUAUUUGUUUCAUAUCUCCACAAAAAAUGGCAAAACAUAAAUUUAACAAAUUAUUUAUAUUUCAAAUUUUAUAAAAAAGUUGAAUAAUUUAUUUUUGGAAGAAAUUAAUUGAGAAGAAAAGAUUUGUUUUAUUUAAAUUGGAAAAGUAAAAAGGAAAAGAAGAUAUUUAGGGAGAAAUAAUAAUAAUAUAAUAAUAUUAUUACUAUUCAUCAUCUUCUUCACUCUCACCAAACCCUAGUCGCCGAUGACACCUCCAUCUCCGUUCGAGUUUCUCUGUCCAGUCUAGAUCUCCACAUUUGUAGCCAUCCCCUCCAUUAUGUCGACUCAGAACUAAGUCGUAAGGAAGCGUCUCCUCCGUUGUACGUCGAUAGUCGCAUUUUUACUUCAUUCGAAGCCAAGCGCCUUUGCGCCGCUUGUUCCUUCAUGCAUCGCAUGGUUGGUCUCCUUCAUCACCAUUCGUUCUUGGUUCUGCCAAAACUUCCAGCCACCGUUAGUCACCGGAUUUUAGUGAUUUUGUCAUUGUUGGGGUUUUGUUGUAUGUUUUCUUAAUUACCCCUUGAAGUUUAAAUAAUAUUAAGUUUUAGAUCUUUAAUUUGGAAGAGACCAAAGUGGAUAGAAGACAGAAAGGGAGAAUACAAGGUAUGUGGUUGAUGUUUGAAGACUUUGAAAGUUUUGAGGAGGACGAAGCUUGAAGCUCCAAUCUUUUCUACAAUUGAUCGAAGACUAUGAAGAUUUGGUGGAAUCUAGGAAAGUGGAAGAUAGUGAAACUGUAUUCUUCUCGACUUUGAAUACCUAAACAUGCACAAUUUCAACAAGGAUUUGUUAUUUAAUUACACGGUAUUUGGGUUUUAGGUGAACAAUUGUAUUUAGGACUGUUUUUGAAUUGGCUAGAGACAUUUGAGACAUUGUUUCAUUUAUUUAUUUUUUAGAUUUUUCAAUUUUACUAUUAUAACAAUUUAAAAAUAAAUUUGCUAUUUUCCCAAACUAAAAGUCAUAAUUUGUUAUUCUUCUUGACAAUCCUAUUUUCUUUUUGUUUUUCCUUUUCUUUCGUUUUCGAUUUCUUUUUUUUUUUUUGUUAAGGCUUCUAAAGUUGCUUAUAUACCCUACCAAAUUGAGGAACGUGUCUAGUUUCAUGAUUGGUUAAUGGUGAGGAUCAACUAUGAUCCUCUCUUGUUUGAGGUCGAGCAUUUAUUUCUAUGUUCAUUUUUGUCCUAGGGCAAUGCUUUUGGCUUGAGGCAUAUAUGAGACACAUCUCAUUAACAAUUUUGCUAGGUUUACCCUUGGAUUUACGCAUAAUAAUUGGGUUUUGAUGCGAACUAACCCACUCGUUUAAGCAUAUAUUUUGGGACUAUGCUAUUAUAUUGUCUUAAUUUUUUUUUUUUUUUGUCGAUUAUACUCUUCUAUCCAAAAUCACUUAUAUUAUUAACCAUUAUUUAUGCUAUUAAAAAUAAUUGUGUCAAUUAUAUAUAUUUGUGUAUAUAUAUAUAUAUAUAUAUACACUAUGGAUCUCUCCUUUCUCUAAAACCAUAUAUGACUUUGAGUAAUUGCACCUAACAAGUUCAUUCAAACACCACAAUAGCUAACCAAGGGAGAAAUGUAUUAUCGAAAAAUCAUGCCUUUUGCUUUUUAUUAUUUAAUACAUUUUUAUUUUGUCUGUCUUAUAAGAGUAACAAUUAUUUGGGUGAAUCAAUGUAGACUCUAUUAUUUCGUAUAUUGACAAAUGAGAUGUAUAGUUAUUAAAUUAACAAUUAUGCAAAAAAAUAAAUAAAUAAAACUCCUAUACCUCAAACAUAGAGGUUGACUAUCGAGUACUAUUUAAUUAACUUGACAACAUGCCACUAUAAAACUGUUAGAUAAGUUUCCUUUUUCUAAACCCAAAACUAGUUGUAUAUAAAACAUUCGUCAAAUCACAUUGCUUCAGCCUCUUCGAACAAUUCCUUAAUAUAGAUGCAAGUGUGUAAGGCACAUCAUCGUGAUGUUCGAGGACUUGGGAGCACCAUGGAAGCAAGCCUAGGUGACAUAUGGAUUCUAGGGCUAGGCCUUGGGGAUGGAAUUGGAAAAUUUGAGUUGUAUGUAUGUUUUUGAAUGUUUGGGAUUCUAGGCGAAAGUUUUAGCUUUUCUAAUGCUUGAAAUUGAAGGUUGGUCGGAUAUUCUCGAACGCAUCCAAUUCGAGGACCGGCACCGGUCGUCCAUUUGCUUCUUCUUGCAACUACAUUACUGCAAUGCUUUUCCAUUUCCACCGCUUCUCCUGACGGUUCUGUCACUGCUCCGUCACCCCUUACUUCCUUCUCCUCUUCUGUUGUUUCAUCCAUUUCCUCCUUUUCUUUCUUGGUACUAUUGGGCAGUACGUCAUCGUCUGUUGCACAUUUCUGCAUUUUACAUAAUAAUAAUAUUCACAACAAUUUAGUUUCUUAAAUAUGAGUCUUUGUUCCAAAAGUAAACUUCAUAACUUUACCAUAAGUAAGACAAUAGUAGAUUUGUUUGGUAGAGAUAUCAAAUUAAGAGUUAGUACCUUGACGUUUGUUAGGUCGACAUUGUUCUCCUUCAAGAAUUCAAUGAACUCGAUAAAAUUCUCUUCUGUAGGACGAUAAUGACCACUAUACGGCCAAAUAGCCUAAAACAAAUUCAAAUUUAAAAUCACGUUAGAUCGUUAAUCUAUUAACUUUUUUAAAAAUUGAGAAAGGUAAUAUAGUUUAGAAAUUACCUUGAGAAUACCUUCAUGGGAAACCAAUCGGCCGGAAGCGGUGGUGACACCGCCGGCAAGAAAGCUAGAAUGUUGAAACUGUCCUUUAACUUUCUUCCCAACAUAUAAACUUUUUGAAGCACUAAGAACAAAUAUCCAUUUAGAAUCCUCCAUUGUGUUAACAAAAUCCCCACUUUGUUUGUACAUUAGUUUCCCUUCUUUCACAACCACUUCAUAACUUUCUCUUUGUUUCUGCUCCACCAAAAAAUAAAAAAUAAACACAACACAGAAUCAGUCUAUGAACUUUAUUUUGGAUUAAAAUUUCACUACCCAUCAAUGCAAGUUUUUGAAAACUAGAGACAAAACGGUAAAAAAUAUGUAUAGAUUUACUAAAGCUCUCUUUCAUAACCAUUUUGUUUUCUAAAAUCAAGCACAUGACACACUAUACUUAUUAUGGCACUACAUCUAACUUUCUUUCUUUAUUAUCUAAUUUAUUACCAUUUAAUUGAAAAAUCAAACUAAAUUUUGGAAGAGAAAAAAAAGUAACUUUUAGAAGUGUAAUUUGACAACAAAUUCAAUUAUUUUUCUUCCAAACUAUGUAAAUUAUGACAUGAGAUAGAGAAGGUAGGAUUAAUUUUUAAAUAGUUGCUAAAGUAGGCUUUAAUUGAAAAUAAUUUUAGUAGUAUAAAAAUACAAUUAAAAGCAUAAAGUUGAACAUUGAGUCGAUUUCAAGUGGUUAAAUGUAUGAAUUUUUAAGUGAAUUGAAUGAUAACAAAAUGAUUUUUACCCUUUUAAAUUCACUUACCAUACACCUUUUAAACUUUUCAUAGAAAAACUAGUAAGAGUAAAAUAUCAAAACUAAUUUAUAAUUUAAAAGAUUUUAAAAAUCAAAUUUAGAAAACGUUUGAAACUAAAUAUCAUUCGGUCAACUAGUCAACAAGAUUCACCAAUAGAACAAACACUUCAUUGUUCCAUACUUACAGGUCCCAGAUAUUGAAUGCACUGUCUUUGUAGAAUUGCUCUAGAACAUUUUUCAAGAUUCAACUCCUUCCCAUCUCCAAUGUCCAACCUUUUUAUUUAUUUGUCAAAAAUAUACAAAAACAAAACAAAAAAAAGUUAAUAUAAAAAUCCAUAUUAUAUAAAAGAUAAUGUUAAUCAGUAAACAUAUCCAUUAUUCAAAGUUAUGUGUGUGACACAUAUAAUAUUGUUGAAUCUUAGUGUAAGAAUAUUUAAUCAAUACUUUCCUUAUGUCAAACUUAAUUUUGAAAAGAGAGCCAAACAUUGUUAAUUUGACGUUGAUAUUAAAAUUUUAGCAAAUUGAGGUCCAAAUAAAUGGAAAUUAAUAUAAUGUAAUUUUACAAAUUAGAAUUUUCUAAUAUAAUUUAGUGAUAGUUUCUUUCAACUUACCAAUAAAAGAAAGGCUGCGAGCUUUGACUUUGGAACCACACAUCAUAAUAUAUGUGGAGAUUGUGCCCAUAACGAUGACGUGGAUCGAUCUGCUUCAUUAGAAGAGACAAAAAUUUAUUAAAUAUAUACAACAUAUUCAACAACGUUCAACUUUUUCUGUUUAAUUAAAUUAUUCCUUCAUUAUAAUUAUAAUUAGAUAUUAAUCUCCCAAUUUCAGGUUGUUUAGGAAUCUUCAUAAAUAUGUAUUCAAAUAAAUUAAUAAACUUACAGCUUCCAGCCAGUGUCUUAAAGCCAAUUUCUGAGCUUUCUCAUUCUUUGAUAAUCCCUUCCCAACCUACAAAAAAGACCAAUCAAACAAAUUUUUUCAGGCUUAAUAAUAAUUUAAUUAUGUUUGUUCAACUUUAAUAUGUUUAUAGUAUUAAAAAUAAAUAAAAUAUCAAUACUUAACUAUGCUAACUAGCUGACUUUUAAUAAGAAUUUAUGUUAAACUGUGUAAUGACACAAUAAUCUCUUAUUUAUGUGAGGUAAUAUUUCUAGUUAAAUACUUAAGACCAUUUUUUAUAAGUCCUAACAUAUCAUUAGAAGUAGUAGUCAACUUCUACUCAAGAUUUGAGAACUUUUUUAUUUUCAAAUAAAAGAAAAAAGGUUUUCAAAUUUUGGUCAAUUCAAAGUAAAAACCAUGCCAAUUUUAAUUUCUACUCUUCAAUAUUUGGAUUCAAAUCUGUACAAAAACCCUACACUUGUUAUUGAUGGUUUGAAAUAAUCGUUUUAUAACAAAAUCAAUAUUUUAUAAAAAGUAAACUUAUUUGAAGUUAAAGAAAUCUAAGUUCAUUCAAAUUAUUUACCUAAAAAUAUAAAACACAAUCUUAAGUUCAGGAAAAUUAUCUAAAAGUGAAGCAUACGAAUGUAUCUGAAGAACAAAGCUGGUCUAAAAUUUGACACAAGAAAAUUUUAAUUAAAAAAGCAACUAAUCACUAUCAAAAUCAAAAUAAUAAUAGAGAAAGAAAUAAAAUUGAAGUACCUUUGCAGCUCUUGCUCCGGCCCUUGACCAUUUUGACACGGCGGUUUCCGACUUAUUGGAGUCGAAAAACGACACCGAGCUCCGCCGUAGAGCGGCAAAAUCCAACGCCUUCCACCUUGAAUAAAAGCAUAAUUUUUUUAAUGAUUAACUAUAAUUGUUACAUUUCGUUAAAACAAUGAUUUUUUUUUGGUGGGGUUUGUUUUAAUUACCAUAAUUCUUCGACGACAACAGCACAAUCCGCAAGAUUCCGUCUUGUUCGGUAACCUUUAUAAAAUUUCUGUAAUUUGACGGCGGCAGUAUCAAACUGAUCACCGGAAGGCAGCGGAGACGCCACCGGGGUGGAGUUUCUAGUUUUAGGGAGUGGAAUUCCGGGAGGAUGGGAAUCCAAAUUCAGAAAAGAAAAAUUCCUACUUGGUUGUUCCACCCUCAAAUUCCCGGCAUUCUUCUCGGACCUAAACCCUUGGUUCCCGUUCUUCUUCCCCGGCGAUGAAAUCGCUUCUCCGGUCUUCUCUAUCACCAAGCACAUUUUCUGAAAUUUUCAUAAAAUUAAAACGAUCUAUAUUAGAAAUCUUCAUACUUCUCUCAAUUUAAAAGAUACUAACGUGAAUUUACGAAAAUGGUAAGCUUUUAGAUAACUUCAAAAACCUAUGAAUUUAUCCAACAAAUCGACGCGGACUGAAAUAAAAGCUCGCCAAAAAAUGGAAACCCCUUUAAAAUAGUAAUCGAUUUUUUUAUCUCCUAUUCCUAUAAAUCUAAAGAAUGAAAACAAAAAUCCUAGAAGGAAGGCUACCUGAAAAUUAAGAUGAAUAAUGUAAGAGAGGUGAGAUUUGUUAUUAUUUGAUGUGUUAUAGAAGAGAGAAACAUAUAUGGUUUAUAUAUGAAAUGAACAUCGGCCUUGUCGAGGACGAAAACGAGAAUAAAGAAAGGGAUUGGAAGAUUUAUGAGACAUGUCAAUGUGAGUACUUUGAAUGGAAUUCCUUUUCUUGUUUCUUUUUUUAACAAAAAUAAAUAAGCAAAUGAAAAUAUGUAGGUUUGAAGAGAGACGAGGAGGGAAGAGGGUUUGAUUUUGACGGGUCCAACUGAAAGAGAAUGGGAAAUUGAUUUUUUAUUUUCGGGGGCGUGGGAAUUCAAUACACGAAGUGGUACUAUUGAAGAAAGCUAACCAAAAGGUUUACAUUGCUUUUUAGUUUUGCCCCGUUUAUUCAAAUAGUGAUGGCAGGGAAAAUUGAUUUGUUCUAAACUACCAAAACUAUAAGUUAUAGGUGACUUUUUUUUUUAAUACACAAGUAAAAUAGAAUAUUUACAAAAAAAAAAAACUUUUUUGGUGAUUGAGUAGUUCUCAAAUUUAGGAUAAGCCUAAGUUUAUCAAGUAGAACGAUUUUGAUGAGAGGGUGUUUCAACUUAGGGAGAGUCUCGAUGAUGAAUAAUAUAUUAGGCUCUAUGUGUGACACACAGUAAUUGACAUUAUGUUUUAUAUAAGUACAACGUUGUAAAUGUUUGACUUUUUAUAUUAGUGAAUUUAUUUAUUUAUCAGCUACGCUAUCCCGAAGCAUAGGUCGCACAUUGUUGAAUGAGGUUUCCAAACUGUGUGUUAUUAUCCUAGUUUGUUGUUUGUGCUUUAUUAUUAUUAUUAUUAUUUUUGUAAUUUUCAAGGCUUUCUAUGGAACGUUUGUAUUCUAUGUGACAGAUCACCUUACUAUUUCAAAAAUAUAUGUUUAGUUUCACAAGUUUAUUGAAUGGUUCUCUAAUGAUUAAAUAUAUGUUUUCGAGUGACUUAAAUUAAUAAGAAAAAAACGCAAAUGAUUUUAACCAUUUUAAAAUUAUUAUAAAAUGUAAACGAAUUAAUACACAAUGUUAUUGAUUCUUGAAUAAUAUUUUUUUAGAAAUUAACACACUAAGUUCCCAAAAAAAAAUGAAUGAAGUUGUGUUCCUUCACAAUUCUUCAAUCUUGGAAAACAAAUCUUGUGAUUUAAAUCUGAAAGUUGUGAACUCAAGUCCAUGUUUACCGAUUUGUAAUUAACUUGAAUAUUUUGUUGUUGGAUCAAUCAAAAUCGAUAUAAUGACAGUGGGCAUCAAUCACAAAUGUAAUUAAAUUGUUUUAUUUAUCACGUUAAUCUGAGUAUUUUGUAAACGUAAUUUAAUUAUAUUAUGAUAGAAGUUAUGUACUUUGCAUUAUUUGUAUCAUUGCGUCUUUUUACCGUUACCUUUAUUAUUACUAUUUAGGAUCAAUUUGAUAUUGAUAUUUGUAAUCCUUAUAACAAUAACUAUAACAUAUAUGUAAUUUUUAAACACAAACAUAUUGGCCAUCUUUAAUCCUGAAAGUAAAUUAUGUUUGUGGAUUACAAAUUUGAGAUCCCACGUUUUAAUACAUUUAAAAUAGGCCAAAAAAAAAAAAAAAAGAAGAAGAAAAAUUUAAAAUACAACUAGCCGAAAACUACAUUUUUAUAAUAACGUCCCAUUUGUAUAUUAUAACAUUUAGUUUCUAAUUCCUAAUUUAAAAGUGAAGAUUUGAAUCUCUAUAUUCUACGUGAUCGUGAUGAUAUUUCAUUCGUGUAUAUUAUGAUCAAUAUCUAUCCAUGUCAUUUUCAUGUUGAUGUUUAUAACCUCACGAUUAUUAUUAAACUAGAAUGAAUAAAUAUAUAUAUUUAAAAUGAGAUUGUUUGAACAUCUUAUUCCUUUAGUUGCAUUUUUAUAAUUUGUCGUCACGUUUUUUGUUCUUUUUUGGAUAAAAAAUUGUAUUCACGUUGCUUCUGGUCAAUGUCAAAGUUCCCCUCAUUUCUAAGCUCCUCGCUGCGACCGUACACAUCACCUCAUUUUCUCCUCACUUCUCAUUUCUCUCUCUCUCUCUCUCUUUUUAAACUUCAUUUCUAUACAGAGAUCCAUUAAAUAAUAAUAAUAAUAACUUUUAUGCCAUGAAAUAUAUUUUUAAAUUUAUUUAUAAAUGUUUUAGCUAACAAAACUACGUUGGGCACAAAAAUUCAAAUUAUUAUAUGUUAUAUUAAUCUAAAUUUAUUCUAAUAAUUUUGGUUUCCCUCGCUUAAAAGUUAGUUUUUAUAGUUUUAUAUCUCUCAAUUUUGGAUGUUGAGUUUUGGUUGUUUCUACAAAAAGAGUUCAAAUUUUGAUAAUGCAUACCCUAUUUAUUUGUUUUUCUAGAGACCAACCUUGAUUAACUUGUGACCUCUAAUGUGGAGAAAAUUAGAAUUUACGCAUAAGAAUUAAGUUAAAUUGUAACUCUUAAAAUCAUAAGAAUUAUUAUACCAUAUCUUCUUUCAAAUUAAGGUCCAAAUUUACAAUAUAUAUAUAUAUUUAUAGAGUUUUUGUAAAAAUGAUUAGACUCUAAAAAGUUGAAAUAUUUGGGUCAACUUAAUUUUGUUCCGUAGGUGAAGUUAGAUUUCUAAUAUUCUAUAUAUAUUUUUUUUAUAAAAGUGGAAUUUUUACUAAAUUGACUAUGUUGGAUCAUCAACUUUGACUAAAUAAAAUCGAACCUGCCCCUACUUAUACCCAAUUUAACUUAACUUGAAAUUUCAUUCCACAAAGCAAUUUUAAUUUUUACAUUUUGACAAUGUCAAACAGACCAAACCACAAAGUUCAAAGAAAAGUAAAAUUACAUGAGAAUUAGUUCUUGUAGUGUAAGAAUUAAGAUUGGAAAUUCAAACCUCCCAUUAACUUAAGCUCGAUUUGGACUUUAAAUAAAAACGUUUCCCUGUAAAAUAUGUUAAGGAAAAUAUCCAUUAAGCUCAGUUUAUUAAUUAUUUUUAUUUAAACAUAACUUUUUGAGUCAUAAUUCUAUUGUUUUGUACUCAAAUUUUGAAAAUUUUCUUGUAGCAUUUUAGAUCGUGUGUGUGUGUAUAUUUCUGAAAUUAUGGCAGAAAAUUCAAUUCUUCUAUUAAAAUAUGAAAAAUAAAAAUUGGAUUGAUGGUUGCAUUUUAGAAAUCCAUAAUUAGGAAAGACCCUAAAUUCUUGGCUAAAAUUAGCCCAUAAAAGAAUACAACUUUGACAAAAGAUAGUACACAUCUAUACGUUGAUAAUAUAUGUAAAUUGCAUUAAUGUGUUGCGUGAAGUUGAAAGAGAACACUUAACUACAAAUAUUAGAUUUCGUUUUGAUAAUUUUGAGAAAUAUCAAAAAUACCCUAGUCAACACAUGAUUAAUUGACCAUACUUGUGCGUGAGUAAUCUGAUUCUAAACAAUCGUGUACUGCAGUCUAAGCAAAUUAUCUACGAGAUUUAGGUCUUGUGAUACGAUCGUGUAGUUCUUUUUAACGAUGGAAAAAAGGCUUCAAUUUUAAAUCAUCAUGUUGAGUCAUGCUAAACGAUCGUGUUGACUAUGGUAAACGAUCGUUUAGAUCAUAUCCAUACGAUCAUGUAGUUAUUUUUUCAACAACGAAAAAAGGGCUUCAAAUGCUAAACAAUCGUGUUAACUAUGGUGAGUGAUCGUUUAGAUCAUAUCAACACACCGUGUAUUUUUUUUUUUUAAACAAUGAAACAAAUAUUUCAAAUUUGAACGAUUGUGUUGACCAUGGUAAACGAUCGUUUAGAUCAUGUCAAAAUGAUAUUUAAACGAUCUUGUUAUUCUCAAAUACGAGGAAGAUGAAGUAACUUCAAAGAAUCUUAUCGAAAACGGUGAAGAUGAAAUAGAAUAAUAAAUUGUUUAAAAAUAGAACAAUAAAUUGUUUUAAAAUAGAAGAAAUUUUUUUUAGAGGAGAUGAGAAAAUCUGGAAAGAGAGGAUGAAUAAAUAGCAAAGAAGAAGCGAACAAAGAAAAGUAACAAAUUGUCCACAAUAUUCAAGAGUAAAUUUGAAAAUUAUGAAAAUAGUGUACCGGCUCUAUGUGCUUUUGCUUUUUGUUACACUGACAGUAAAUAUUUAUGUGUUUUGUUACAUUGAUCAAAAUUAACCUUUAAGAUAUAUAAUAAAAUAAUAUAUAAAUUAAACUGGUAUAAAAGAAUAAGUACUUUAUAUUAAAUUGUUGUUUUCAUUAACUCUUUUUCUUUUUCUUUUUUUAAAUUAACCAUAUGAUUCCAAUAUUAAAAUAAUGUAAAUAAAACAUGGAAAAGUGAGGGUGUGUGUUUGAGAAUGGUAGUUGGAGUAAUGAUUUGAGAAAAAUAGAUUUAGGUGUAAUAGCGUAUGAAUAUGCUAUCUAUUUCCACUUAAUUUGAGUUCAUUUCGUGAUUUUACGUUCUUGAUUGGAUAUUUUUUAGGUGUUUAAGAAUCAAUGUGUGUUUGAAAGGUAGAAUGUGGUGAGUAAAUGUCACUUUGGAGCUAGUUUGGACAAUUUGGAGUUGUAUGAUAUCACCCGAGGCAAUACAAGCAAGAAAGUAAAGUUGAUAUAUAUGUUGGAACCUUUGUGGUGCAAUGCCAAAAAGGCAGAAUGAUGCCUUAAAAUGUAAUUGGCCAAGCACCGCGACACUCGAACUUGUGAAGCAGAUUGUCCUGAAUCAGCCUCUUCUAAUUUGUUUUCUCCCUAUUUUCUAAGAAACUUUAGUAUUUUUUUAUCCAAAAAAGUUUCUCAUCAUUCGACAUGUUGAUGAGAGGUUAAGGUACUGUAAGACUCAUACCUAAAUCAGGAGGACAAAAAAUUUGAUUAAGUAUUUGAAGAAGGGGUUUUGAAGAAAGGACGCAAUAAGAAGUGGGUGUUAAGAUAGUUUUUGUGGAAAUGAGUUGACGCAAAAAGACAUUUCACAUUUAGGAAUCAGUAGGCGUUUGGAGUUCUUCACGAGAUAAAGUGAAGGCAAGGGAACCUAGGAACACAGACUAAGGUUUAGACGACGAAGAGUAAGAAAAACUUAUGGAAAAUUUCCUAAGAAUACGUAAUGGGUCACGUGUAGAAGUUUAAGCUAAACAUGGUUAAGUUAAACAACAAGCCUACACAUGUACCCCUAAGAGCAAAAGCUGGCACGUUAUUAAGAGAUUAAGGAUGACUAACCCAUUUUAGGAUUAAUGUAAAUAGAGGAAGUAGACAGAUUUGUUAAGAGUCUUUGCUCUAAGAAUUUGUAAGAAAAAGCGAGUGUCACUCACCUAGGAAGAAAACUUCUAGUUGAAAAGAAAAAGUAGAAGAAGGAAAGUUAGGCGUUUUGUAAGGAAGUUAUUUGUGAGUGAUUUCUUCUAAAAGUAUUGGUUUAUAUGAAAAGUCUUCUUUAAGUUAUUACUAGUUUGAAAAGAUGUUUUGUAUAUGAAUAUCUUAAAAAGAUUUCAAAUGAUGUUUUAUGUAUGUAGAAAGUAUGUUUUAUGAAUGUGAAGCUAUGCUCAAACCAUUAGUCUUCUUUCUGUCAUUGAGCUAAUUGUUAUGUACACACAAGGGAUAAAGGUAACCACGUAAAAAAUGAUUGCAUGGUGAAAUGAAGCCGACGAAUGCAUAAAAGGCGUGUAUUGUGUUAGGCGGCCUGAGAAACAAGAAGUGAAUUAUCAGGAUACUUCCAGAUGCUAUUGAUGAAAAAGACAUCACAGUAGUCUAAACACAAGAUGAUUAGUCUUGGCGUAGGGAAUGAUUCAUGUUCUUGGCAAAAGAAUUGUUUGAGACUAGUGUGUAUUUGUGCGCUAUGUUGUUUUAUGCGAGUUGAUUUGAAAUAAUGAUAUUUAUUAAAUAUUUUUUUCGAAAAGGUUUCCUUAAAACCUCACUAAAUUUAUUGACUUAUGUUUUAAAGUUCUUUCUUCCAGGUGAUCAUGCGUUAAGGCUAAGUUGGAAAAAAGUGAAAUGUUGGCUAGGGGAGGAAGCUUGGCGAGACGUUUAGUUUAAGUUUACGGUUUUAUCUGUUUGUAAAGUGCUGUAAAACAUUUGGUUAAAGGUUAAUAAGUUUUAUGUUUUUGUUCUUCUGUUGUGCUAUGUUUUCUUUACCGCUUAAUUAGUGAGUCUAAAAGGACUUAAGAUUGAGCUAGGUGUUUGAGCCAAGUUUCAAGGCUCGAGGACUUAAGCUGAGCUUUUUGGCGUUUAAACGAGUCAAGAAUGCUCCAGUCAUUUCACGUAAUGCAAUGUUUCAAGUGCUUGCAGAACAGGGUGUGACAAGUACCGUUUUCUAGCUUGAGUUUCUUAGAUUCUCCCUUUAUCCCUAUGAAUUUAUGAGAACUUGUACUUUAGUUUUAUGUAAUAUUUGGUUCAAUUCUAUUCUUGAAUGAUAUUUUGUUAUAUGUUUGGACGCAUAGACUCAUGAGAAAUAUAUGAUUCUCACUUUGCAUCAAAUCUUUGACUCAUGAUAAUUAGGAGAGAGUUGGUUAGAAGCAAUAGGUUAGGUUAACUUGUAAUUCUAAUUUGAUGCACAUUGUUAUACCCAUCAUAGGAUUGAACAUAUUUAAUGUCAAUUAGAUGCAUGGGAUUGAACCUAUUUAAUGUCAAUUAGAUGCAUGAAAAUAAAUUAGGCAUUCCACCUAAGGAUCUUUAGAACUUAACGCUAUUAAAAAAUUCAAUAUCGCAUACUUAAUCGUAUAUUGGGUUAGAACAAUUAGAACCUUGAGACAAUUUAAUUGCCUUUUUUAGUUAAAUUGGUCAGGUAAAGAUUGCAUAUAGAUAAAUAAUGAUAGCUCAAUGAGUAAAUUCUUUAGAUAAGAAAGAAAUCAUUAUAACCCAAACUAGACUCUUUUGACAUUGAUUUUUUUACAAAUUUCUUUUUGUUUUGUGCAAUUUACUUUCUUGCCAACAAUUUCCAAUCAAAAUCCUCCAUUCAACUAUGUAGUUGAAAAUUAGUUUAUAUGAGAAUUAGUGUGUUUCCUAUAAUCAACCCGGACUUGCCACUAAAAUUAGUGCUUGGUGAGUGAAUUUGAUUAUUUAUUUGACACACGGGGAAGCAUUUACUCUUGAAUAUUAACCAUAGACUGAAGCAUUUAUAAUUUAUUUAUUAAAAAUUAUUCACAAGAUGUAAUUCUCUCCUACACCAAAAUGUAUUUGAAUUUUGAGACCCUUUUUCGACGUCAAUUCCACCCUCACCGGACAUUAAGUCAAGUAUGUGGCAUUUGGAUAGAAGGGUUCUCUCUCAACUCUUUUUUGCUAGAAUAUACAAUAUCAAAAGAUCUACCAUCUUCCAACGUUUUUUUUUUUAAUUUUUAAUUUCUAUUUUUUCAAGACAUAUGAUCUUUUCUGACUGUAUAUUAAAAUAGGUAUUGCCAAAUCCCUUUCCAAUUAUAUUAAUUUUUAAUGUAAAUGGCGGGAAAAGUCCUUUUUUUCAAAGACUUUUUAUGACGCAUAAAUCUAGUGUUGAUUUAAGUCACCUUUCUCAAUACCAUGCAUGUAAAAAGACCUUAAUAUAUAUAUAUAUAUAAGACUUAUCUCAAUUCAAAAUGGAAGGAACGUCAUAAUAAAGUAAACCUUCCUCUUGUUGGAAAAACAAUGCAAAUGACGAUCAAAUGACUUGUUGCGCCGUGACGAAUCACUGCCCUGAAAGAAAGUUAGGCCCUAAAUCUAUGAUCUUUGCAUAUACAGGUUGAGACACUCUCUCUCCUUUGUUUUUCUUAAGAUGUUUACCAGCAUCGUAGGAGGUUUUUACUAGAGAGACAUUGAAGGAAUCAAAUUUCUUAGUAUUUUCUUAACGUAGUGUGAUUGAGUGAAGGAUAAAUCGUUUUCAUUUUUUCUGAUUUUAACACCAAGAAUUAUGCUUGCUUCUCCUAGGUCUUUCAUUUCAAAGUGUAACAACAUGAACAACUUUGUAUCUUUUAUUAACUCCAUGUUUGUCCCAAAGAUCAACAUGUCAUCAACAUAUAAACAUAUCAGUAUGCACUCACUGAAAAUAGGAAUAGAAACAAUGAUAAAACUUGCUUAGAACUUUUAGUGAAGAUAGAGAGAUGGUGAGACUUUUUAGUGGAGUGAAUGAAGAAUGAAUGAAUGAAGAACUUGGCGGAAGGGAUGUAUUUAUAAGGGAGUCCCACCAACUGCCAUCUAAAAGGGCGCAGUGGAAAAGUCGACAGUCGUGGAAAAGGGAAGUGGUCAACUUCAUUGAGUAACGUGUGACGGGGUCAAAUUAGACACUUAAGAAAACAAAAAAGUGGCUUAUUUUCAACACCUCAAUGUUUAUGCCCAUUUACUUCUUCCAGAUUUAUCAACGUGGGACAAGAAAGCGAACUUUGCAUUGCACCAAAGGCCCACAAUCUAUUUUCAACACCUCAAUGUUUCUUUUCUAAAAAUGGCUUCGAGUAGACAUAAAUCUCUUGACAACCGAAUUACCAUUGGGAGAGGGUGUUUUUCCCGAAAAAUUUUAUACAAUGAAAAAUCUAAAUUUUCUUUUAGUGCUUGUAAAACAUGUUUAAAGUCAUGAAAAGAUAUGGAUGUUACUUUUGGGUGGUAACUUCCAUUAAUUAUUUAUGAUAGCGUUCAAACUAUGCUAUUGUUUGAUAAUUAAAGACUAAACUUUUACGAAUUUGAUAAAGUUAAGGACUUACAAAUUAAAUUAUUACGAAUUUGACAAAUAAAAGAAGAAUAACUAGAUCACUACACCCUAAAAAAAAUUGAGAACUUAAAAUUAUUUUGAACCAAAAUUAUACCACUCAUUUCUAAACCUUUUUUAACAAAUGACUUUUAAUUUAAAAAUGACAAUCAUAAAGCAUCAUAUAAUGUAAGUAAAGUAUUAGUAACCUCUUUUCUUAAACAUAAAAAGUCAUGAUUCAAACCCUCAAUUGUAUAAAUUGUAUUAUUCUAAACAAAAUAUAAACAUCACAAAUUCUCUUGCCAUAUUAAAAUACUAAUUACUAAACCAUAUUCAUAUCUUCCAAGUUGUAAUUUUUAUUUCUUAAACAAAACUUAUACCAUAAUUAGCUAAUAAGAUAUAUGAUUCUACAUGUGUGUAUAUGCAUAUAAUAUAGAGAAACACACACAUAGUUUUAGCAUCAUUGCAUUUAAAUAUAAAGCAGAUAUGAAUAUUUAACUCUUAAAUAUUUAUUAUUAUUAUUUAAGAUACUAAAGUUAAAGAAAUGGAACUGAGAAUACAUAGUUUGACUAUUCUUAGUCGUCAAGAAAAGUGAGCCAAAGAAUUUGACCAGUGAGCGUCAGAGCAAUUCAAAGCUUAAACGACCUUCCUGUUCUUUACAUAUAUUCUCAACUUGUAACAUAACAUAUAUAUAUAUAUAUAUAUAUAUAUAUAUAUAUAUAUAUAUAUAUAUAUAUCCACUUCUACUUUUUCUAGUUUAAAUUAAAAUAUUUAGUCUCUCUCAAUCAUUACGAAAAGUUGGUAAAAUCUUCCACAUAGUUUGAUAAUUAAUUGACUUUUCAUUAGUUACCAAUAGCUUCUGUCAUAAAAACUAUUUUAGAGGAUUAAUUUUAUCAAAUCAUAUCAUUAACUAUUCAUUAUAAAUUAUCGUGAUUAAAUUUUAACUUUAAACCUUCGUUUAAUGUUGUUGAAGGUGGCCAAAGUCAAAACUCAAUACCCAUAGGAUAUAGGAAAAAGUAUGGAAGAGUAAGUGUCUAGCUAAAAAGAGAAAUAUUAGCACGUCUUGAGAAUUAAGACGAUUGAUCAAGUUUUUUAUGAACGUAUACCAUUAAAAAAAAUAAACAAUUUGAAGUUAGAUUGCACCUUGAAACCUCACAUUCUAGAAAUGUCUUUGAUAUCGUUAUUGUCAAAUCUAAUUGUAGAUGUAGACAUGUGUUAGAGGACUAACUUAUUGAUGGGUUUUGUACCCCAAAGCUCAUUGUUUGUAAUGUAAUAAACUAUUUAUUGAUAUUUAAUAAAAUAAUUGCUAUUUUGUUUGGUAAAUUUAUAUAAAUAUAUAUAACAAAAGGAUAAAUAUUUAAGCUUCAUAUCUCAAAAUAAGAAAAACUUAUGAAGUCUGAUUACUUGUUCAUAAAUUCUUAUUGGUUUUGAUCAUUGUGGAAUGAUUUUUUAAUUUUUAAUAUUUUUCUUCUUUGCAAUUUAUUCAAUUUCUUUACGAUUUAUUCAUUUGCUCUUUUAGAUUUUUUCCUCUUUAAUAUUCUUCUUCAUCUUCUUCAUCCUCGGCAACAUCAAGAUUCUUUAUAUUCCUCUAUCAAAAUCGUUGUAGUGAGUUUGUUUUUGGUAAGAAUCCUAAAUAUUAUUUUUGUUUAAAUUGUUCAAAAGAUUAUAAAAUUUCGCUAAGAAUUCUAUAUUUCAUUAUGAAUAUCGUUUUUUUUUUUUUUUUUUGUGGUACAAAUUAUAAAUUUCAUUUUCGUUUCAAUUGUUUAGAAGAUUUAAAUAUUACUGUGAGCAAGCUAGACAUUUAAGCGAAGUUGUGCUAGGAGUGGAAGGCUUGAGUUUUAUUUUAAGUCUUUAUGGUAAAGAGAACAUGUAUUGUAUUUUAAACGCAUUUAUGAAGUAAUAAAGAGAUCUUGGUUGUUAUAUUAUGUUGUGGUGUGUUUUUAUUAUAGCUUGGCAGGUAAAGGGUUUAAGGUUGAACUAAGCGAUAAAGCUAAGGUUCAAGUUGCUUAAAGAUUAGUUGUUGGUUGUGUCAAUUCCGCUUACUAGGUGUUUUGUGUGCUAUCUUGCCCAUACACGUAAAGUGUGUCUAGGUGGUCAUGCCUCCACUUGGUAACAUCAAGUUACCUUGGGUGGGGUUUGACAUCCCCAGACAUCCUAUCUCAACUCAACGUCCUAAACAGCUCUCAAGAUUUUUAAUUGGUCUAACUGUGUAUGAAAAUCUUGACAUGCAUCUUAUGGAUGUAGUCAUAAUAUAUUUACAUGAAUCUCUUGAUAAUGACAUUUAUAAGAAUUUAAGAUAAUUAAAACAUAUAAGUCAAGUUCUAGGAGACUAUAUUCAAUAAAGCUACAAAGAUCACUAUAUAUAUUGAAACAAUCAUGAUGAAUGUGGUACAAUCGUCUAAGCAGAUAUUUGUUGAAAGAAGGAUAUCAAAAUAAUUCAAUAUGUUUAUAUGUUUUUAUAAAUAAAAAAAUCACAGUUAGGAUUUGUUAUUAUAAAUAUAUUUGGAACUCUUGAAGAGCUUUCAAGGGCAACAAUAUAAUAACUUAAGAAAGAAUUUGAGAUGAAAGAUAUUGAAAAAAUAAAAUUUUCUUUUGGCUCGCAAAUUAAGCAUUUAGCAAAUGAGAUAUUUGUUCAUCAUUCAGCUUAUACAAGAAAAAUUUUGAAAAGAUUUUAUAUGAAUAAAACGCAUUCAUUGAACACUCAAAUGCAACUUUGUUCACUAGAUGUGAAGAAAAAUAUAUUUAGGCCUCAAGAUGAUAAUGAAGAACUUCUUGGUUAAGAAGCACCAUAUUUUAGUGCAAUUCGUGCACUCAUGUAUCUUGCUAAUAAGAAGACCAGAUAUGACAUUUUCAAUAAAUUUAUUAGCUAGAUACAAUUUUUCUCCAACAAAAAAUCACUGGAAUAGAAUAAGCAUAUACUAUGUUAUGUUCGAGUCACGAUUGAUAUUUGUUUAUUUUAUUCAAAUAAAUCAAAAUUUGAUUUAGUUGAUUUCAUUGAUUCUGGAUAUUUAUAUGAUCCACUGAAAGCUAAGUCUCAAAUAGCUUAUGUGAAGGAAUUGUUAUAUCAUGUCGAUCAGUGAAACAAACCAUAACUGUUAUAUCCUCAAAUCAUGCUGAAAUUCUUGCAAUUCAUGAGACUACUUGAGAAUGUGUAUGAUUAAGAUCAAUGACUCAGCAAAUUUGUGUGAAACAUGUGACUUGUUUCCUAGUAAAAAUCUUUCAACGAUACUAUACGAAAACAACACAACAUGGAUAGCUCAAAUCAAAGAAGGUUAUAUUAAAGGAGAUGAACAAAGCAUAUUUCACCAAAGAUUAGUACAACAAAUUUGCUUAAAGGAUAACUUGAUAGACUUAUUUACAAAGGCAUUACAUUCCCCAAUAUUUGAAAAUUUCAGGCACAAAAUCGGAAUGUGUUGACUUAGUAAUCUCAAGUGAUGUUUUCAUGAGGAGAAGGAGUAUUUUUGUAAGAGUAUAUGCUAUAUGAAAUAUGUACUCUUUUUUCUUCACUCGAAUAUUUUUCUCAUUAGGUUUUUUACUAGUAAUGUUUUAACGAUACAUAUUUCAUUUACAUAAUGAGCAUUUAAGAGGGAAUAAUAUAAAUAUUAUAAUACGGAGAAUAAUAGACGCCCAUUAUACUCAUGCUUGGUGUCCAUUGGUCAUGUGUUAUAUCCAUAUUAUCCCAAAUGUUGUACAUGUGUCUCAAUAUGACACACUAUAUUAGUGUCCAACGUCCAUGUAAUUCAUCUUAUGCUUACCAAAUUGUAUAUAAAUAAUGGCAUUUUGUGAGUUUUGUAAUUGAUACACAUUUUGAUGAAUUUUUCAUACAUCUUAGAGAACGAGGAUAAACUUGGAAUAUUUUCUUAUUUAUUUAUUUUAAUAUUAUAUUUUCUAGACACAUGUGUCCUCAUUGUACCUCAUUUUUACGUACAACAUUAAUAUUUUUAAAAUUUUUAUUCAUAUGUUUAUGAUGAAUAAUUAUUAAAACCAUAAAUUUUUAUACUACUCUUCCAAUAUUUACUAUAAUGAUUUUUUUUUACCAAAUCUCUAACCUCAAUUUUAUUUAUGUUACCUUUCAAUUUUGUUUCUAUGAUAUUUCCAAUAUUAUUUAUAAUUUCAUUUCAAUUCAAACACUCCACACUACAUUACUAAUUAAAAUUUAGUGUAAUAAAUAUUAGAAUACUAAUCAUUGCUUGUAACAAAAUAAUAGACAAACAUUUGUUAGUGUCCAUAUUUAUAUUUUAGUUCAUUUUAAUCUAUUUGAAAGCAAUCCAAACUAUAUAAACAUCCCGUGACUUCUAUAAAUUAUGUUGGUUACAAUAGACAUGUGCAGGAAAAAUACAGAUACAUUUUACCCUAAUUGGAUCUAAUUUUAUUGGAAAUGAACCUGCAUUACUUCCUUAAUUAAAAUGAAAUUAGGGUUAAAGAAAUUCUUAUCUUUGAAGCUCCCAUUCACUUGAAAUCUCCACACAAUCUCAAACUAGACCACCAUUAGUGUUGACUCUCUAUUCUUCCGAUUUAGAAUCGGAUUGUAGGACCCAAUGAGUGAAAUAUUUGGGAGAGAGUGAUAUGAAUGGAAAUUGAAGGAUUGAUUUAGGUUGAGAGUUGGGAAAGAAAAUAUUUCGAUCGAUGAGGAAAUUUUUAAGUAAAUAUCAAAAGAGCCAAAACUUUUUAUUCAAUACAAAAAGUACCAUUUAAAUAAACAAAAUACAUGCAAUUAUUGCAUGUUUAAACAAACCAAAGCUCAACACCUCACUACCAUGAACUUCCACUUAGCCCACUAAUGAGUUAGUGAAAUUAUGAAACAAUGCACUUUCACUUAGUGGGUUUGUGUCAACACGAUAAACUUUCACAUAGUCCACUCAGAAUUAGAUAUUCAAGUCAGAAGUCAAUAUUUUAAUUCUUUUACCAAUAAAAUGUUAGAUUUUCUCAUUAACUUUAGUCAAAGAGUAAAAUGAUCAUUUGAUCAUUCAAGUCAAACUCAAAAGUCAACAUUUUCAUUUUUCCCUCAUUUCCCCCUCAUUUUUUUUAAAUUCAAAUUAUAUUUGAAUGAAAACCCAUCAAAGUUUGACUUUUCAAAAUAAAAGUCAAUCAUUUUACAUUUUACAACUCCGACCAUUACCAUCAUUUUCGAGCUUCCAAAUAUGGUAGGCCUUUUAAAAACGACCUAGUACCUGCGACUUACACCACAUUGGUGUUUAGGUUUCUUUUUGCUUACCGACAAGCUCUCUUCUCCUAAAAUACAAAUUUAUCACUGUUCUCGUGGAGAUCAUAUAUAUUUGCUUGGUCAAAAUUUGACAUCAACAAAAUGUAAAAAUGUGUUUUUAAACUCAUACAAAAAUUUUAAAAUUAAGACCAUGUUCAAUAUCGUAAGGUUUUUAAUUUUUAAAAAUUAAGCCUAUAAACGCUUUUUCCACCUCAAAAUUUCUCGAUUUAUUACCUAUAUUUUACUAAUGUUAAAAAACAAGCCAAAUUAUAAAACCAAAAUAAUAUUUAGUUCAAACUUGUUUAUAUCUUUCGAAUUCAACUAAGGAUUCAACUCAAAAAUACAAAUUACAAAUCAUAGUAGAUAAAUUAAUAAAAGAUACUCUUUAAAGAAACAAAAAAAUCAAACGACUACUAUGUUCGAAAAGUUAGUUUUAUUUUUUAAAUUUGACUUAGAAUUGAAACGUUCACUUUAAACUACACCCUCCCCACAAAACCCAAAUAAAUUUCAAAAGUAAAAAAAUAAAGCUUCAAAAGAUUUAUGAAAUGGGACCUCAAUGAUUACUUGAUUGGACCAAACUAUUAAAAUAAUUGUGCCUACAUUCUUAGGUGGAUAUGGUUGGAAGGAGAAGAGAGAGUAACAUAAAAGAAAGAAAAAGAAAAAUCAAUGAGAAUACAUAAAACCAAAAAACAUUUUGUGGUGACCCCAAAAAGAUACAAAGGUUGUGAAGAGACAACUUGCCUGCCAUCUAAUAACCUCAACAAACUUAACCAAAUGGCCCUCUUUAUUGCUCCUCAAACCUGAAAAUAAGUGGCCAUAAAAUUAUACCAUAAAACUAAAACUUUGAAAAUUUAACUUUUUAAAAAGUUAAAAGAGUGUUGUUUUUUCUUUAAAAUUUUAAACUAACAAAUUAUAUUGAAUUGCAUAUCUAACACUAUAUUUUGAAUAAACAUCUAAUAAUAAUGAUCCCUCUUAGAAAGAAAACAAAAACAAACUAAUCUCCAAAUAUGCAUCAAAUAAUUCAUGUAUGAGGAAGUCUAUCAAAAUCAAUAGCAUUUGGCAGAAAAGAAUGAGAUUCACAUCCUCAAAUCUUCUUCUCUGUCAAAUCAAGGUGAGUUUGUAUUACAAUUAUACAUUCAAGAAUAAAAUGAAAGGCUCAAUACUAACUUCAACCUUUUAUUUUCUUUGUCUUUUUUAGUAAAAUUUUAUCAAAUAAUUAGAAGAAAGAGAUGAUGAUGAAAUAAUUGAGAAGAAAGUUUUAAUUUCCUUAUUGAUAAGACUUUUGAGGUGAUGGUCUCAUGUGAUAAAAGAAAAAAAAAACAAUGGUAGUCUAAAUAAUACUCUUAUCACAACAUUCAAUUGAUUUAACAAAUUUAUUUUUUGGUUGCUUCUAAAGAAUAUUUCUUUCAAAUUAUAUUAAUAAGACCACAAGAACUUCCAAAGUAUACCAAUUAGGUUUAAAAUAUCCAAAGUAUAAGUAGAUAUGAACCUAAAAUAAUAAAAUUUAAACUUGCUAAUUUAAUUUAUUAGUCUUGCAAGUUGCAAUUACCUUAACUAAAAUAUUUAAAAAUAUUAAAGUUAAAUUAAAAUUUUAAUAUUUCUAAUAUAAGUAUCACAUGUUAAAAUUACAAAAUUGUCAUACAUAUUACCUUAUUAAAUAAUUAACAAAAUUUCUAUUCAAUGUGGUAACAAGUGAAUUCUUUUCCAUCAACAAAAAAAUUAUAUGAGCCAAAUUUCCUAAUAAAACAAAAUAUUCAAAAAAAGAAAAAAAUCUUAGCUACAAUAAACAUAACUCACCUAUGUCUAACCUUCUAUGAUCCCCAUAUUUUGAUAGAAACUUAAUUAUCUACUUUUCUAAACUAACGUUGAACCUCAUACAUAUUAAAAAUUAACUUUGAAUUAAGAACUUCUAUACAGUGGGAUGGAAAUGAUGCAAAAGGCAAAGCAAAUGAUGGGAAAAAAAGGAAGGUUAUUCUUUUUAUUCUAUCAUAUUUAUUUUUUCCUCUUAAGAUUUAGGAUCAAGGGCUGUAAAAGGAAGGGCCACACUUGCAUUUCCAUCCCUCGGGUUCAUAGUUAGUGUAUUGGACCCCUACGUGGCUGCGUCUGUUGGUGGUUGUAGGCACUUGAAUGGCUUCACAUGGAAUGCAUCCAUAGCACUUGUGCUCACAGCUGGGUGGACUUGACCCUAUUUUCCUCAUACCUCUAUAGAAUUCUUCUUCUUUAACACCUUUAACAGCCUUUAUACAGACCAAAAACAUGAAUUAUUUCAACAAACAGAGCACAAAUAAAGUGACAAAAAGGGUAGGGGUCUGACCUGUUUUGAAUCAAUAAGACCUGGCAGGAACAAAACAACAAGCAACUUGAAUUAAAAAGGCAGUGAAAGAAGAAGAAAACCUAUUGCUAAAUAGAUGUAAUAAUUGAGAUGAGAAAGCCAAAGAAAAGAUGUGAGUAUAUUGGUAAGAAACGAACCUUGUUGUUUAUGAGGAGGGAGGGCAGGAUUUGGAGCAAAAUUCCUGGCUGCAGCAGAAACCCAACAGACUAAUUGCAGAAUAAAUAUAAAACACCAGUAUGUUCCUUUCAUGUCUUCAAAAGCCAAAAUGAUAAUGAUGAUUACGGUGGGAAAGAGAUGGUGAAUGAAAAAAAAUGGAAAAUGAUUUGGGUUAUAAGAAGAAGGUGGUGGAAAUUUAAUCCUAACAAGCAAAUUCACAUUUCCCCGUACAAGAAGUCAGAGCCUUUCUCUCUAUCUUUAUACAUACAUAUAUAUAUUGUUUUAUUUUGUUUGGUUUGAAUUGGUUUCUUACUCUUCCAAUGUCUAGCUUUAAGACUGGCAGGGAGAUUUUGCGUUAGAAACAAGUGAUCGAUUCCAAUUUCUUAUCAAAGAGUUCUGAACAAAAGCAAAGCAAAGUCCCUCCACUCCACUCCACCUCAAAUCAUUUGACAACUCACCAUGGAUUCAUAGAGAAGAGAACCUUACAAUUGCAAGAGUGCAAGAAAUGAGCUGUAGAAAUCCCCUUUUUCUUCUUCUUCUUCUUUUUUGAUUUUGUCGCCUUCCAAUACGAUCCAGCCUCUCUCUUUCACUCACUGCCAAAUCAGUCUAGUAAAUGAACCAAUACAGAGAUCCUUGCAAGGGCAGGGCCCAGUAGAACAGCCACCUCUUUUUUUCUAGGCUCUGUCAUACCUGCAGAAGCAAUGUAAAUAUUCACAAGGAAAAGAAAAAUACCAUCUACCAAGACUGCAGGGUCUUUAUUUCACUCUGAUAAUUUUAUUCCUAUUUAAAGAAGAAAAGAUCCAGUGACAGAGGGCUAUUUAUGUAAAAGAAGGAAAAAGGCAUCAAUGUCUGAGGUUCUGAGCACAUUCAGCCCAGCAGAAAAUUUUUAUUGAGUUAGUUAAUAAAUUAAAUAAGUUACUUCAAAUGGGGUCAACCUUUUACAGAUUAGUAGGUUGAGAAGAUAAUAGAAUGCUGCUUGAAAUCCAAUCUCAGCCAUCCAUUUACCUUAUAACCAAAGAUGGUCAGUCAAGAGCCGUUGAUGUUUGGAAGGUCCCAAUUUAUAAGCAAUAAAUGACGUUAGAUUUAAUCCACACCUAAACUAUCACACUCAAAUUUGCCUGUUUCCCCCGGUCACCACCACAUUCAACAUGAAUCAAGCUUACAUGACAUAUAUUCUUUCUACUCACCCAAUAUUCAUGAUAGUAAUUCUUAUGAUAAUUUAAUCCUUUUCUUGACUUUAUUUGGAGAAGUGUGAUGAACAAUGUCAAACUUAAAACAUUGGAAGCUUAAGCUCAACUGUCACACGAGCAAAAAAUAAAACAUAUAGCAUGCAGUAAUCAGUAAUCAGUGGUCUCUCUUUCUACAGAUCCAAGAUUCAAGAUAGCAGUUCUUAACACCCCAAAUGAAAGUAUAAUCACUUAUUUGACUUUAUUUGGAGAAAUGUGAUAGAAUGAUGUCAAAGUUAAAACCUGAGAAGUAAGCCUUAGGUUAAAACAGUGAUAUAGGAAAAUUAUUGAACAGUUGGCAGGCACUAAUUAGUGGCCUUUCUGACUAGAAAGGACAAAGAAAGGGGCACUGAAUCACUGUUUAAGCGGCUCGAUGGGGAUGUGUAUAAUGCAAAAAUGAGAGAACUUUGUGGGAAAAAAAAGACACAGAGACAAAAAUAAAUCGGUGAAAAUGGAUAAGUAGAGAAGGUACUUUAAGCAUCAAAUGCACCCAUUGUACGUUUUCAAGUAAGGUUUGUCCUGUUCCAUAUGGUCUGGGGAUUUCUUAUUGAUAUCAGCGAGAUUUGAGUGAUUUGAUUAUUCGAUCUGUUACAUUUUCUUUCGCUCUUCUUCUUCUUCUUCUACUUCUUUUUUACCAUCUAUCCAUUUACCUUGCGGCUCUGGAUUAGGUAACAUCAAGACCCAGCUUUAGAAUUUCGGCCACUGGAAAUGACCCUCAAAGACAAAUCGGGGUAUCAUCGAAUCCAUGAAAAAACCCAGAGAGAAGAUCGUUUGUGAAACUGAUUUUCGAUACAGUUCUUCGGGAAAAUUUUAAGGAUUAAUUAUAAAAGCAUACUUUGUUUCAAAAAUACACUCCAACUUUUUCCAACAUCUUAAAAAAAAAUAUCAAGUUAAAAUUUUAGAUGAAAAUUUGGAUAUAUCAUAAUUUGACUAUGAUUGGAAAGAAAACUGAGAUAAUCAUCGCAUCCGUUUAGGUAAUUGUAAUAUGAUUUCAAGUCUUGUUUUUGUUCAAAAUUAUAAAGAAUUUAAAUUUGAAUAGGUUUUAAACCUGUAUAAAAAUUUAAGAGUAAUAUUUGGACUUUGCAACCUAUAGAGUGGAACAAGGUUAAAAGGUAUUUAUUAUAAUUUAUUAAUUUUGACAAUUUUUAAUUUUUAUUACUCAGCCACGUUUGUAUCAAUUUCAAUUUAAAUUUGUCUUUCUUUGGUCCAAGAAAUUUACGAGUAAGAGUAGAGAAAUUUAUAAGGAAGAGUAGAAAAUGUGGAAGGUUUGUAGAAGUAAAAGAUGUCCUGGACCAAAGACUGAAAAGAUCAAAUCAAACAAGGUUGAUCCAAUAGUUAUUAAUGAUGUAGAGGUUUGGGAUUUAGGGUUUAUGGUUAAUUGAAAAUUAAGACAUUUGUGAAAUAUCACGGGGAAUUAAGGUGUUUUCUCUAAGUCUUUCAACAUAGAAUCAUGAACUUUACUCCUUGUUUGGUACAAAAAGCUUAUGGAUCUCAUCACUAAAAAUAUUAAGGCGUGUUUGGGGUGCAAACUUGAGUGGUGUGGAGUGAAUUAUUUAGUACACUCCACAUUUUGGACAUAAAUUGAGCAAAAAGGGGAUUAUGGCUAUUUUACUCCUUGCACAUAUUGUUCCACUCCCUACUACACGUUGUUCCAUUCUCUCAGCUAGGUACAUCUCAGGAUCACUUAAUUUUUUUUUUUCUUGUGAUCAAUCUCGAUCGAGAUCAACCCUAAGAUUCUUCUCAAAUUUAAAAAAUUCUUUGAAGAAAUUUUUUUUGUCUCUCUCGAGGACAUCUCGAGGCAACCUUAGCCUGAGAUCAUACUACAUAAUGCUUAUGCUCUUUAGCUCAGGGCUCUCUUGGUCCAACUUUGGCACGUGAUCAAUGAUGUUAGGUCAAAGUUGCCUCAGAAUAGCCCUGGGCUAAAGAACAUAAGCAUUAUGUAGUAUGAUCUUGGGCUAAGGUUGCCCCGAGAUGUCCUCGAGAGAGAUCGAGAAAUUUUCUUUAUAUAGUUUUUAAAUUUGGAAAGAAUCUCAUAGCCGAUCUCCGUUGAGAUUGAACCCAAAAACAAAAUUUUCAGUUGUUCUUAGUACACCUGACUAAGAAACUAGAAUAGUGUGUGACAGGGAUUUCGACCUAAAAUAACACUAAGUCCCCAUUUGCUUAAUUCAUGCCCCAAACAUGGAGUUGGACUAAAAUAACCCACUUCACUCACCUCAAGUUUGCAACCCAAAUGCAGACUAUUGUCAUGCUCAGAUUAUUAUAAGCCACUCAUUGCUCCAAAUGCUCCCUAAAUUUAUAUUGUAUCAACUCUUUACACUAUAGAUCCCAGAUGUUCACAACCUAAUACUUUUUAUUAUUUCAUUCCCGGCAUCAAACAACCCAUAAAAGUUUAAAAACCAAAAUAAUUAUAAACUUCAAAUUUCAUGACUAAACUGAUAAUUUAACCUUUAGUAUUCUAAUAAAGGGUUUGACUGCAACCUUUACUAAACUAGAGGUUAACCUCCUAUGCUCAAACUUGAAAGGUCAAGGGUGGUUUAUACCAACAACUAGUGAUAUUUGGUAUAUGAUGUGUUCACAUUCAUCCUUAAAAAUCUAGUUAAUCAUUCAAUUAAAUUAACAUUUUUUUUUUUGUUCUCUAUCUUACAAUUAUUCACUGUAGGAUAUAACCUGUCACACCUCCUCUCAGACCACCUCUUCUUCAUUUAAGAGGUGGUGUGAAACUAACAGAUAUCGUUUUCCUUCUAACAAACCUACUAAUUUUACUAGAACUAAAACUAAACUAACAUAGAAUAUAUAACACAGCGAAAAUAUAAAUAAACUAUACAUAAACCAAAUAGUGAAGCCCAAGCUUAUGACAACCAUAAUAAGUCUGAUAUAGAUAUAUAAACAACCACUAUAAACAAGGCAAGGCAAGGUUUAUAUAACAUAUAGACAAACCCUGUACAACCCACAACUAACUCUAUAGAACCAAACUCAUACAUAAACCAAAUUACACAACUAAAACAACACAUACUAGUAUAAAACUUAAAAUGUACUAGCAAAUAGGUGGAUGAAGUUGGGCACCAAAUCCACGAUCUAUACAUGGAAACUAAGAAAAUAUUUUUGUAGUGGGGAACUAAAGUUCAAUCAGUGACUAGUUUUAAAACUAAACAUGGUUAAUAAAUCAUUGAGUUAGUAAACAACUUAAACAAAUACUUUUAAAUCAAAGCAAGGUAAACAUAUAUAAUUCUCAAAACUCAAGAAAUGUUGAGAAGAUCAUAAAAUGUUCGCUACAUUUUUUACGAUUAAAAUUUUGGUGUGUUUUUUUUUCUUUUGCUUGUUUCACUUUGUGGGAGAAGAAAAAGAAAGAAGUAAAAUAUUUUAUGUUUUAUUUUAUAUUUCCCUAAAAAUACUUUUCAGCAAGAGUAUUACAUAAAUGUAACAAGAGUAAUUUAGUGGGGGAAAAAUUUGUGUAGGGAAGAUGUUUGUGAAAAUGCCUGACAGAGAAAAAUGGGGUUUUUUAGGAUGUUGAGUGGAUUGUGGCUCUGUUUUACUUUUUAAGUGUUUACUAGAUGGUUUGGUUCUCUAUUAUCGUGAACUUUACCUGUUUGAUGCAAUUUUUAUUGUUCUCAUGUUUCAGGUAGCAUGGACUUUUUUCUCCAUAUGUACAGGUUUUAUAUACUUCAAAGAAUUUCAAGUUCUCUCUUAGUGUGUGAGUGUGAUUUUACUUUUUUGGAGGUGUUCUGGUGCUAUGACUAUAGUGUGUUUUGUUGAUUGAAUUUUCUAUGAUUUAUUAGUAUUUCACAUUAAAAUUUUGUUUUAGGAUUUAGUUUUUGAGUACCAUAUGUUUUAUUGGUGGGAUUUCAAUAUUUAACAGCUCUUGAUGUUGAUUGUUUUUUUCCCUAAUUUGUAAGUUUGCCAUUUAUGACUUGAGGUCAUGCUUUGCCUUUAAAAAAAACUCUUCUUUUUUUGUUAUUUUUAAAUAUCUAUGUGAAUUUGUUCUUUUCUUGAUUCUCAGUCUUAAAACCUUCGAAGGUGAAAAGGAAAUAUUCUUCUCUUUUUCCCUUAUAGUUUACUCUUUCUGGAGUAGUCUUUUCAAGUUUUUGUUUUGUUUGUCUCUAAAUUAGUUAAAAACUUAAAAUGCUAUCCAUUCUUAUAGAAAUCUUCUUUUAAGUAUUGAGUUUAAUUAGAAACUAGUAGAUUAUUCUUGAAAAUAAACUUUUCUUGCACCAUCCAUAGUCUUCUCUCUAAGCUUAUACUUGCUUGGUUCUGCUUCAGAUUAACACAUUUAAUGGAUUUUACUGGGAGAACUUUGAACCAAACAAGGCUUAUAAACCCAAAAUUGUGGACAGAAGCCUGAAUUGGUUGGUAUGUAACUUAUUCAGCUUGAAUUGAGUGCUUUAAUUUAUGAAGUUUUAAGUGUAUAUGAAAUGUUGGGAGAGAUUGAUUAGUUAUGACGCAAAUUAAGGCAUACAGAUUAUUGUCAUAAGUUGCAUUGUAUUGUACGUGUAUAUAUGUAUAUAGCAAAUUAAGGCACAUACUGAUCAUUAUUAUUAUUUCUUUCACUAUCUAACCAAAAUAUCCACCUCUGUAUUUAUUUGUUAAGGACAUUCUCGUUCAAAUGAGUAUUUCUUAGAAAAAUUUUCUUUUUGUGUGUGUAUUUUGUGUGAAUUUAUUUAUUAGGGACAUUCUUGUUGAAAGUUUUAGACUUAUCUGUUUUUUCUUUUUUUAAUUGGAAGGACUUCAAGGUACGUUUUGUUAAAGCAUAUUUUAUAUUGAUAAAUUUGAAGCUGUCAAAGUCUAUCACAAUGAUAAUGUUAAUAUGUUAAGUUUUUGUGCUCAGGUUUAGGAUUCUUUUGCUAGUUUUUGGUUCUCAAGCUUCACAUGGAUCACUUUAAUUAACUCUUAAAUGAGAUUUUAUUUUCUUACUAGUUUGGAAGAAUCCAUUGGAACAGUCCAUUGGAACAGUGAAGCCAACUUGGAGCAAUUGAUUGAUAUAACACUCUUUAUAUGGUUGGUAGCAAACUUUUGAUUCCAAUGUACUGAUUUUAGAUUUCUUGGUAGCUAAAGAUGUCAUCUUUUUGUAUGUAAACUACUUUUUAACAAAAAAAAAAAAAGGUUAUUAGUCAAUGGGUGUAUGAAUACUACAAAGUGUAUUAUUAAGUAUAUAUAUUAAAGUGUUCUCCUUGUUUUCAUAUGAAUGUGAUGAAUUAGAACAUUAUUGUCAUUGAAAUUGUUUGUGUAAUGGCAGAGCGACAAGAAGAACAGGAAUUGAGGAACAUACGAUAGGAAAAAAAUGUCAUAAUAUAAAAAUUCGUAACAUUUUUUAACUGUCGUCAAUAUCGAAACAAUGACAAUUUAAUUUUAUAAAAACUAUCACUAUUGGUCUAUCCUUAAUAAGAAAAAAUGUCAUAAUAUACGAAUUCGUGACAUUUUCAUAAUUGUCGUCAAUAGUGAAAUAAUGACAAUUUAAUUUUAUAAAAGCUGUCACAGUUAGUCUAUCCUUGACAGGAAAAAAAUGUCAUAAUAUACGAAUCUGUGACAUUUUCGUAACUAUCGUAAGUAUGCAAAUGAUGACAGUUAUUUGUUGUCAUAAAAUAUUAAAUAAUGACAUUUAUUUUUUUGUCAUGAAAACACAUAUUGUGACAGUUUUUAAAAAUUUUCAUAGAAGAACUUUCUACGACAGGCGAUAUUGUGACUGUAAAUAACUAUCACAGAUUUUAUUUGCAACAGAAAAUAACUGUCGUCGUAGACCAUUUUUCUUGUAGUGAAUUUAGAAAAUAAAUUAAAUAUAAAGGGUCUUUUAAAAAAAUAUAACAAAGCGCUAAACUAUUUACGAUGUAUAGAAUAAUUUCGAAAACGAAAAAAAUUCACAUGUUCAUAGAAAAUACCAAAAUUACUCUCAUCAUUAAUUGACACUAUGAUAGCUUAGAUUUGGUUAUUCUUUCCUACUAGAUAAAUUUGGUAAUUAAAUCUCAACAAUUUUUUUCAAGAUUUUUUGGUACAUGAUUGUUUAGAUUUGAUUAAUUAAAUUUGUUUGGUAUAACGAUUGUUUAAAAAAAAUUAUACACAGUCGUUUAGAUUUGUUUGGUAUAAUGAUUGUUUAGAUUUUACUAUCGAAUAAUUGUAUGCCAAUAAUUUUUUUUCAAAAUAAAAAACAAUGAAAAGAAAGGCAACCUUGGAAUAUUUAUAAAUAAUAUCGAGUUUUAUGAGCUUUUCAUUUUGUUAUAAAUAUUUUAUCAGUUUGUUAUAUUUAUGAAAAUUAAAUUUAAAUAGCACAAAUAUAAAAUAUUUUUAAAAAUAGUGAGAAAUUGUUAAAAAAUAACUUGGAACAUUUUGGAGGAGAUCGACCAAAUCUUAUAUAUUUUAAAUUUUUUUCAAAUAAUUCUAACAAUAUUUCCAAUCUUAUAUAUUUAAAAAAAAUGGUCGUUUUGCCAAAUAUUACUCGAAUAGUUGAAGAUUUAAAAAUUAGAUUCAAAAUAAUUAAGUAUAUAGCAAUAUUUUAAAAAAUUUACAAAUAUAACAAAGUUUGUCAAAUUUUAUCGAUGAUACAAGUCUAUCGCCGAUAGACUAUGUUGUAAAUAUUGAUCUAUCAUUGAUAGAUCAUACGAGUGUAUCAACGAUACAAGUCUAUCACGAUAGUUUUGUUAUAUUUGUAAUUUUUAAAAAAUAUUAUUAUAUCCUUAAAUAUUAUUGCUCAAAUGGUCAUCAAUUACAAUUAUUCAAUAGUAUUUAGACUGACAUUAUAUCCCGACUAAAUUUUUUAUUUUGCUAAAUAUUAUAUCUUAUUCUUACCUCUCAUCUUUUAAAAUACAUUUAAAAUUUCCAAAAAAAAUUAUUUAAAAAAUUCCUAAGAUUCUUUUUUACCGUCCGUGCAUCUCGCUUAUAUUAUAUCGAGAUUCUAUCCAUUUUUUAAAUCUUUACUAAAUGUUAUAUAUAUAUAUAUAUAUAUAUAUAUAUAUAUAUAUAUAUAUAUAUAUUAUAUAUAUAUUUAAACUUAGUUAUUUUUAUGUUUUUUUAGUUUAAUUGAAUUCUAAUUAAAGUUUAGGUGAUACAACGUUUUAAAUUUUUUUACAAAUAUAGCAAAAUUUGUAAGAGUUUAUCAACGAUAGAAGUAUAUCACACAUAAACCAUAUAUCAUCGGUGUAAAUAUUGUAUAAAUAAUGGAUAUAUUAUUUAUAUUUUCACUAUUUUCAAGAGUAUAAUAUUAAGAUACCUAAUAUGAAGUUUAACAUUAAAAUUUCUAUUAUUGCUAAUAAUGCGUCUUUACUUGACCGUAAUAUUUGAUUUUCCAACAAUAAUUUCAUAUACUUGUAGUUUACCAUAUUCUUUUAUACCAUACCUUUUUUUAAUUAACUUAACUAUUAUUUACUAACUUAAACUAAUGUUUUUUUAAAAAAAGAAACUUAAAAUUAAUAAUUAAUAUGCAAACCCACUUCUUGUGUUCAACUCUAUCCAAUCUCUUAAUUUUUUAUUGGAAAAUUGUGGGAGUGGAACAUUUUCGAAAAAAUAUUUAUCCCUUAUAACAAAAAUGAAAAGUGUAAUAAAUAAUUUUGUUUUUUUAAUGCUUUCGUUCAAUCAUGAAAAUAAUUUAUUGAUUUUUUUUAAAAUUUUUAGAAAGGUCUCUUAUUUAUUUACUUUUUAUUUUUCACGUUUGGGUUUAACCUCUUCCUACUAUAUCUCUUUAUUAUUUUUAUUUUCGAUGUAAUUGAUGAUAAGUUUUUUCUAAAUAAAACUACUCAAUUUGUCUAAAUAUUUUGGAAUAAACCAUAUUCUUUUAAAUAGUUUAAUAAAAUACAAAGUCUUUAAGAUGAUCCAUUUCAUUCAUCAUUGUUUUUUCCAAAGUCCUUUUAAAACGAAAUUACAAAUUCAUUUUUAAUUUAAACUAUCUAGACACUUCUUCUAUGAACAUCACACAUCAUACACUUCCUUUGAUUAAAUAUUGGCUACGUGGUCAAGUGCUAUGCAUUGGUUUUAAAAAAUUCUUUUUCGUUAUGUUAAGAGUAGCUCAAUACUAAUUGAUAUAUACUAUUUUAGUUAAAAUUUAAAAUUCAAAAUUUUAUAUCUUUCUUAUGCAUGCACGUUCAAUAAUUAAUAAAUUAACGUAGAUGAAAACAUCUUAUUGUUUGGAGUUAGAAGUUCAACUUUCAAAUUAAGUAACUCCUAAUUGUAUUGAUUUAAACACUAAACUUAUAUGAGUUUGAAUUAGAAAUAGAAUUACGUAGAAAUCUAUAAGUCACUAAGGACUGUUUGGGGGAGGGGUUGAGUUAACUCAACCUGCGUUUAGGGACCCAUUAUUAGUCAUGUUAAGUGUCUGUUAACUUCUCAUUAAGAUUUCAUAAGGAGGUAUCUGAAACUAUUGUAUGCCCAACGGAACACCUCAUUUAUCGGUGAACUCAAAGAAACACCUAUGAUAUCGGGUUGUAACUAUCGUGUGUCUGAUGGAAUACAUGCAAUCUAGUGAUCCCGAAAGAACACCUAUGAUAUCAAGUUGUAGUGAUCCUGUUAGACCACUCAUAAACAUAAACAUGAUAGAUUGGUGGUCCCAUCGAACUUACACAGUCAUAAAUUUGUGAAAAUGUGAUAAUCUCGAAGACACCUAUAUGAGUACAAUCUUAAUAGAUAAAAUUAACAGAACACUCAUCUAUAGCAUGUAGCAUCAUCAUAAACAUGACAUGAAUAUUUUUUAAGAUUCUUUGUACCCGAUCGUUUAAAUUUGGCUAUUUUUGGUACACGAUUGUUUAGAUUUGACUAUCUAAUAUCACAACGAUUUUCUUUCAAGAUCUUUUAUAUUUAGCACACGAUCUUGAACAACCAAAUUAACAGUUUUAAAAAAAAUCUUUUAUAUUUGUUAGAUAAUUUUGAACCAAAUAAUAGUUUGAAAAAAAAAUUGCAAAAAAGAGAAAAAGACAAUGGAAAGUAAAAGAAAACCUGCAACAGAAAUAAGAUGAAAAUUAGGAAAGACAAAUCUGAAAUAUUUAAAAAAAAAAGUUGACUUCAUGAACUUUACAGUUUUUUUUUUUUUGUUCCUAGAAAGAGAUUUCAUUAUUAUUUUCAUUAUUAUAUAGCAUUGUAUAUUUCUAAAGUAUAUGGAGUAGUAUAUGUUAUUUUAGUAUACAUCAUAAGUAUGACUUACAAUUAAAAAAUAUAAAUGACUUCUCAACAUGCAUUCACAUUCGAUCUUUAAAAUAUAAAAGAUAAAAAUAUAAAAUUCAUAAUACGUGAAUCAUUGCUAGUUAAUCUAAAUUGCAAGAUACUAUUUGAUUCAUUUUUUUCUAAGAAAACAGUAUUUUGAUUUUUGUAUAUACUAUAAUAUCUAAUAUAUAGUAAAUAAAUAUCAUGAAAAUGUCACAAAAUUCAAAUUAAUCAAACUUAAAAUAAUAUUUAUUGAUGUCAAAAAAAUUUGGACAAAAUGAUCCGACUUCAAAAUGACAAAAAAAUAACAAAUAUGAUAAAUUUGUAUUUUGAAAAAUGAAUGCAUUGCAUACUAUUGGGAUGAAUGUUUGUGGGACUUAUAAGUUAAUGGGUAUGUAGAUUAUUUUAGUAUUAAGUUACUAAAGAGGAAACAACUUAUUGCUUUUUCUGCUUAGAAUUUUCUCCUUAUAUCUCUAGAUAUUAUCUUUUCUUCGAGAGCAACAUUCAACUUUUUUUUUCUUUACAAUGGAAUCACUAUAAUUUUGUUUGUAUUAUCAUAGGGUAAUUUUUAAACAUGCACACCGGAAACUAGAUUUAGAGUUUACUCUAAUUGCUGAGAUAAACAUGUAAUAUGAUAAUUAAGGUUUAAAGUAAAUUUACCUUUGUACAUCUGAUUUUUUGAAAUUCUUUAUGUGUACUUGACCCAAACCACCACUAAAGUUGACCUACUAUACUCCAGACUCAUAAUUAGAUUAUGGGAUUGGUUGGAUGAAGGAAUCAGAAGAGAGAAAAGAGAUGGAAAUAAAGAUGAAUUAAGCUUGGAAGAGAAUUUUAGGGAGGAUAAAUUUUAUGAAUCUAGGUAAAAAAUGCAAUCCAAAUUCUCAAAAUGACCCAAACACUUUGUCAUCAAAUGAAAGGGUCAUUUUAUAGAGAAUUCAUAUGCAAAUUACAUGUCUAUGCAACACCAUAGCCCAACAACUCAAAGUUUCCACUUUCUCUCGUGAUCGUAUUGUCUUCAACAAAUGGCAACACCUAGCCCACUAGAGUUAGUGAGAUUCUCCAACAAAAUGUCGGAUAGUUGAACUAACUUUGUUCAAAGAAAAAAAAAAUGGUUAGUUGGUCAAAGUCAAAGUCAAAAUUUGACUUUUUCAAACAAAAUGUCAACAUUUUAAAUUUUUACCAUUUUUCGGUCUUGACUAAUUUCGAUCUUUCGAGCAUGAAUCUGCACUCAUUAUUUUGAAAUUUAAAUCACAUUUGAAUAUAUUACAGUCAAAGCUUAACUUUUCAAAGUCAAAAGUUAACAUUUUGAUUUUUUACAACUUUGACUAUUUCCAUUAUUUUUAAGCUUUUAAGUAUGAAUUCACAUUCAUAUAUUUUAAAAUUCAAAUCAUAUUUAAACAUAAAACUUUAUCUCUAAAUUGAUAACCAACAGUUAUAUCAUAUAUGUUUGUGAGUUUCUCUUCUCACCUAAUUCGAAUUAUUCAAACUAAUCCAAUAUACUGUUCUAAGUGAAUUCCUUAUGAGUUAGCAUGGAAACCUAAUGGACUUAUAGAUCUACUACAAUAAAAUAUGUAUUUCCUGACGCACGACACAUACGCCGAAAUAAAUGACAUCGAGAAAAGAGCUUCCCCCAGCAUUGUAAAAGCUCCGUCGGGAAAGGUUGACAAUCUCCACGCGACAUAAGGCAAUGUCGGACGUAUAAGGUAAUUUAAUAAAAAAAAUUAUAAACUUCUCUCAAUACUAUGCAUAACGGCGUCGGGAGAAGUCUAUAAUUUUUUUAAUAUAUUUAAAUUCUCUCGAUGCCAACAUAACGUCAUCGGGAGAAGUUUAUAAUUUUUUAUGAUAUUUAACUUCUCAUGACGCCAUGUAUAACGACGUCGAAAGAAGUCCUUUAAAAUUCCAAUACCGUCAAUUCUCUUCCUCUUCUUUCUUAUCUUCUCUUCUUUCCUCAUUCUGACAUCUCUCUCCCUUCUCUUUUCUUCUCUUCUUCCUUCUCCUUCUCCUUCUCCUUCUUUUCUUCUUUUCUUCUCUUUUCCCUUCUCCUUCCCCUUUUUACCAUUGUUUUUCUUUGUUUGACCGGUCUUUCUUCAUAAAUCUGAGAAAAAGGGAAAGAGGACACAAGACAUUGCAUGCUACUGUUAGAGUUUAGGGUUUGACGUCAGGAAUGUCGUAGUGGUCAUCAAUCGUGGCAAACUGUUGCGAUGGCUAACCUAGGUAGAUUUAUUUAUUUGUUUGUUUUUCAUUUAGCAUUACAAAUUUUGUUCUUUAUUUUAUGAUUUUAUGAUGAAUUUGCAUUUUGAUUCGGUUAACUUUAAUGUUCAUCUUUGAUUUAUUCUGUUAUGCUUUAACUUAUAGAGUAAAAAUGGUAAGAUCAGUUCAGCUUUUGCAAUAUAAUCUUUAAGUUUGAAUGAAUUUGAAAGUAAUACUAAUUCCAAAAUACUUUUUUUUAAGACUCUUCAUGGAUACAUAAUACCUUCCAUUUACUAAUGAAAGGUAUUUUUUAAAAAUAAAAAUAUAGGAUUUUCCGACGCAUAAGAUUACGACGUCGAAAUAUGUGUGUAGGAUCUUCCGACUUCACUACUACAAAAAUUGAAUUACUUGGUGUUAAUACAGUGUCAAGUAAAUCUAUAUUUGACGCUUUAAAAAGUGUCAAGUAAUCGACUGUCAAGUACAUUCCUAUUACUUGACACUCAAAAAAAUGUCAAGUACUCUAUUGUUUGACGUCAUUUUUGUGUUCAGUAAGAUAGUAUAGUUGACGUUGUUUACGUGUCAAGUAAGAGAUUGUGUUUGAUGGUUUUUUCACGUCAAGUAAGAUCGUAUACUUGACAAUAUUUACACGUCGAGUAAGAUAUAUACUUGGUGUGUCUAUCAUAUGUACCGAGCUAAAAAUUUAACCCACUCCCCUUGUACUUCAUCCAAUCCAAGCUGUGUGUAUGGGCUUCUCGUAUCAAUCUAUAAAACAUAAAAAGUAGAAUACACAUUGUAAACUAUUUGAGUUAGUCAUUUUAAAAUAUCUAUAACGUUACAAUAUAUGUAAAUAGUUUAAAAACAUAUCGCAUCAGUGAUAAUGUUUGUGUCCUUAGUCAUAAUUUCUCGCAUGUAUCUCAAGUCAUAAUAUACACAUUCAACAGUACCUACUUGUAAAGGACACUAUAACACAACCAAUUAACACUGCAUAUAAAUUAUAUUAUGUGCUAAAUUAAAAUAAAAUUUAUUUUAUAAAUAUAUUUACCUUUAUCGCUUUCCAAAAUGUUGUUUUUCUUGUCUUUUUCAAAUUCUUCUGAGAUUGAAAAAUUGUCAAGGCCCUACAUUUCCCAAAGUAUAGUAUAAUUCACAAUUAAAUAUUUUUUUAGGGAUAAAAAAAACAUAAAUAGAGUUAGCUUACAUUUUCGUUAUGUACUUGAUAUCUUCUUAGGAACUUGUUCUCGAUGAGUCAAGAUGGUACACCACAUCUCGAUGAGUCAAGAUGGUACACCACAUCAUCAUAUGCAUUAAUGACUACUAAUGAUCAAUGAUCACUAAAUGAAAUAUAUAUGCAAGUAAUUAGUAUUUUGCUACUAAGCAAGUUUGAAUUGAUAAAAAUUAUAUUUACCCAAGAUUAUAAGGAGCAAUAACCAAUUGAUCUUAUUUAGAAGUCAUUAAUCUACUACAAAGGUUUCGAGUUCUAAUCUCUCGAGUACUAUAGCUAGUUGAGAUAAGAGAUGAAUCUACAAAAAUGUACUUUGAAACCUUUAAAUUAAUAACGAGUGACUGUAAGUACCUACAAUAAAUCAAUUACACACAUGUAUCAUAAGGAAAUAACAUUUACUUACGUGAUAUAAGCGAUCAUUGAUAAAGUCAUCACCUUUUGCAUGUUGGAAAAAUCAAUGACAUCUUCUCGCAAGACAACUCUUUUGACAUAUACCAAAUAACUCAAAAGGUAGUUGAAAGAAAAAACUAGACCCAUCAACCAUUACCCUUUCAGCAUAUCAGAGAAUAUAUUUUAAUUGAAUUGGUAGAUUGGACUUGAAUCUUUUACCUAACACAAUUAAGUAACAAUCUAAGAACUCAUAUACAUAAAAUUAUUUGUUUACAAUCCACCUUCACGUUUACCUCAUUAUUCUUUGAUAUAUGUGGCUUAGUAGCAAUCAUUUCCUCCUCUUCUACUUCCUCCUCUUUUACCACUUUCUUCUUUAAUGUAAGUGAUAUCGGUGGUACGUAGCAAUCUCUUUCUUCACUUUUACCAUGUUUUCUAAAUUUGUAUGAUUAGCCAUCUUCUUUAAAAUUAUUUCCUAAAACCAUCCAAAAUGUCAAAGCACAAAAUUAAUGAUAACCUCACUUUGAUAAACAAUUAAUAUUGUAACUUUACUUUAUAAACAAAAAUUUUACCUUCUUCUAGACUUUACUCCUGGAGCAACUACCAUGCUCGGAUGUUGGCAUGUUUUGAACUUUCUCUUCCAGUUCUCGAAUGCGUUGACAAAGUGUUUCAUUUUCAUCAAUAAUGUGUUGGGUUGUAUCCACCUUUUUUUACUUUCUUGGUUUGGCUAUGUGAAAAUAAACAAUGGGUGUAAUGAAACCACCCACACCACGUACUCGACCACCAUAUUCUGAAGUACCCAAAACUUGAGUCAAUGCAUCAUUAGGUGAUUCAUCUUUUUUGGAGAAUGGAUAUGCAUUGUUAUUUAAAAUCUCAUCCUAAAAAGAGUAAAAUAUCUCAUUCUUUUGUUUUUCAUUCACGUUCCCAAGUCACGACAAAAUACUAUGGUGAAGAAGAUAUCAAAUCAUGUUUUUCUAUUAUCUUUUUUUUAAAAAAAAAAUUCUGCUGUCUAUAUUUUUAUAUAGAAGUAUGCUUAAAUGUGUAUAUUCGUUCAUUUAUAGGUUUUUUUAGUACACAACAAAAGUUGGAGAAACUUAAACCACCAACUUCGUAGUUGACAUGUACAUAUGUUUAUGUUCUUUAUAUUUAAAUAAUGUAAUAUUGACAAUUUAAUGCAACCAUGAGAAUUUUGCUUAUGUUUUUUUCUUCAUUUAAUUUUUUUUAUUAAAGACUUAUUAAUGAAAUGGUUGAGUGACUUAUACUUUGAUUUUAUUCAAACAAGGUAAAUAUUGUUGGAAUUUAUUAGGUAUACAUAAAGGUAAUAAAAUGUGUAAAGCAAUAAAUAUUAAAUUAUUUCUUUUAAUUUUUACCUACAAAAUUACUAAAAAAGAUUAUGAUAUAAUAAAAAUUAAGUUGUUCAAGUAUUAAUUAAUUAUGAUUACUUAAUGACAUUAGUUAGCAAAAAAAUUAUAAUAUAAUUAUGAUUUAUUUUAUUGAAUUCUUUGUUUUUAUAUUAACGGUGCAUGCCUAUAUGGUUGAAAUGACUGUUUCAAUUUUAUAAAGUUAAAGUUAAAACUACAAAUUUUUCGUGUGUGAUUUUCACCUGCAUCGUAUGCGUUGGUUAUAUACAAGAAUAUUUUUAAAAAUAGCAAAAUAAAUUAAAAUAUUUAUAAACUAUAGCAAAAUUUUUGGAUUCUAUCAAUAAUAGCCACUAAUAUGCUUUUAUCACGGGCUACCAAAAUCACUUGUAGAAUAAUAUCAUUGGCCAUACAAAAUUUGUUAUUGUUAGAAUCUGAAUUAUUCCUACAAUUUGUAUAAAUUUGGAAGCUCACAAUUUACAAUUCAAAGUUUUCACGGACACUAUAUUAAAAGUAAAUUUUAAAAUUUUAAAAUUUUCUAAAAAGUAUUAUUUGAAAUAAGAAAAAAGAAUAAUAAUAAUUAUUCGUUAAGUUAUAUUCGAAUUGACUUUAUUAACAUGUUUUAGUUAGUAUUGAUAUUUUAUUUUUAUUGUUUUUAAGGAAUCUAAAUGAAUGGAAUUUAACGCUAGGGAAUUAACACGUGCCGAAAGAUGGGAAAGUGAAAUGGAUAGAAUAUUCUUCAUUCUCCAACCAAAAUAAAAGUUGUGAGAAACAAUUCUCCAUUAUUGUUCUUAUCUAUAAAGUCUAAAAUUAAUUUCAAUACUUCCUUUUUUUUAACUUUAUUUAUUUAUUUAUUUAUUAUUAUUAUUCUCAAAAAGACUUUGUAUCUAAACUUGGUCUUAUCAAAACAGUGUGCCCUCCUAUUUUAGGCCAAUCAAUUAGAUUUAAUAUAUAUCUUUUCUUUUAUGAUAUUUAAAAUCUGUUGUUUAUAGUGGUAUGCACAAUACACCAUAUUCAAAGUUUACCCUCUACCUUUUAUACAUAUAUAAGUGGCAUAUCUAAACAUCAUUCCUCACCACUAUUCACAUAAACAAAAUACAGUAAAAGUUACGCAUUAUUUAACAUUUCAAAAUUAAUAUUAAAAUACAAAAAUCAGAAAUGUGAGAGAGACACGUGUCCCUAACCCGUUAAUAGAUCCACUCAUGUGUAUAUGUAUGUAGAAAUGGUUACUAACAGAUGUCAAUAAUUUUGUUUGAAUCUGUAAAUUUCUAAAACAUUAAUUUAAUUUUUGAUUUUGAGUAAUUAAAAGCAAUAAUUAGGUAUAAUCUAGACUAUAUUUAACAUUGUACUUUUCAUUUCUAAGUUAGGGAGUAAGGUUGAUUACUCUAUACUAAGUUUUAAAAGAAUUAUGUUAAAAAUAUUGAGAAAUAAAUAUAUAGUUUAUACAAACAUUUAUUAUUAAUUUGUCCUAAAAUAAUACGUUUAUUAACCCAUUAAGCAAUAAAUAUCAUUUUCACUAAAGUUAUACUAAAAGAUAACUAAAUUUUUUUCACUUAUUACUAAAAGAAAUUGUAAAAUACACGUUUUAUCCCACCAUAAUUUAUAUUUCAUCUCUAAAUUCUCAAAUUAACACGUUUGAUUCUCAAUUUUUUAAUUUAAUUUGUAUUUAAUUAUUAAAAUUUUAAAAGUGGCAUAUUUAGUUUUUGACAUCUAAAUUUAGUUUUUAAUGGAUCACAUCAGCACGAAAAAAUUAUUUUAAAUAAUAAAAGUUUUAACAUUUUUCAUUAAUAUAGUAAAAUAUAAUAAUCAUGAUAGAAAUACGUUAUAUUUAUCGUCUGCAACCGUGUAUAGAUUAUAUAAUGAAAAUUUGUACUUAAGUGAUCGAAAUUUGACGUUAAAUAAUAAAUAGGAUAUGGGUUUAGUUUUUUUCUUUGACUAAAAUGGAGGGUAACAUAGGAUUGAUACAACUUAGAAAUGUUGUUUGGAAAAUGUUAUAAUAGCAUAGGAUAAAAAAUGGAGGCAUAAAAUAUAUUGGUAAGUAGCGUAAGUUACAAUUAAGUAAAAAAAAAGAAGAAGAAAUUUAUAAAUGAUGGAAUAUAAAUAAAAUUAGAUUCCUUGGGUGUCAACAUCAUUAAAUGACAGAGCAGAGACAAUUCAGCGUUUGGAUUAAGCGCUUAGGGCUAACUUUUGUAUUCAACGACGUCGUUUUUAUAGCGAAGAAUCCGAAACCAAAAAUAAGUCAUUUAAUAAAUUACGAAAUUAUAAAUAAAAGGAAAAGACAAAGCCCUUUAAUAAAGGAUUGUAACUGUAAGCAAUUUGCCAUUUCCGCUUCGAUUGGAUCAGAGCUAGAGAGAGAAAACAGAAACAGAAUCAAUGGAGUUUUCUAUGUGUAAUAAUAAUAAUAAUCAUAAUUCUAUGUUCUUCAAUUCCUCUUCAUCUUCGUCCUCGUCCUCGUCUUCUUCUUCUUCUCCUUCUCCUUCUUCUUCUUCAUCAACUAUCAAUAACCCUAAUUUUCUAGGAUGAAAAACGAUCCCCUUUCUCAAUUCCAUCAUCACUUUCAUCUCUCCUUCAUCAUUUCAAUCGCCAACCCAUUUUUUACUUCUUGAUCAUGAUCAUGAUGAUCUGUCCGGCCUUCUAGCUGUCAAUUCAAGGCCGUGACGGUCUCUCUCUCUCUUUUCCGCCUUGGAGUUUUUUUUCUUCUCAAUAAUCCUAGGGUUUCCCCCCCCCCCCCCCUCUUUUUGUUGAUUCUGCGUGAAGUUUGCAUCAUGGAGCCUCGAGUUGGAAACAAAUUUAAACUCGGUCGGAAGAUUGGAAGCGGAUCGUUUGGAGAGAUCUAUCUCGGUUUGUUCUUCUUUUUUUGUUUUGUUUUGUUUUUUUUUUUGGUGUCGUUGAUGUUAUGCUGUUUAUGCGGUAUCAUUUGUCGCUUUUUUAAUUUUUUUUUUCAAUUUAAUUUCAGGUACUAAUAUUCAGACGAAUGAAGAAGUUGCAAUUAAGCUUGUGAGUAAUUUUUUUGGAAUUGGUCUGUUUUUGCGGCUGUCAUUGAAAAUUUAUCGACAUGUUUGACAAUAUGUUCUCAAUAUUUAUGGACCGUUUCGUUCUGUCCUCUUAUUUUCUUCUUCUUCUCUUGAAAUUGGCAUGUUGUGUGUUUGACUAGAGUAGUUUUCGUGUUAAAUAUAUUUGAUUUGGUGAUGUUCAAAUUUGAGGCAGGACAUAAGUCAUUACCUUAAUUUUCAACCGAGACCGUAAGUAACAGUAGCUCGAAACUAGAGCUUCCUGAAGGAGGUGUCAAGAGUUUGAUUUAUCGAAUGUUCAAAACUUGGCGUGGUUUUGGUAGAGUCAGAAGGCACCUGAAAAGUUAGUUCAUGCAAGGUCCUUUGGUUAGGUAUCUGUGCAGAAUGGGUCUCCACAUUGAGUGGGUUUGGUUUCUGUUAGAAUCUAUAUAACGACUUAAUGAGGUUAUGUUGAUCAUCGAUAAUGAGUAUUCUCAUACAAAAGGUUGAUGUUAUAGCACAACUACUCAAUUCCAUUGUUAUGGUUCUGGGUUCAAAAUCCAUAGUUCCCCCAAGUUUAUUCCUUUUUUUUUCUUUGAAUGAGAAUCAUCCAUAGGGAACUCCAUUGAUAGAGGAAUUACUAAAGAGUGUCUAGCCAUAGGAAUUACUAAGAACUCUUCCAACUGGCCAUGUGGAAGACAAGUCAUACGAAGAUGAACAAAAAGGCUAGAAUUCUUGAACCAUGUUGAAAGUGAUGGGAAUUAUAGGUAGAAAAGUAUGAUCAAGAAACUCAUGCAUUGCAUCUAUCAUGGAUCAGGUAUUCAUUUAUUUUGUUGUUUCUCUGUAUUUAAGUUCACUGGAGGAUAGGGUAAUAAUGUUUCCAUGAUAAGAUGGGCUGAUAAGUUAUUGCCUUGGUACUUUGUUAGCUGUUGACAGGAAUUAAGCCUGAAAUUAGUUGCAGCUUUUCUUUUUGGCUGGAUGGACGUGAUGAUGUGAUCAAUGCAUGCCAUAUAGUCUUUACAAUAACAAGCAAUAUUUGCAUGUCCUGAUGUAGUUUUCUAUUUCCAGGAAAAUGUGAAGACGAAACAUCCACAACUGCUUUAUGAAUCAAAGCUAUAUAAAAUACUACAAGGAGGAAGUAAUAAACGUUACUCUUAACUCUUAACAAUAUCGUGUUUGUAAGUUGCAUACCUUAUUAUUCAUGUUUGCAAACUUUUUUCAAUUUUGACAGCUGGGAUUCCAAAUGUGAGGUGGUUUGGCGUCGAAGGAGACUAUAAUGUUCUUGUGAUUGAUUUGUUGGGCCCUAGCCUUGAAGAUUUAUUUAACUUCUGCAGCAGAAAAUUGUCUCUUAAGACUGUUCUUAUGCUUGCAGAUCAGAUGGUAACAAUUUAAUUGACUGAGUUCAUCCAUCACCACGUCUGGUCUACUUCAUGUUCUUUUUUAUGAACACUCUUUGUUAUCUUUGCUCCCAUUUUAGAUCAAUCGGGUGGAAUUUGUUCACUCCAAAUCCUUUCUACAUCGGGAUAUCAAACCAGAUAAUUUUCUUAUGGGCUUAGGCAGGCGUGCAAAUCAGGUUUUGAUUUUUUUAAUUUGUUGUAGGAUUCAGCAUUCAUGUUCAUUUUUGUUAUAUUCAUUCAGUGUCCUGUAUCCAUGUUUCCAUAGGUCUACGCCAUCGACUUUGGGUUAGCUAAAAAGUACAGAGACACUUCAACUCAUCAGCACAUUCCUUACAGGUCAGUUGUUUAUAAUUAAAGGUUGCAAUCGAUUUAUUCAUAUUGCUAUUGUUUCAUAGUGGAUUUAUUUAAAUGCUGUUUUGUGAAGAUCUUAGAUGAAAUAUUUAUUGUUACUGAUUUUGAGCAGUGUUGUCUUGUGGCAUAAAUUUUGUAGAUGAUGUAUGAGUUAUAGUGUAAGGUUUUAUUGUUCAAAUCUAAUAUUCCUACUUCUUUCUUGAUCAGUGAAUGCUUUCUUAUCAAUGAAAUAAUUGCUAAUGUUUUGUACAAACUUCUACUGGGUCUUCUUUAAUGCUUAAGAUGCUUUGACAGACUUACGCUGUGCCUUGGAAGUUCGUGAAGUUACUUAGCAUGCCUUUUCUUCAUUCUGGACAUCCAUUUAAGAAAAAAAAUCUUAAAAUUUGUUUUAUAAAAUUCAUUAGAAUACCAUUUUUCAACUGUCCUCCUCAAUCCACCUUUUGUGGGAGUCUCUCCUUUUUCCUGUGGGCUUGGUUUUGGUAUGCCCGUGUAGUCUUUCAUUUUUUUCUCAAUGAAAGUCGUUAAUUUCAAAGGAGGAAGGGAAAAAAACUAUCCUACGGUAGAAUACGAUUGGUCAUUUAUUUGUUUGUUUGAAGUAUUGAGGAUAUACUUCCAUGAUAAGAGUUUGAGAACUAAAGUUGCAGUCUCUUUGUUUCGCUUUUAUUUCGUUUUUAUUUCUCAGUUCUUAGUUAUUAUAAUGUUCCAUGAAAAGCAUAUUUACUAGUUUUCAUUCAUAAGAGAGUAAAAAAUGAUUCUGGCAUCUACCCCACUGGCAUUUUCUGUGUCUGGGUCUGUUGGUUAGGAUUUGGGGCUUUAAAUUAGAUUGUAAACCAAUGUCCCUUGUUUGGCCCUUCUUGUUGAAUGUGUAUUCAAGAUAUUGUCUUCUACUGUAGGAGGGAUGGUAUCAAUGCUACAGAUAUAUUUAUCAUUAAGAAAGCACUUGCCUUUUAUUUGUUGAUCAUGGCAACUAUUUCCAUGAGUUUGACAAAUGUAACCUGCUGACUAUUUGCAGAGAAAACAAGAAUUUGACAGGAACUGCAAGAUAUGCAAGCAUGAAUACCCAUCUUGGCAUUGGUAUCUCUUUUCCCCUUUUUCUCUGUUAGAUCUCUCCUUCCCACAAUACAAACAGUCAUAAAACAUAAAUUGAGAAAUGGAGGGAGAUGAUAGAAACGUUAUGAGGUUUGUUUUCUUCUGCUUCCUUAUAAUUUACUUUCAUAUUGUGCAGAACAAAGCCGCCGAGAUGAUUUAGAAUCACUUGGAUAUGUUCUUAUGUAUUUUUUAAGGGGGAGGUAAGUAUUUUGUGUUAUCAUAUCAGUAUGUGACUCUUUUAAAUCGUGAAAUAUCCAAUAUGGAGUGGUAACCUGUUAUCUUUAUAGUCUUCCUUGGCAGGGACUUAAAGCAGGAACGAAGAAACAAAAGUACGAAAAGAUUAGUGAAAAGAAAGUCUCCACUUCUAUAGAGGUUAGAUUAUCCGCGUCUUUGGGUGACUUCUUGCCACUGAUAAUUACUGUCAAAUAUUAUGAAAUCCAAUUAGAUUAUGCUGACAUAUUGUACAUAUUGUUCUCCCUUUAGGCCCUUUGUCGUGGAUACCCUACUGAAUUUGCUUCCUACUUCCAUUAUUGUCGAUCAUUAAGGUUUGAUGAUAAGCCAGACUACGCUUAUCUAAAAAGACUCUUCCGUGACCUUUUCAUUCGUGAAGGUUUGAAUUUUUUAAUUCACUUUUUUUCCUAUAAAUUUUACAGUGUUGUUAUACUGUUUCAAUUUAAAUAAAGGCAUGCUUUUUCAGGUUUUCAGUUCGAUUAUGUGUUUGAUUGGACCAUUUUGAAGUACCAGCAAUCCCAGAUAACUGCCCCACCUACUCGUGCCAUUGUAAGUUUUGGAACGCAUACGAGAUUGGCCUUUCUCUGUGUAGUUAUGACUUGUUUUGGUAACCAUUUGGUUUUUGAAAUUAAGCAUAUUUUCCUGACAUUUCUUACCAUGGUUUUCAUCUUCCAUAAGUAGUAGAGUUUGAAUCUUAACCAAAUUUAAAAAAUGAAAAGUUUUGAAAAUUACUUAUUUUAGUUUUCAAAACUUGGCUUGUUGUUUUCAAAACAUUGAUAGAAAGUAUAUAACUUAGAACUCAAGAAUACAAAUAUACAACCUAUAGAACAGAUCCUGUUCAAAUAAGGUCGUAUAGAAAUUAGAAAGUAUAUAACUAAGCAACAACUAAAAAUCAAAUGUCAAGUGGUUGUCAAAGAGGCUAUAUUACUCAUUUAUCCUCAUGUGACAUUUUGAACUCUAGGGUGGUGCUGGACCAAGUUCUGGAGUACCUAUGGCUAUAGCAAAUGCUGAUAGGCACACUGGUAGUUAUUUCUCUUAUUUUGGUUUGUCUUAGAGUUCCUUGCAUCAUAUUAUCCUGCUACUUGCAUGUCUCAACGAUAUUGUAUCUUGAAGGUGGCGAGGAGGGUCGACCACCACCGAGUGGCUGGGUAGCACCAGACCCCUUGCGAAGGAGAAACUCUGGUCCAGUUACGGGCACUGCAAAACAAAAACCUCCAGCCACAAACGAUCACGCUAUUGCCAAGGAACGCAUAGUGAGUACUUACUGAUUACAUGUUUGUUAUAGUUUUCCAUGUUUGUGGUUUUCUUUUCUUUUUUCAUUUCUUAACUUGUUAUAAUCCGCAUACAUCCAGCUACCAAAUUCCAAUAUUAUACAAUCAAGUGGAUCAUCAAGACGAGCUGCAAUAGCUAGCACCCAAGAUAUAGCCCUCCUUGGAUGUGAAUCCGACCCAACUCGCCUUGGAAUUCCAGAUCCGAGCUUUGGAGCUGUACAGAAAAUCUCUAGUGCACAAAGGCAUUCACCAGCUGAUCAGAACCGUUCGACCUCGGCCAGAAACAUAUCAUCAGGCAUCAGGAACUUUGAGUCCACUCUUAGAGGUAUCGAAAGCCUCCAUUUUAAUCAAGAUGAGAAGGUACAAUAUUAGCGGUUAACACUCGCGUGCUCACUAUCCUAGCAAAAUCUAUCUGUUGUAAAUACGGUUGGGCGGUCGAGCAAUUUGUUGUGCUUUCAUUUGUGUUUUUAGGAAAGCAACAGCAGCAAGUUGGGAAGGAAGAACAUUUUACUGUCACAAAAAAAAAAAGGAAAAGAAAAGUUCUAGGAAAGAGGAGAUUAUUACUAUGGUGGCUCAAUGAAAGCCAUUUUAUUUAAUAGUUUGGGUUAGGUAGUGGCUUCCUUUUUGGCCUUGGGUUCUCUCUAAUUUAUUUUGUUGAAUACUGUUUUAUUGUAUUUUGUUUUUGGUAAUUGGUCCUCGGCUUUUGUUUUGUUUUUUUUAUUUUAUUAUUAUUGUUGUUAUUGAAAUCUUAAUGAACAAACGAAAUGUGUAAUUAGUUUUUAGUUCUUUUUAUGCUCUGAAUUCCUUGGCAAAUGGUAACAUUGUCCACUUUUAAGGCUGUGUGUGAUAAGCUGGAAAAACAUGCGUUUCACUUUCUUUACCUCACUAAGGAGGGAUUCAGGAAUACCAUGGCCCUUCUGAUAAAUCACUACACUUUUUUUAUAUACAAUGUCCCUUUUUACAAUAUCUUUUUCUUGAAAAAAUUUCAAAUAGCACAAGUAUUUUACUCAUAACUUUAGAUCAUUAUCCUUAAAAUAAUAACAGUAUGUUCCUACACUGUCAAUCUCUUCUAAGUUAAUAGUACAAUAUGGUAGACUAAGUCAACUCAACUUCUAGCUAUCAAAAUUUAUUCGGGCUUGGAGGGUAGACUAUGCAAAAUUGAUUCAACAAAUAUUUUGAGAAAAUUGUAUUUAUUUUUUUAAUUAAGAUUUAGUCAUUUUUAAUAUCAUUUUAAUCCUUCACAUCAAUUAUAAAUAAUAUUUAUAUGUAGAAUAUAUAUAAUAUAAUACCAUAAUUAUAUGAUAUCACAUUCAUUAUCUAUUUUAUAACUUAUCGAAUUAAUAUGAUAAACAAUCUGAAUUUUUAUUUUCAUUUACUAAUAAGAUAUCAUUUAUUACCUAACUAGUUCUAAUAUGGUAUAAAAUUGAGUCAAAAUAUUGUAAUAAUAUAUUAAAUAAUUUCUACUGGAUGAUUAAAAUUAUUUUUAUUGAAUUUUAUCCAGAAUCCUAGUUUCACAUUCUUCUUCCACCUUUUCAGCGUCUUCUUAUUUCGCUCAUCUUCUUCAAGUAUAUCGAGUGAGUGCAUGUUUCUUUCUUUUAUAUUUCUUUCUCCUUCAUGUUUAUGUAAAUUUUGCGGUUUAUAAUUCUGGUUUAAUUUUUCAUUGAAGUUUUUGGUCAAUAAAAAGUACAAUGAAUGCAUAUUUCAGUUUUUUCCUCCAACUAAUUUUUUCAUGUUAUUAAUGUUUUUUUCUUAAAUUGUGAAUUAUAGUAUACGAUAUACAAUUAAUAUAUUUUUUCGUUCUUAUUUAAAUUGCAAAAGUAUAACAUAAAAAAUAUCAUAUAGUUUAUGGUAUAUAUCGUAUGUCAUUAAGUAUUACACUAUGCAUCACACACAUAAUAUAUAAUUAAGCAACAGACACAUAUUUCAUAUAUUAUAGUAUAUAUUAAAUAUCACUAAGCUUUAAGUAUCACACACAGAAUAUAUCAUUAAGCAGCAGACACAUAAUAUAUCAUAUAUUAUACAUUAUAAUAUAAAAUAUCAUUAGUAAUAUCUCAUAUACAUCCUCUCUUGCACAUUUGAUUUUCCCACAUUUCUUCUCCAUAUUUGCUUUUUAAAUAAUAUUCAUAUAUAUUUUAAAUAUUACAAAGUUUUCACUUAUAAAAAUAUCAUCAUCUCUAGACAUAAUAUAUGAUAUAUUAUAGAGAAAUUUGAUAGAGUAGCAUUUUGAGAAUAUGAUAUAAUAAAUAUAGCACAUUAUUUUAGAAUUUUAUAAAUAUGACAAAGUUUUCACUUAUAAAAAUACUCUUCAUGUUAAACUACUUUUCAAUAAUUUAUUUUUUUCCCUUUUUUUUAAUGCCCUAUCCAUUAUUUAUUUAUUCUUCAACUUUUUAAGAUAGUAAUAAUUUAUUUAUUUUUAUACAAGAAAAAUAAUUUGUUUUUUCUGUCAUAAUCUUGAUUUUAGAAUAUCAAUAGUACAAUAAUUAUAAUAUGAAAUAUAAUGGUUGUUGAUUAUAGUCGUUUAACUUUAUUUGUGAUUUUCUUAAAUUUCUUUAAUGUGUAUUUUGAGUUGAAUCUAAUUUCAAAUGAUUUUGUUUUCUUUUUUUACAUUGAUUUUGUUUUGGUUUUACUUUGUCUUAGUUUUGUAUAUUUGUGUUGUGAUAUACUUAUAUUAUAUGUAUUAGUUGGUUGAUAUACUUACUACGUGUUUUUCAUUUUUUCAAAUUUUAUACAGUUCAUUAUAGUAUUAUUAAGUAUAUGAAUUAUAUAACUCAGUGUAUCAUUAUCUAUUGUUAAAGCAUAUCAGUAAAGUGAAUCAUUAUCAAGUAUAAAUCAAGUUUUCAAGUGUAUAAAUAUGACUUCAAGCAUAUCAAGUGUAUUUAAUCAAUCAAAUGUAUAAGUGAAUAAUACUAAGUAUAUUUGCAAUGCAUUGGGUGUAUCAAACAUAUCAAAUUUGUUGAGUGUACCAAUAAAGCAUAACAAAUUUAUUAACGGGGUAUCAAGUGUAUCAAACUUAUAAGUGAAGUCUUUAAGUGUAUCAAGGCUUAAGGGGUAUCAAAUGUAUCGAGAAGAAUCAAUUAUAACGAUGAGUAUUAUGUGUAUCAAGAAGUAUCACACGGGUAUUAGGUGCACCAGACGUGUCUAAGGUGUAUCAAAUGUAUAUUAGUAAUGAGGGCAUUUGUGACAUUUUACCUCUUGAUGUAUGAGUUGAACUUUGUUUUUGCCAUUUUUGUAAAUAAUAAAGUGUGUGUGCUAUGGACUUAAUUAUUAUAACAUGUUCUUGCCAUUUUUGCAAGUACCCCUAUAUUAUAAAGUAUAUGAUGUAUAUCAGUCUCUUAGUGAUCUAUUUGAAGUUCUCUAUUUCCUCAUUUCUCUCCACUUGUUUUUUUCUUCCUUUUAGUUUCCUUUUUUUUUUCUUUUCUUGUUCUAUCCUUAUUCGAAAAUCCAAAACAGUUUCAAUCACGGUAAGAUUUUACAAAUUAACUUACAAUAUAUGAAAGUCAAUGCAAAUUUGAUGAAAUAUAAUAAGUAUAUAUAAAAAGUUAUUAAAUUACAUAGAAUAUUUGAAAAACAAUGCAAAAUGAAAUAAAUGAUGUGGUAUAUAUACUUGAUUGAUUGCAAAUAAGGAUAUAUACUAUAAAUUACAUGGCAUAUAUGCUUCAUUCACUGUAAAUUUUCUUUAUCGAAAAAAUUUCACCGACAAUAUUUCACAAUUUCAUAUACAUAAUUAAUAAUAAGAAAUUGAUGUUCAUUUACCACCAAAAUUUGAAGGAGAUGUACGAAAUAAGAAAGAAUGGACUGAAAGAGAGAUUAGAAAGUGAAAGAAAGAUCGGACAGAGUAAAGAAUAUUUAAGCAAAAUCACCAAAAGAAAAAUAAUUAAAAGGUAAUUUUGAUUAUAAUAUUACGAUAAUAGAAUUAAUCACAUACCAUAUUUACGUAUAUUUACGUAGGAUAUAAUACAAAUCUUAAUCAUAUGUGAUUGUCCACUUUUCUUAUUUUAUUUUUAUAUUUUUUUUAAUGUAUUAUUAAUAAUAAAGAUUGGUAGUUUUCUCUUUUGGCCUUUACAUUUGUGUAAAAUUGAAGCUCGUUAUGCAAUUUAUGAAAAAUUUGACAACAUUAGGUCCAACUUGUAUUAAGCAUCCAUUUUUAGAUUCAUAUUACUUGAAUUUGUAAAUUGCAAAAAUGGCAAAUUCAAUUAGUCCAACUCAAAUGUGCUAAUAGACUUGAAGUAAAAGUCAAAAAGAAUUUGUAAAUUGUAAAAAUGGCAAAUUUGAUCGGUCCAAUCCAAAUGUGCUAAUAGGCUUAAAGUAAAAAGUCAAAAAGGCCCCUCAUAUUUAAAACAAUUUGAUUGUUAUGUGAUCGUUAUCUAAUUGUCAUUUGAUUAAUGUGAUUACAUUCUAAGAUAGUCUUUUGAUUAUCAUCUAACUACCUUCUAUUGUUUUUAUGUUCAUUGUCAUUUGAUUACCUUCUAUUGUUUUUACUUUCAAUUACCUUCUAUUGUUUUUACUUUCAAUUUUAGUUGGCCUUCUAAGAUAGUUAUGUAAUUAUCUUCUGAUUGUUCGACUUAUGCAAUGUAUCAUGGAAGUACUAAAAUAUAUAAAACUUUGAAAGCCUAUUAUUGUGGCCAAGUAUGCAAAGAGAGGUAGCGGUGUUUGUGGCCAAGUGUUUGAUUUGUCAACAAGUCAAACUACAAUAUGUAAAAUUAGGUUGGGUUGGAAGAAAUUCUCAAUCCAAAUCAUAUUUUUGGGAUAUUUGAAUUGACAAUCCAAAUAACUCGAAUUUAGUUCAUAACCCAAUAUGUAAAAUAUGGAUUGGAUGGUCGGAUUGUAUAUAUUUAUAUUUUUUCGUUUCUAGUUUCUAAUAAUUAUAAAAGUUUAAAAUUCUUACCUUUAAAUUUCAAACAUACAUAAUUCAAAAUUUUAUACAACAAAUUCAAAGUUUAUAUACCUAAUUUGUUUUUUAUUAGAUAAUAUAUAUAAUUUAUAUUAAAUAAUAUAUAUAUAUAAAUUCAGGUUGGAUUAGAUUGAACUGAAUUUUUCAAUCCUUCAACCCAACCCAACAAGAUAAAAUUAAUUUUUUUUUUAACUCUAACUCAACUCAUAUUUUAACAAAUUAUAGUUCAAUUGAAUCCUAACAAGCUCAAACUCGAGGACAGUUGCAUAAGCACUAUUACACUUACUAAUUUUAUAAGCAUGCAAUUUUACUAGAUAAUAUGAGCAUCGUGAUUUGAAGAUUUGAAGAUUUGAAGACAUGAGCUCAACACAAGCCACACAUGACCCAAGGGUCAUUUAAAUGAAAGGAAUUAAAUAUAGCCUUGUAAAUGGGUCCAAAUCUCCUUUUUCCAAGCUUGUUGGAUGAACUAAAAUCUAACUUCAAUGACUAAGUACAUAAAUUCCAAGGAACUUCAACACUUAAAAUUAACAACAAAAUGAACAAUUACAAGAAACUCGAGAACAUUUUUGUGUAGAUUAUUCAGGUGAAAAUAAUGUAGGAUUGAUAUUGCAAGUGCUAACGUUUACAAAAUUCCAUAAAACUUCUACACAGGUCUCGAAGUUCAAUGAUCAAUUAAAACAAGUAAUGACAAAACAAAAUUGUCCACAAAAAAUAAAUAAAAGGAAAAAGAAAAGACCUAAUAUUGCUUGGAAAGACAACCAGAGUUUUUUUUUUUUUUUUUUUUUUUUCAUAACUUGGAAAGGGAAAUAAGGCAACAAAAAAAAACCUCAAAUACAAUACAAAACCCCAACAAAGAAACAAAAAGGCCCAUAAUUUACCAUAAAGGUAAUUUGACAAUCUUUUAUAUUGCAGUGGUGCAGGCCACACCAUUUCCCAAGGUCAGAUUAUAGGUUCCAAGAAUAUUUUAAUUUAAGACACUAGAAAAAAAGAAAGAGAAAAAAAAAAGAUAAUAAAAAAGAGGUUGAAAAAAAAAGAAAAGCUUUGAAGUUCUUCAAGGAGAAAACCACGCCUCAGUCUACCACAAUAUUACCCUUCCCUUCUCUUCUUUUUUCUCACAGAAGAUCAGCAACAUUUGCUGGCAGCUCUUCAAUUACCACAUUGUAGAACUUCUGAAUGUCAAAUAGCAUUCUUUCGUCCUCUGUCGUUACAAAGUUGAUCGCAACACCCUUUCUUCCAAAUCGUCCACUUCGUCCAAUACGAUGAAGGUAGUUCUCCGGUUGUGUCGGCAGAUCAUAGUUAAUAACAAGAGAAACCUGCUGGACAUCGAUACCACGGGCCAACAGAUCAGUGGUAAUCAGAACCCUAGAAGAACCUGAUCGAAACUCACGCAUGAUGAUGUCUCGGGUGUUUUGGUCCAUGUCACCAUGGGUAGCAGAUACAGUGUGGUCACGGCUUCGCAUCUUAUCAGUGAGCCAAUCAACUUUACGUCGAGUAUUGACGAAGAUGACACUCUGUGUAAUGGCCAAAGUUUCAUAAAGAUCGCACAGUGUCUCGAGCUUCCAGUCUUCCUUGUCAACAUUGACAUAGAACUGCUUGAUACCCUCAAGGGUGAGCUCAUCACGCUUAACAAGAAUUCUAACAGGCUUGUUCAUGAACUUCCUGGUGAUCUCAAGGGCUUCAGGAGGCAUUGUGGCAGAGAACACCCCAACCUGAAUCUUGGAUGGUAGCAGCUGGAAGAUAUCAUAAAUCUGCAAUGGAGAUAUACAUGUAGAAGGGUAGUUAGAAGAUUUUUCGAAGAUGCAAUCAGAUCAAAAGGCAAUAAGAAAUGGACUAGGUACAUUGAAGAAUGAUGGAAGUAAAAAUUUAAAAAGAUGCAACAAAGCACAACACCACAUGAGAGCAAAAUAAGCGAACAGCUACAAACUUAGUUACCAAUAAUUCUCGAAUAAAAGAUUGAAGAGAGCAUCAAAUUUGAAAGCAUCCUACAACGUUUUGAAUAUCUCUGAGAUAUAUAAUUACGAAAAUAAAAAUAGAAAACUCAAACAGUACAUAACAAAGGAAAACAAGAAACUGUCAGGUUGGAAAUCUAUUACAUAGAUUCUUAAUGAAAAUAAAUAAAAAAGUAAAGUUUUAGAUAAAGGAAAACAAACGCACUACACCAUGAAGAUUUAAAGCCAGCCAACACUCUUUAUCAUGGAGGAAAUAAAAAUGGCCUCGGCAAAACUAAAAUUAUAGUACAGUCAACACAACAACGAAUGUCAUCUUAAAAAGUGAAUUAAACAGUAGAUAGAGCAAAAGGAAAAUGUUAAAACCAGUGCAAUAAUAAACUAAAACUAAGUUCUCUCACAGGCAGGACAAUAGAGUCAUGAAAGUUAAAUUACAAACCUGGUCCUUAAAUCCACGAGAAAGCAUUUCAUCGGCUUCAUCCAAUACAAACAUCCGAAUGUAGUCGGGGCGAAGUGAUUGUCUACGCAACAUAUCAAACACACGACCAGGUGUACCAACAACUACAUGAACACCAGCUUGAAGAAUGCGUUGGUCUUCACGUACACUCGUCCCACCAACACAAGCAUGAACCUUCACACCAAGAUA